rnacentral:lncRNA from 1 species
GGCUGGUCGAAAUUGAUGCCCUUAAUAUAGGGGUACUUGGUAGUGAUGGCUUGAAGAGUAAUGCCGAGACUACCACCAACAUCGACCAGUUGCUUGAUGUUGUCGAAACCCUUGUAAGAUUCAAGAAUGUUGCUCAUAACCAGAGAGGUAUAGUUAUACAUUGCUGUGUUAAAAUGUUUAUUGAACUUAGGGUCCAAUCCUGCGUACUCAAAUACAUGCACUCCAUGGGCUCGAUUAAAUGGAAUUCCUCCUUCAAGAAUAGCAUCUUUGAGUUGGGACCUAAAUAAAUUCCGAAAAACCAAUUUAUCAUGCAUCGUCUAUAUAUAUGCUCCAUGCAUGCAUGCAUGGUCUAGCUGAUCAUUUACUGAGAAAAAGGGAGAAAUAGAAAUUAAUUAAUUACCAGCUCUUCAGAAAGACCUUGUCCUGAACUAUUUGUAUUAGGGGUCCUAGUAAGACGCCAUCUUUGUUAGGCACAUAGUAUUUGGAGACAGAAUUCAAACUAUAUAGUCUCCGGGCACCAGAAGCAUCAAGUGAGCAUUCAACAACGCUGUAGCUAGCCAGAAGCCUGAGAAUCCGAUCCAGCAUCAUGGGUGCGUCUUUGUUCUUGGUGAGCAAUUGGGCUGCAAUAUCUGAAGCACAGAGCUUUGCACCAGGACCAACUUUGUCUAGGAUCUCGAAAAUGCCUAGCUCAUACACCGUUUGAAUGGCCAUGGGUAGCAUUGUACCCAUCGCCAAUUGAUUAGCAUAUGCAAAGCUUUGGUCUCUUUCUCCAUCAACUAUAGAAUCCAUUUUAAGUUUCUUGAAUUUCUCCUACGCUUUGCGGGGUUUCUUGUUUGGCCAAGGGGUUAUAUAUAGACUUGUCAUUCAAAACUAUCAAGAGUUUGCCAAUAUAGACUUGGUCAUUCAAAACUAUCAAAAGAGAGAUGGGAUUGACUAAUGAAUUAAAAUUAGAACUUUGCCAAUAUUUGAAAUUUUCUUUGAGCUAUAUAAUUUAUGCAAUCUUUGAGGCUAUUUUUAUGUUUUAUUUAAAGUUUGUUGUUCUUUUUAUUUAUUUAUUUUUUAAAAAAAAUGAUGUUUGUGGGUAUCGUCACUAAAGCCAUCACGAGACUAUAACUCGUCCACUAGGGCCGUCUAGGGGUUUAAAGGCUUGUUGCAUACACUAAAUGCAUUCGCGAUUACCUGCGAAAGUAGUUUAGUUAGGAUUUACUUUUUGUUUCAUUGUUUUUAUUUUUGUUUUAAGUUUUAGUUUUGCUCGAGGACUAGCAAAAUCUAAGUUUGGGGGUAUUUAAUGAGCAUAAUUUAUAUACAUAUUUUACCCUUUCUUAUAUAUUUGCUAGUUAUUUUAUUUCUUAUUUUUAAUUAAUUGAAUUAUUUUAUUGAAUAGGGAAUUAAUUUGAGAUUAUGGAUAAAAAGGAUAUAAAAGAGCUCAAUUUUGGAAGCAUUAAAGAGGUUUUGAUUUGUUUUCUAAAUUGACAUGCUUCAGAAAUUCUAUCCUUUUGAAAACAAAUUUUUGGAAGACCUUUAACUAAAUCAUUUUUCAAAAUUUUUGAAAUUAAAUCCAUGCUUGCAUGUCCUAGUCUUCUAUGCCACAACCAACCAUCAUCAUGCAAUGCCGAAAAACAUUUAUCAUGAGUAGAUGCACACUCUAUAUUAAUCGUGUAAACAUUGCCACAUCUAUUUCCCAUAAACAAAAUAUUCCCAUCACAUGCAUUCUCAAUAACACAACUUGAUUUAUCAAAGGCAACUUUAUAACCUUUGUAGUUUUCUAAUUUUUAAAGCAUAAGAGGGGUUUUAGCCCUCUGAACCAUUUUUUUUUUAAGUGUGCCCUGAGCACCUUCUGAAUGAGUUAAAUGAAAAAAAUUUAGAAAUAUUUUUUAAAUAAUAAAACACUUGUAGCCCAAUGGUACACGUGUUACUUAGUGGUUUUAGAGACUUGAUUUGAAUCCCAAUAAUUUUUUUGAAUGUGUGCAUGGUCCUCAAUAUUUUUCACGUUCAAUAUAAAAUUAAUUGAAGAAAAAAUGUUGGCCUAGUUAGAGGUAGGUUAUAGGUAGGUAGGGUUUAAAAAAAAAAGUAAAACUUUAUUUGCGGGACGCAAUUAAAAAACAUGGGUCCGAAACAUUUAUUGAAAACUAAUUUAAGAGAAAAUGUUGGCUUAGUUAGAAGUAGGUAACAAAUAGGUACGAUUUCAAGAAACAAGUAAUACUUUAUUUGCAAGAUCCGAUUAAAAACAUGGAUUUGAAAUACUAAAAAGAGUAUUUUUUGUAUAAAAAUUUGAGGAGUGUUAGCGACAAUCGCCUAUCGUGACUAGUGUCUUGGUCCUUAAUUUUUUUUUUUCACGUUCAAUAUAAAAACUAAUCGAAAAGAAAAUGUUGACCUAGUUAGACAUAGGUAACAAGUAAGGUUCUAAAAAAAGAGUAAUACUUUAUUUGCAGGGCCCGAUUAGAAACACAUGUCGAAACAUUAAUUAAAAACUUAUUUUUAUAUAAAAUUUUAAGGAGUGCUAGCAACAGUUGUCCUUACAGAUGAUUGAGACAGUCAUUACCAAUCCCUCUCAAAUUUAAGUGUUUGGUCCAGCCACCGAAGAGAACCCAUGUGUGAUUAUGUACUAUAGGUGCAUUUGGUACAUUGUUAUUAUAUUAUAUGUUUUGCAUUAUUUUAAUACAAGCAUAUUGUAUUAUAUUGUAUUGCAUUAACACUUUAUUUUAUUAAUAUUGUGCAGCAUUUAGUGCUAUAUUGUACUAUAUUAAUUUUUAAUUAUACUAUGUUUGGUAUUGCAUUGCAUUGUACUAUAUUUUUUUGGUUAUCAUAAAAAUUAUAUUUUUAGAAAAUAAAUAUUUACUUUUUGAUAAAUUUGUCAAAAAUUCUUUUUGUCAAAAAUAUUUUAAUAAACUUUUCAAUGAUAUAUCUUUUGAAGUAAAAAUCCAAGUGAAUAAAAUAGAUAACUUAAAAAAUAUCCUAACAUAAAUAAAUAAUUAAAACAUAUAGGCUUUGUUUAAAAAAAAGACAUAAUAGAGAUAAUUAGUACAAAAGUUUGCACAUACUAUAACAUAGUCACAAAUAAAAGGAGUUGCAUUUUUAAAACGGGUUGCUUUGUCUCAUACAUCAAAUCAAGAUAAAUAAUUGUGCAUGGAUAGAGACAAACACAACUUUCACUCAAUCCUUCGAUAAGAUGUAUUCUUUCCCAACUAUCCAAAUGUUAGUUAAUUUGUGACCACUACUCAUCCUCGCAAUCAAGAAUUUAUUCUAUUACAUGUCUAAGAAAAAAUGUUAUUAAAUGGACAGCAAAAGAACCACAACUACAUCAUUUCGAAGCAAUGUACAUAACAAAUGGACUUAUGUACCAAGCUUGGCCGACCAUGCAUGUAUGUUAUGCAAAAUAUUGCACAAUAUGCAAAAAUGUGGUUGCAUGUGUGGAAAUUUAACCACAUAGGUAUAAUAAGUGCAAUUUUACUAAGUUGGACGAACAUGCCCCAUAAGCUAUCUAGAUGUAAGGGGAUGCUGAGAUGGGCGAUAGGAGAAUGCAAAAUGGAAGCUGAUGCCAAGUAGUUGUCGAUGUAGAGUUUAUGUCAACUUAGGAGUGCUUACAAGUUCCAAAGAUGAACCAACAUAAUUUUAGUUCUAAACAUGCACUGAUGUUGAAAGAAACAUGUGAGAUGAAAAGCUGAUGCCAAGUAGUUGUCGUGUAGAGUUUAUGUCAACUUAGGAGUGCUUACAAGUUCCAAAGAUGAACCAACAUAAUUUUAGUUCUAAACAUGCACUGAUGUUGAAAGAAACAUGUGAGAUGAAAAGCUGAUGCCAAGUAGUUGUCGAUGUAAAGUUUAUGUCAACUUAGGAGUGCUUACAAGUUCCAAAGAUGAACCAACAUAAUUUUAGUUCUAAACAUGCACUGAUGUUGAAAGAAACAUGUGAGAUGAAGUGCCUCGAGAUGCUGUAAAUGCAGUGGGAUCUCAAUCAAAUGCAUGAUUUUUUGGGAAAAAAGCUUCUUACAAUAAGAUCACUGAAAAACAUCGAUCAUAAUAUUAUCACCAUCAUUAUUUUCCCCAUUUGUGGAAUGUGAGAGUUGAUUGUGAGAAUUUUUUUAUCUUUGUAUCAUGUGACUGAGAUGCUGGAACAACUUUAACCAUCUUUCAAAUACAACUCAAAGAUCAGAAAAUACAAACUGUUGAUGAAGAAAUCUGGUCGGCUAUUGCGUGAAUAGGUGCCCACACCAACACUUAAAUUGUUAUUGAGGAGAUGAUUUAACACUACAACUUUACUGAAUUAGUAGUUGUAGGCAAAUUAACAUGCAUGAAAACCAUGUGCGAACAGGGUGGAUAAAAAAGCCCAUCUGGCCCAAGCCCGCAAGCUUUCGGCCAAUCUUUCUAUGCGAGGAAUUAGAUAAGAGCUUAAGAGAAAAUGCUCGGACUAGGCCCAGCACUCUAUUUUUUUUUUACAAAAUAAAUUUAUAAUUAGAACAAUAUAUUAAAAUUUAAAAAUAAAAAAAAAACUUAAAUUCUUAAUUCAUAAAUCAAUAAUGAUUCACAAAACCUAAAAUUAUAAUAUUAAUCUCUCUCUAAAGCAGUAAUUAAUUAAGAUGAUGUUUAAAUUAGAAAAUAUAGUAUUAAAAAAAUUAAAUCUUUAGCAUUUAUUUGCUUAAUUUUCUUCAUAUAUUAUUUUAUUUUAAAAUAUUUAAUUUUUUUAAUUCAUUGUUAAUUAUAACAACUUGUUAAUUAUAACAACUUGUUAAUUAUUAAUUCAUUUCAAAUUUACAACAAUUAAAAAAAUAAAAAAUAAGUGAAACUCCAAGCAUAGUCCUCAUGCUUCUACUAAAAUGGGCUUGGGCUCGGAAAAGCUCGGCCUAAGCCCACAUUUUGUCAUCCCUAUGUUCAUAUUAGGUAGGAUUCUCAACUUCAAAUUAUUAAUAUUAGGGGCUGCAAAAUGAAUAAACGAAUCGAAUUUGAAUCAACUUAAUAAACGAAUUGGGUCAAAUUUUGAUGGAUUCGAAUUUGAUUUAUUUAAUAAGUAAAUCGUAAUUUUAUAAUUUUAAUUCAAUUUAUUUAUUAAAUGAAUCAAAUAUUCAUUCACAAUUCAUUUAAUUCAUUUAUGUAGAAUAAUUAUUUUUGUCUUGUUAUUACAUCUUAUAAUUACGAAUAAAAAUUUAAUGGUAAAUAAAUAAUUGAAUCAAACGGAUAAUAAAUGAAUAGUGUCAUAUUCGAUUGAUUUAUAGCAGUUUAUUAAAAGAAAGAAUAAAUCAGGGAUCACAAAUUUAGAUUCGAUUCGUUUAUUUAGUAAAUUGAAUCAAAUUUAUUUAUUUAUUAAAUGAAUUAAUAUUUUCAAACUCAAAUCUAAUUUAAUUUGACUCCAGUUGGAUUGAAUCGAAUAAAUAAAUUUUCGUCUAAAUUGCCACCCCAUAUUAAUAUGCCUACAAUACCAAGUGGACGGAAGAUGUCAUAAAAAUCUUUAUGGACUCUUAAAGCAUUUGCUAUCGGCUGACGCUGUUAAACACAUAAGAAAUUCAAGAAAAUUAAUUAAACAUGGCUUCAUAUCAUUCUACUAAUCAGCCAGACCCAGCUGGAACUGAUCACCCAUCAGCCAAUUGGUGAUGGGUACUAACAAGCUUUAAUUGCAAGCAGUGAUUGAGCGACUUCCGGCAUUUCAAUUGUGAUGCCAAUCUGGAACUUGGUUGGAUCUCGCUCGUGUCUUUGACCAAAAGCAAAGGGCUCGUGGACAUUAAACAAAAAGAAUUGUUUUUUCAGACCUUAUCAGGCCAUUUACUUCGUUGUGUUGAAGGCUUUGUUUCAAAGCCAGAGACAAAAUCAAUAUAUAUAUAUAUUGUUAGGUACAGAUAUUCGUAUUUUUUAAAUAUGAAUUUAUUAUACAAUAUAGUAAAUUCUUAUUUAAAAUAUGAGAACAUUCGCACUAAAAUAUAUAUAUAUAUAUAUAUAGAGAGAGAGAGAGAGAGUCUCCUUCUUUUCUAGCGAAAACAUUUUCACUUUAUUAAAAAUUAAAAUGUCACUAAAAUAUAAAAAUAUAGAUUUAAUACAUUAAAAAGUUUAUUUUUUUCUUUUAGUAUAUUAAAAUUUAUGUUUUUUAUUUUUAUUUUUUAUUGAUAUCCACACCUUAAUAAAGUGAGGAUGUCGGCCUUACUAUAUAUAUAUACUAGGAAAUAAAACCGCGCUUCGCGCGACUUUAGAAAAUGAAUUUAGUAUUAUCAAUUUUUCUUUCUUUACACUUGAUAAAACUGAUAAAAAAUAUAAAUUAUUAUUUUUUAAAUAAGGCAGCCUUAUAAAACUAAUGUUAUUUAUGAAAGUUAACUAUUUUUUUGUUAACUUUAAAAAUAAAUAUUAACGUGUAUAGUCUAAGUGUACAGACCUUAUACCUUUUGUAGUUGAUAAGUUCCAAAUUAAAUUUUGUAAUUGAGGAUCCUUAGCGUUGAAUUAUAAAAGAAAUAAGUAAAAUACAUGUAAAGACUUUUGUAAGUUAUUUCGCAUCGUUUGUAGCUGCGUAGGUGAGUAGUUGUUUAUAUCAAGCUUGCAGCUAUGACAAGUUCCAAUGGGGAUCAGCAACACCUAGUGCCAAAAUGUUCUUUAUCUGUAUAUAAACCAUGUCUCCAUGGAUUAGAGAGAAUGAAAAGAAUGCUUCUUCACGUACUAUGUUCUUUGGCAAUUAAAUCCUCCAUAACAGCUUGGAAAACUCAACCAAACUAUCAUUUUGCUGUCUCGAUAGUUCCUUUGAUUUAUCCAUUUGUCUACUAAAUAAUUAAAACACAUAAUAAAAAUCAUUAUUAUAGGGUGAAGUAAGAGCUUGCAAUGUAUAAAUUAAAUUUUAAAAUAUAAUCUAAAAAUAAGAUACCUUGAUUUUGUGAGCUGAUGUGUGAAUAUUUUGAAAUACUUCUUUGUAGACAAUGUUUUUUAUGAAGGUUCGGUCUUCUACCUCUUGAUCGGCAUUUAGUAUGGUCAAUCCUUCUCUUGUGGUAACUCGAGACAGGGCGACAUAUAAUUGACCAUGAGUGAAUACUUGCUUAGGGAGAUACAAGCCAACAUGUUUAAGAGAUUGUCCUUGGCUUUUGUUGAUCGUCAUGGCAAAACAUGGUGCCAAAGGAAGUUGUCGUCUGUUAAGCUUGAAUGGUCAUCUUGAUUCAUUCGGAGACAUAAUAAUUCUUGGGAUUGUGACAUUUUGUCCAAUAUUUGUUCUAGAAAUGAUGUCACCUCUAAUGGACCAUUUACCAAGACAAGUGACAAUCAAUCUUUUGCCGUUGCAUAUGCCUUCUAUUUGAUUUAGAUUUCUAAGAAGCAUUACGGGAGCACCUUCCUUAAAUCGUAUGUCAUGAUUAGGGAUGCCAUUGAAUUUCAAACUAUUCAAAAAUUCAGUUGGAUACAGAACAUCUUCAUCAUUUGUGUUUGCGCUUGCUUUGCAUAUACUGUCUGAGCUAAAAAGGUUCUCCCUUGACCAGGUAUUAUAUUCAUAAUCAUCUCAUUCAAUUCAUGCACCAUUUCAUUUUUUGGCGUUAAUAUUGCUCUUUCUUUCAAAUAUGCUAGAUCACUGUAGUUAUGCCGAAUUGAUGGGUAAAUAGUGUCGACUAUUGAUUUCAUCAGAUUUUCUGAUGGUUUUUUACAGAUAUCAGAAGGUAGUUUAACUAAAUCUCUAUCAAUGUCAUCAUAUAAUGAACCAUCUCCAAUCUGCAACAACCAUUUGUCAAAAGAAGCUAUUUUAGCAGCCUCAGAGCCACUUACGCUUCCAUUAUAGAGCCUCAUAUUUUGUUUGAGCUUAUAAAUUUUAAAAAAUGGCCAUAAGUAGGAUGAGUUAAGUGAAGCAUCAACAAUGUCUGCUCUUGUCCCCUUUGGCACAACUGGCAAUAUUUGUCAGAAAUCGCCACCACAUACUAUUGUAAGUCCUCUAAAAGGUUUGAUAGAACUAUUUUCAUACCUUGUUCUUAGAAUAUCUCUCAAGGUUCUAUCCAAAGCUUCAAAGCAUAACUUAUGUGCGAUAGGCGCUUCAUCCCAAAUGAUCAAAGAAGUUUUCAUAAGAAGUCCAGCUAAUAAGGUGCCUUGUCGGAUUUCACAAGUGGACUCUUCUGUCACAUCUAAAGGAAUAUGAAAUCACGAAUGAGUUGUCCUACCAUUAGGCAAUAACAAAGUUGUUAUACCUGAAGUUGCAACAGGCAAGACUAUUUUAGAAUGUGAUAUGAGCUUUGCAAUAAUUGUAUUCCACAAAAAUGUUUUACCAAUACCACCGUGUCCAUUGAUAAAAAAUAAAUGCCCUUUUUCAUUCUCAACAGAAUGCAUUAUUGCUUCAUAGGCUGAUUUUUGGCAAGCAUUUAGAGCAGCAAACGAUUUCUCAUGCAACUUCUUUAAUUGAUCACGAUCAUAAUCAAGCUCUUCAUUGACCAAUCGGUUACCUGAAUCUCUUAUCAAAGAAGAAUUAGGAAGUGGCAUUCCAUCUAUGUCUCUCAAACUUUUUCCCAUUUUCAACAUGAUAGUUUCAAUCUCCAACAAUGUGUAUGCUUCAACUUGUUGCUCGGUUAACUGAAGAUCUUUCAAUCUGAAUCUUUUCCUUUGCAAUGAAGUUAUGUCUUCUGAUAAAGUAGUAUAAUUAGAUUUCCAAAGUUGGGAUGCAUCAGAAACCUGACAAUGAAUGAGUAUCGUGACAAAAAGAUGUCUUAAUUCAUUUCCAGUCGCCUAUAUUGCAGCUUCAGUCAAGCAGUCGAUCCAUUCUUUAUCAUCUUCUAAUAAUCCCAAAGCAUAGCACGCAGCUUUAAAAGUUGGAUAUGUCACUCCAUUUACUGUUCUAAUACUUUCAAAUGAAGUGCUUCCUUUUACAAAAUUGAGCAACAUUCUCAUAUAAAAUCGUUCUCCACUUGAGGGAUGUGCAAAGUAAAUUCUUCUGAUUGCUAAGCCAUUUUUUCUCCUAGUCCAAGUUUUGUCUUUUGAAUUCCAUACCCAACAUGUAGGGAAAUCAGAAUAAGUUAACUCUCGUACAUCAUCAUAUAUCUUGUUUGCUUCCAACCAUUCUGUGAACUUUGUUUUUUCUAUUCCAGGUAUGGUAAGCACAUUUUGUAAGCACUUGGAUUCUUUGAAUAUUACUGUAUGCUCUCCCAGUAAAUGGAAUGGUAAUCUUUCAACUGCCGGCUUUCUGUAAUGUAUGUCAAAUUGGAAGAUUCGCCAGCAAGCUUCGGUUGCUGAUAUAUAUCUAUAGUCCAAAUAUGUUUUGAUCUCGUCCAUUUCUUGGGUAGUGUCAAUAGAUUCCAUUGUUGCAGUUGUUCUAUCAGACCCUUUAUGGACAUACUUGAAAAGAUAUUUAACUGAUCUCGAGUAAUUACAAAUCUCAAUAUUAAUAUGUGCAUCAAAUUUGACAAUUAAAUUCCUGUGAUAAGGGACCACAUAUCGAUUAUCCAAGAAGACACCUUUCUUUUCGACAUGAAUACCUGUAUUUCUCCUUUUAUAGACUAUAAAGCCAUUUGUAUCCACUGUUGUCUGAUCAUUAAAUUUUUUUGGAAAAUGUUUUGUGCACUUGUCUUGCAUCAUGCAUGGAGAGUGAGAAUUGUGUUUUCCACACGGUCCAUGAAUCAUAAAUUUGUUAACUGCAUUAUAACCAUCAGAAUCAACAUUUAAGUCAGGGAUUUUUGCACUUAUUAUUUUAUCAAUAUAGUCUGCAGAAGGAUUUUUCAUUGUUGGAUGCAAAAAAAGUAGUAUGUGUGCAUGGGGCAAGCCUCUUUUUUGAAACUCAAUUGUAUAUAGACCUGCCACAACAUGGGGUAAAAUUUAAAAGUUAGAAAUAUUGAUUUCAAUUGUGAAAUUAUUGUUCUUCCCUGCACUUUUCAAUAACAAAUGAGUUGAAUUUGUUAUGGAUAUGAAUUUGAAGUGAACUUACAUGCAAUUAUUUUUCCAAACGGUUGAUCCUUUUUCAGAUCUUGCAUUAGUUGGAAUAAUUUUAUCUCGAAAACUCUGCAUAUGAUAUCGACUUGAUUGUCAUCAUUCUUUUGUCCAACUAAUCGGAGCAUGUUAUUUAUUUCUUGCCACUUUGGGUUGCAAGUGAAAGUAAAAAAUAAAUCAGGAUAUCCUGCCCAUUUACAAAUUGCCAUAGUAUCUUGAUAAUUUUGUAUUCUAUAUCGUGGUCCCCCCGUGUGUGAUGAAGGUAGAAUAAUCAAUUUUCCAACUUUCGAACAAUCAAAAUCACCUCGAUGAACAGCAUCCAUCAAACCAGAGAAAAGGUUUGAUCUAAGUUUUUGUUGAUUAUUCUGGAUCCAACGAAAUCUUUCUUCUUCAAUUGCCAUGUAACAAUCAAUUAUAUAUUGUUGGAAUAGUCUACCAGCUUGAAGUAGAGUGUGUCCUUAAUUUAAUCUUUGUUGCAACCUAAAGCAAUAAUAUUGCCUCAUUGUCAGCUUUUGCCUCUUAAAAGGGCUAUCAGUUACGUCUCUUAAAGAUAUGUCAGGUCUAUAUCCAUCUUCGCCAUAAGGAUAUAUUAACGGGUAUGUCAUGGGCAUGAAACUUGGAUGCAAAUCUGUGAUUCUUCGAAGUCCCUUUGUACGAUGCUCUAUAAUAACAUCGCGUUGAAAGUUCGCUUCACUGAAAUCACCAACUAUUAAGCCUGUAACUUAUGAAACUAUUGGCAUAUUAUAUCGACGGCCAUCUCUUGCUCUACUAUUAAGGAGUCGUAAACGGAAUGUAGAUUCUGGUUGUGUUUUGUAUCUAUCCCUUGCCAUUCUAAAAGAUUUGACCAAAUUAUUAUGUUGGUCCAACAUUUUAGAUAGUUCAUGAAGAAUUUCGUGAUCAAUUUCUGUCUUCAUUCCAUGUUUUAAUAGAGUGUUGAUUCUGUUGUCUGUCUCAUUUUCAGUAUCAUAGAUAUAAAGCUGAGCAAACUGUGGUUUUUUCCCAACUUUUGGCAACAAAGAACCAAUGUGAUGAUAAUUCUGACCGCUCAUCCUGAAAACAUAAGGACCUUUUGAUCGAUUGAUUGAUGCAUCAACUCAACCUCCCAUAGAUGUGAAAGCAAACAUGGAGUUAAAAGCCCUGAUAUUUUUUUGAAAUUUGGAACCCUUUUGUCCAGAAUCCGCCUCGAGAAGAUAUUUGAGUAAAGGAGGUGUUUCUUUCAUGAAUGGAAUCUGUACACGACCUUCCAUACAACAAAAUGUGAAUUUGGGAUGUGAGAUGAUGAGCAUAUAAUACAUACAUAUUUUACCAUUAAUUAAAUAAUUGCUAGUUAUAUUUAUUUUUUAUUUUUAAUUAAUUGAAUUAUUUUAUUGAAUAGGAAAUUAAUUGGAGAUUAUGGAUAAAAAGAGCAUAAAGGAGUUUAAUUUAUAAGCAUUAAAGAUUAAUUGAUUUUUGGAAGGAAUUAGACAUACAUGCAUGUGGAAAUCAAGCCAAGGAACCGAAUUCAACAAGUUAAUUCAUCAUGCACAUGCGGACAAAAGAGAGAAAUUGAUUUUAGCUUUAAGAAGGGACCCCACGUGGCUUUCAUAAAUGGAAAAAGUAAACCUAUUACAAUUCAAAGUGCCCACGUGAGUAAAGCAAAACAAAUAACUUCCAAACCCUUUUGGCUUUAGGAUUGACAAGGUGGGGCCCAUUUUAAAGGCUAUAUAAGAAAGCUAAGCUCUUGGCUUUUAGAGGGAAGAUGAGCCGCCAAGAAGGGAGCUGCAAACGCAAGACGCAAGACUGGGCAGCAGCAGUUUGGCUUCCAUGAGUGAUUUUAUUUCUUUUGUUGCUCCCAAUUCAAGUAUGUCUAACUAAUUUUUUUAUACUGAUGUUAAAGAUGAAACCCUAUUCAAUGAAAUAAUUAUCUCUUUUUAUUUAAUUAAUUCCCUAUAUAUGUUCUUUGAUGAUUAUGGUUUUUAUUUCACAUGAUUAAUUGGAUGUUAAUAAAAUCUUUUCAUCAAUUCUGUCAUGCAUUAUUGAUUGUUAGGAUUAAUAUUCGAUUAAAUCUAUGCUUGGAUUUAUAAAAUUUUUACAUGAUUAUCUUUGAUUCUAUGUUUUUAAUUAAAUUGUUUACAUGGAGUGCUUAGGAAACUUUGACUCUUUGUUAUUCAAUAUGUUUACAUGGGAUGCUUAGAUAUCAUACUAUUAAGUAGAAAAAGAACCUACAUUAGAUUUAAUUACUUGGGCUUAAUUGCUAUAUCCAUGAGAUGACAUAAAUUGAUUUCGAGUUGUCACUCUAAAAUUGGGGAUUAAUUAAUAAUUAGAUAAUUACUAGUUGAAUAGUGGUAGAUUCUGAAACCUUGGUAAUUCUUAUUUUAUUGAAUUUUCCUUUAUUUUAAUUGCUUCCUUAGUUUAAUUGGUUUAAUUUUCUUAGAAACUCAAUUUGGUCAACUAGGUUAGAAUUAAUAUUAAUUUUAGAUUUAAAUUAGACUUUUCAAUUUAUAACAAUCCCUGCGGGAUCGACCUCGUUACCACUAUUCUAUUUCUAGAUUCGUGCGCUUGCGAAUAUAUUAAAAUUUUCACAACAUGAGACCCUUUUGGUUUUCUUGUUCCGUUCCUCGUACCAUAAAAUGGCACCACAAUAUUGACAUGUGUAUGUAGGGGGUCCAAAAUUCCAAGGCGUUGUAUAAUGAACUGUCAAAUUCAACAAAUAAUAAUAUUGUAACAAAGUAUCUUAUUUCGUCUAAGUGAAUAUGGUAAGAAAAAAUAUUACUAAAUAUAUUAAUAUUUUCAUUGUACAUGUAGUUUCAUGCAAAUAUGCACCAUUAUUUGAUGUUACACCAUCCAAUGGAAAGCUUGUGGACUGAUCUAUAUUCUCAUCAAAAGAGAGACACGCUCUUUUUAGUUGUCCAUGUUCAACUGCAUAUUUUUAAAGUUCCAAAAGCAAUGAAUAAGUUAUUAGUUUCAAGUAUUACAAGCAUGAUGAAUAACUAAUAAAGCUCGAUAAAUGUAAAUAUAUAUACGUACCUGUGUGAAGAAGGCGAUUUCCUCUGUUUGUUUGACUCUUUGGAUUUAUAUGUGAUGAUGUUUUAUUAUUAUCAUAUCCAGCUUUACCAGGAGAUUGAAGGAAAUUCCCAACUGAAAUAUGUUAGAAAUAUAUAUAUUUGUUAAUAUAUAUUAACAUAAAUAAUUUAAAUUAUAUAGGGAUAAUUUUUGUAAUUUGUAUAGUAGGAAUAAAAAUAAUAUUUUCAAGAAUCACAUACCGUUUGAGUGAAGCAAUUUAUUAUAACUUCUAAUGUCGUCCAACUUCAUAAAUUUUGUGUAAAAAUUCACAAUUUGUAGCAUCAAAAUUAUUCUCCUUUUUAAAUCAUGUUUGUAUCGAUUAUGAAUAAUCAUAAUUUUCCACUUAAAUCUUGCAUGCUUGAAUAUGGCCUUCUGCACGACAACAUAUCCAUUGUUUAUUGUGUCACACUGGAAAUUUGAUGCAUAUUUCCUAAGCUUUAAUUUCAUAAUCCUUUCGUGCCGAGCUAAAGAUGAAAGUUGAUGCCGCAAGAGACAAACUUCUGGCGGAAUAUUCCUUGAGUCAUCGAAAUCAUUAAUAGUUGCAGAAAUCAAUUCCAUUUAUUCUGGUGAACAACAAAGUGAAUUCAAUAUCACAAAAUAUUCUAAAAUUAACAAAACGUUUUAUUACAAAUCAUAACAAGAGAAACCGAAAAUAUAAAAUGUUUUUUUCAAAAGAGAUGAAAAAAAUAUUUUUCAAUUAUUGAAAUAAGAAUUGCAAUGAAUUUUUCAAACGAAUACAUACCAUAUGUUAGAAAGAACAAAAAAAAAUCACUAAAAACAAAACAAAAUAAAAUGGGAUUUAAUUUAACCAAUUCAAUUUAAUUUUAAACUCAUGCAAGUGUCACAUUGGCUUAAUUUUUGUUGUGCUUAUAGCCAGGAAUAGAGGCUUUUAGAUUACUUCUUUAUUAGGUUAUUAUUCUUCGAAUUUGGUGGGUACAUUGUGAGCUUUUUCAGUUGUGAUAUUAUCAAAUCAAUCCAUGCAAAAUAAUCAUUAAUGUAAUGUUUUUGUUAUUUUCAAACCGAUAAAUAAUUAUGAAUUGUUUCUAUAAUUGUGUAUUUAGAAACAACGUUAACACAUUUUUUCAGAACAAACUUCUAAGUUUGAUUGAUUUUAGAUCUAAUUACGAUACCCUAAAUUAAUAUAGAAAGUCAACAAAAAUCUACUUUAACAGUUCUAAUGUAAAUUUAAAGGCAAUUAAUUUUGAGUAAAUAUGAACUAAAACAAAACUUGAACAAAAUCUGAAUUUAUGUAUAAUAUUAAGGUAGCCACAUUGCAUUUGAAAAUGUCAAUUAGUGGGAUCUAAAUAAAUAAUCACCUUGGAAUUUUUUAAUGGUUGUAGGAGUUAAUAUUACAAUACAUGGGCUGUCAUCUUUGUUGUACAAAUUUCGAUCAAACAUCUCCCCCAACUUUUUCCAUAAAGUAAUCUUUGAUAUCACCGAGCUAUCCAUAAAAAUUGCCACAAGUGAAUAAUAUAAAGAGAAAAACUCAUUAUAAGGAUAUCGUAUUAUCAUUAAAUUUGAAAGUUUUGAAUUACGUUAUUAUACAAUUGGUUACUUUUUUUAAUUCCAAAUCACCAAUAUUAUUAUUCCCUAUUUCAAUAUGAAUAUUACCACUUGACUUUUUUAUUUGUGUUUAUGAAGAGGUGGGGUGUGAGGAAAAGAAAAAAAAUGUUUUUCUUAAGAAUUAGAAAAAAUAAUUAGGCAAUAAUUCAAGGAAUUGAGGUUGUUCAUUCUACAUUCCAUUUGGAUUUAGAGUGAUUUUCAUAGAUUUUUCUUUUAUUAAUUAUGCUAACCGUCAAGUACUGUUGUUUAUUCUAUUGCGUUUGGGAGAAGAUGCUUGGGCUGCCUAGAACUUAUUUUCUAAUUAAUUUUUCUUGUGAAUACAUUGAAUAAUCUCAAAGGGCUAUAUCCUUUUUCAUUUUACUUUAACGGUUUUUCUUCAACAAAUAUUGGAUGUAUUUAGUGAAAAAGAAAAUUAAAAAUUAGGAAAGAACUAAUAAAAUUAGUGAAGUCAAAUUGUCGAUCAAUUCUUAUGAUAAAACAAUAAUUAAAAAAUAUAUAGUCAUAGUUUUCUUGAUUAUAUUCGACUUAUUAAUCUGUUAAAACUUUUUAUAUCUUUUUUUCCAACUUCCCCAUUUGGUGAACUGUAAAAAUGAUAUGUUUUUUUCCACCAUUUGUCUCUAUCUUUUUUCACUCACAAAGAGUUAAUAGUUAUUAAUCAAUUAAUUUUUUUUGUUUGCAUAAGAAUUAAUAAUAUUGCAUACAUGUAUUGUGAAAUAAUUGUUUGUUCAUAAUUAUUUUUUGCAUUUUUUUAGAAGUCAAUAGUCAAAUUAAUGAUAUUGAAUUAAGACAUUUCGAAGUUUGCUAUUUUGUACUUCUAAGAUUUCCUAGAAAUGCUUGCAAAUGGGAGGCAUUAAUUUUUCUGUUUACUUUAUUGAAUUUCAUAAAAUUCAAUUCAAGCCAAAAAUUGAAGGUUAGAAAAGCAGUUGGAUAGUUUCAUAAAAUUAUUAUUUUAUCAUUUAAAAGAUAUGUACCACAUCAAUUAAGACUAAACAUUAGAAUCAUUAGCAUUGUUCCAAUCACACAGGCAAAAUCUAUCACUCUAAUAGUCAAGUACAUUGUACAAUGCAGUCGAGAACAACUUAAGCAUUUAGUUAACCUUUUCUAUCUGUUUAUUUCCACAAAACACCAAAUAUCCAAAUUGACACUGGAUCCUCCGAGUCAAAUAUAGCUAGCUCACGUUCAGAAAAGACCUGCCUCUUUUGAUUGUACCUCCUGCAUGCGAAUUAUAUAACAAUUAAAUAAAACUACACCAGAGAUUAAUUAGUCAAUAAAUAUAAACACGAGCUAAAACAUGUGUCUACUAAUAAUUCUUAAACGGGUCAAAGCUUUCAAAGUUUGCAUUGAAAAAUUAAAGUGAAAAUCUUCAAUACCUCCACGUGUAAAUCGUAUAAAUUAGACAACCAAAGAUUUUUCUUUCUUACCUUAUGCUUUUUCGCAAACAAGUAGAUAGCAACAAUUGUAAAGACAAGUGAGCAGUAAUCUGUUAAAAUAAAGUAAUCCGAUGUUAAUGAAAAUAAGAACAACAUAUUAUGUUUAAAACUAAGUUUUUAUAAUAAUGAAAUCGAGUAAAGUUAUUCGAUAAGGAUAAACAAAUAGAACGCAUUGACAAAUUGGCAUCAAAUUAAAUUGAUCCAAAGAAAUUGAGAUGCUAAAAUUUGAUUACGUACACAUUGAUUUUCAAAUAAUUAAUCCACACAUUGUUUUAUUCUUCAAACAUCUUUAAACACAAGAGCCAACACUUUCACUCUUAUAUAUUACUGCCAUAGUAACUUGAACUUGGUGAUCAGCUUUUUAAUUGAUUUGCAGUAGCUCACAAUUAAUUAAGCUUGAUCAUCAGUAGCUAGUAUUGAUCAUAAAAAUAUUUGUUUAAUUUACAAUCUAAAGUUACGCUCCAUACUCUAUAUAUGUGAAUUAUAUAUUUGCAUCAUCAACAUUAACAUUAUAAAAUAAUCUGUGCAAUAGGAUGCUCUUGGAGUAUUUUAUUUUCAUCACAAAAUAUAUUAAAAUUAUAUUAGACAGAGAAUAUAUCUAACACUUUCUAAACACUAAUAUAUAAUAGUUUCUACAAAAUAUGAAAUAUCUGUACUAAAAUACCAAAAUAUAAAUAUAUAUAGCCUAAUUGGAAUCAAUAAUCAAACUUCAAACAUGUCAUACUCUAAAGAAAUUAAAGCAUGAUAGUCUGUGUGUUUGACAUAUUCAACUAAAUGUUUGAUGAGAAUCUGUGAUUGUUAACAGCCAAUAAUGGUUUCUUUAGCAACUCAACUCAACUCAGCAAAACCACAACCAAUUACAUUUACCAACUCAACUCCUCGCUUCCCCAAUUUCCAACAUUCUCUUCACAUUUACAAAUGGUAGGUGGUCCUAUAAAUCCCAUUCAAGAAUGAACAAUUUUUUUCAGUUCCUAGUAGGUGAAGUUUCUUCCACAUUUACAAAAAUUUCGACAGCAUCUCCCCAUAGUUCUCCAAGUACACGACCUAGAUUUAUCCAUUCAUCUAGUAUGUACCCAGAGAACAUGAGGAGCAGCUAUCGAAAUUUCCUUUUACGUGAAACAAAACUUCACCUACUUUGAACUAAAAAAAAUUAUGCAUUCCCAAACUAUCCAAGUCGGGACAAUUCAAGAAUUAUUAAUAGACAUAUGAUCCUCUUGUCAUCCUAAGAUGACACGGAUAAAACAUGUGUCUACUAAUAAUUCUUAAACGGGUCUGAGCUUUCAAAGCAUGGAUGAAAAAAAAACGUAAAUCAAUAUAUAUAUAUAUAUAUAUAUAUAUAUAUAUAUAUAUAUAUAUAUAUAUAUAUAUAUAUAUAUAUAUAUAUAUAUAUAUAUAUAGAUUGCUUACAUAGAUUGCUUGGAUCCGAGAACUUUACAAUGAAAAUGUUUACAGUUUUGUAGAAAGGAAAAAUAACAAGACAGGAAUAGUUUUCCUUGACGUCUUGAUCCUGAUUUCCCGAAGAGAGAGAGAGAGAGAGAGAGAAAGUCUAGAAAAUGUAAACAAAGCUCUCCCCUUAAAUGUUACAAAGCUUUGAAUUUAAAACAACUGAAGCUUGAACUAUGGCGAGUUUGUAGCUUCAACUGUAGUGAAACUAUAGCUUUAUUCGUCCACUGUAGCGAAGCUGUAGCUUUACACAUGCGUGGUUGGUGAGUGGAGAUAGCAUCAUUGUGAAUGGACUUAGCUUUAUUGGCUUUUGCUGUAGUUUCACAUGCGUAGAUGAUGGAGCGGGAUCGUCAAGACAUGUGGGGGACAACAUCAUUCUUCUUUACAACUUUGAAAGAAAAUAAAAGAUGGGUGAAGAGACAUGUGCGCUCUCACUUGUGUCCAGAGGACCACCCAUAAAAAUAAUAUAUUAUGAAAAUAAUUACAACAGAGUAAUUUUUACAAAGGGGAAUACAAUCGUUAAUUACAUGAGUAAUAAAUACAAGGAAAUAAGGGAAAUAGGACAAUCUUUACUUUUUUUUUAACAAAGCUUUAAUGCUUUAAUGGAGAGAAUAUUUCGAAGCAGUCAUCUUCGUUUUCAUCUCCGAGGGAGAUAAACGGUUCAGCUUCUCCUGAGGAACUUGAUGAAGAACUUGCAGCAGAUGCCUUUGAUCUAGUGGCAAGAAGUUGCUGCAUUACUUUGAAACAUUCAUCCUCGGUUUUGGCACUAGCCAGUAGGGAUUGGGCUUUUGCUCUUUGGGCAAGGAAAGUGCUUUGGGCUUUGGUUACAUCUUUACUUGGGGCAAGGAGGCCUCUUGUAGAAAGCCAGGAUUGGACCGUGGCUUCAGACAAUUUUGACUGUUCGUCAAAUUUAGACCACCAUUUGACUUUAAAGGUUCUUAGUAAAACUAGUUGGGUGUCUAUGGUGUGGUAUUGGAAAUUCCACAUCCAAACCCAGGGAAGGAAAAAGUUUGUACAAAAACAGAGAAAAAGAGGAAACCUCUUCUCAGGCUCAGAAGGAACAUAGUGGGCUUUAAAUAAAUUUAAACAUUUGAUGGCAUUUUGGGUUAGAAUUUCUGGGUUUGGCCCAAAAUAGUUCCACCAAAUUUGGAACCAAAUUGGAAGGCUUUGAACGGUUAUUUUUUAGUUGAAGAAAAAUAACCAAGAGUGAGACUUUUUUGGAUUUUGGAUAAAAAAAUGUAUUAAACCAAGCCUACUGAUAAUCCCAGUAGGAGAAAGAUAAGCAGUGGUUAGGCUUCUUUGAAAAUUGGCGGGAAAGGUUUUUGGUUUGUGGAGUUGUUCACCCCACUGAUUUGGACUUAAGACUUUAAGAAUGGUAGCCGUGGAAUAGGCUAGCUCAGAAUGAGCUUCACUAAGAAAGAAAUGUUUAAACUUUACUGACUCAGUGAACUCAAGUAUGCUUUGGUAGAAAGACUGGAGUUUAGAUAAAUCCCAUGGUUUGAAAAACCAGCCUUUCGGAAAAAUCUUUGAAAUUGCUUGAAAUGGAUCAGAAUGAUAAAACCCAUCCUCCAUAGAUAAAACAUUUUGUUGAUAGGCUUUAUUAAACCAAUCCGAUGAUUUUUGUGAAAGCUUUGAUUCAGAAACAACAAUUUAUGAAGAAGAGCUUUCACAAGAAACAAUUUCUUUAGAGGAAGGGGGUUUUGAAAUUGUUUUAGAACUAAGUUUUUCUUUUUCAAGGAUUUGAGAAAGGGCUUUAGUUUGAGAAAUAUUUUGUAAGGCGAGCAUAAGCUCUGGAGACUUUGUAAUGGAGUUCAUCCAUUCUUUUACCUGAUCUUCUGAGGUAAUGGCUUUAUAUUGGGCUUCUUGUUCUUCAACCAUUUCAAUCCAAGAUUUGAUAGGCAUGGCAGAAGAAAGUAAUUUUUCUUUGGAUGGGGUUGAUUGGGGUUCUUUGGAGGUUGUUUGUGAGUCAGUGUCUUUAAGAACAGCUUUACCCUUGUCUUUUUUCUUGGGCGGCAUUAUCUGUUUUGAAGAAAUUCCCUAGUUAAAAAAUCAGGGAUAGAAUUUGUAUCUCCUUUAAUAAAUUCAAUAUCAAAAUCAAAAACACUUAAAAUGGCUUGCCAUCUUGCAAAAAUUUGUUUUGAAGCAAUAUUUUGAACAUCUUUUUCCAAAACAUGUUUUGCAGCUUUGCAAUAAAUUCUAAGCAAAAAUUUUUGAUUUAACAAAUCGCUUUGAAAUUUAGAAAUGCAUAAUACAAUGGAAAGAAUCUCUUUUUUAAUAGUAGAGUAAUUUCUUUGACAUUCAUUCCAAUGAGCAGAAAUAUAUUGUACUAUUUGUUCUUUAUUAUUAUCGGAUUGCUUUAAUAUACCUCCAUAACCUAAAUCUGAUGCAUCAGUUUCAACAAUUUUAGGCAAUGCAGGAUUUGCAAGGAAUAAACAUGGAAUAUUCUUAACAUAAUUCUUUAUUAGUCUAACGGCUUUCGUGUGCUCAUCAGUCCAUGCAACAGGGUUCUUUUUCAAUCUGUCAUGCAAGGGUUUUGACAUCCUGUUGAUAUUGGGACAAAAAUCAAGGACAUAAUUUAAACUUCCUAGAAAUCUUUGCAGUUGAGUUUUAUCAAGAAUUUUAUCAAGAAAUUUAUCAGCAAAUAUAAGAGAUCGCUCAAUAGGAGUAAUGGUUCCUUUGGAAAUGUAAUGACCUAGAAACCUGAUUUUUGUUUGAAACAAGGAAACUUUAGAACUAGAAAUGGCUAAGCCGGCCUUUCUAGUGGCAAGGUAGAAAGUCUUUAAAUGUUUGAAAUGUUGUUCAAUAGUUUGGGAAAAGAUUAACACAUCAUCAAUAUAGACAAUGCAAAAAUCAGAAAAAGGAUUAUAAAUAUCAUUAAUAAUUCUUUGAAAUUCUGAAGGUGCAUUUUUUAAACCGAAUGGCAUCACAAUCCAUUCAUACUGUCCAAAAGGAACAGUGAAAGCAGUUUUAUAACGGUCUUUAGGAUGAAUUUGAAUUCGCCAAAAUCCCGAUUUCAUAUCAAAUUUUGAAAAUACGAAAGCAGAAUGUAGUUUUUGGAGUAAAUCUUUUUUGUUAGGUAUGGGAUACCUAAUCCAUUUUAAUGCUUUAUUAAGGGGUUUGUAAUUUAUUACGAGUCUGGGUGUUCCUCUUUCUAUUUCAGAGUUUUUGUUAAUAUAGAAAGCGGCACAAGACCACGGAGACCUAGAUUUUACAAUGAGUCCUUUUGACUCCAAGUCUUUGAUUUCAUCUUUGUAAUGCUGUUCUAAUUCCAUGUUCAUUUGAAUAUGAUGGGCUUUAGUAGGUAUUUGUUUUUCAUCAAAAGAAUUUUCAUAAGGCAAAUCUACCAAAUGUUGUUUUCUAUUCCAGAAAGCAGAUGGUAGGUCAGCACAUAUUUCUUUUUCAAUGAGAUUUCUGAAAUCAGAGAUUUUUCUUUUUAUAAAAUCAUUUUGUAAUUGGGUUUUGAUUCUUUGUAAACUCAAAUAUUUUUUUAAACAAAUAAGGUCAUUUUUUUUUGAUUUAAGGAGUGUAUAAAUUUGAUUCUGAUAAACAGAACAAGCUUUAACAAUAUUCAAAUUUCUUGUUUUGGGUUUUUCAAUAAAAGAGAAAACAAGUUUUUUGAUUUUUGCUUUAAAGGAUAUACUAUCAUAAUUGACAGUAUAAGGGGUAAUAAGGUUUAUGAAAGGAACAAGCUUUAACAAUAUUCAAAUUUCUUAUUUUGGGUUUUUCAAUAAAAGGGAAAACAAGUUUUUUGGUUUUUGCUUUAAAGGAUAUACUAUCAUAAUUGACAGUAUAAGGGGUAAUAAGGUUUAUGAAAGGAGUUCCUAAUAUAACAAAAUGAUGAAUGUCAUUUGUUAGAAGAAAGGAAGUCCGAAAUUCAAAACCAUUAUUAUGCACUGAGACAUCAACUUUAGAUUUGACUUUUAACUUUGAAUUAUUAGUGGCAGAAAGUCUUUCAUUUGCUUUUUCAUGAAAUCUUUUAGGGAUAAUAUCUUCUUUAAUGCAGUUUAGAUCGGCACCGGUGUCAAAGAGGGCAAUAGUGUCAAUCUCAAAGGCUUUAGAAAGAAUUAAGGUGAUUUUAAUCAAAUAUUUUUUCGUGGUGAUUUGCUUUAAGACAAUCAGAAAAUCAUUGGGUACAGAUUCAAUGUUUUCAAGAUUUUGUUCAUUAUCACCGUCAGAUUCAAUUUCUUUAUCAGAAUUAUCCUCUAAUUAUUUUUGUAAGAGGAGUUGGAUGGUUUCAGAAUCAUUCUUUUAUUUUUCUUUUAAUUCCUUUAUUUCGAGUUUGAUUUCUUUAAUCUCUUUUUGAAGGUCUUGGAUAUUGGGAAUUGUUUUCUUUGUUCUCUUUUUAUCCAAGAUUUCAGUUAGGUCAUAUGUAUUCUUUUUAAUUAUUGGAGUUUUGGAAGUUUCUGUUUUAUUGUGUUCUAAGGUCUUUAAAAGCUUAUCGAGGUAUUCCUUUUGAAGAUUUAGAUUAGAAAUAUGUUUAACCAAUUCAAGUAAAGUUUCUUGUUCCUUAGUCAACACAUUGAUUUUCUUUAAGUAGGAUUCUGAGUCAGAAUCACUAUCACUGGAUACAGAUGUAUCUGAGUCAAUUAACUCAUCAACCUGUAGAGGUUCACUGUCUCCCGUCAUGGAAGACUCAGAGUCAGAAGACUCUAUCAAUAAAGGGGCUACUUUAGAAAGGAUUUCUUCAUCAAGGCCAAGCUCCUGGAGCUUUCUGUUCAUUCUGUAAAAUUUUACAGUGUGGCCUUUCUUUCUACAUUUGUAACAUGUGGCUUCUUUAUAAUUAAAGGGGGUUUUUGUUGUGUCUUUAAAGGUUUUCUUUUUAGAGAAAUAGGGUUUCCUAUAAGGCUUCGAAGGUUUCUUAUGGAAGGGUUCUCUAAAGUUUUGGAAGGGUUUCCUAUAGCUUUUAGAUUUGUGAUGUUUUUUGUAAGGUUUUGAAGAACACUUUCCAUCACAUUCUUUAGAAGUGGAAGUUUUAAAGGGAUCAUAAUUGAAUUGCUUGCAGAAACUGCCUAAUUCUUGCUUAGAUUUCCUAAGCUCCCAUUUUAGACGUUUCUGAAGUUUCAAAUCUUGACAAAUCUUUAAACCUUCCUUGUUAACAAAACUGACAAGUUCACUGUAGGUGAGCUCAUCAUAAGGAAUACGGUUGUCAUAUAAGGCUUUAAUAGAAUUCCUAACCUUUUCUCCUAAUAGGGUAGGUAAACCUGUAAGGAAUUUCUCUUUCCAGGUUAUAUGAUUUGCAUCAUCCCUAAGGAAGAGUCUGGUAAAGAAUGUGGUUUUGUAACUUUGGAACUCACUAAGUUUCCUACACCUCAAGUUAUGUAGUAACUCAAUAUUUUUAUCUUUUAGGUGUGAAGGAUCACCUAUGAAAUGAAGAGAUAUAGUCAGAAUCAGGGUAGCAACAACAUCCUGAAUAGGACUAUUGAAUUCAUCAAGGAUGGGGGCACCAUUUUCAUCUGUCUGAAUUGCAUUGAGGAUAUUUAAUUGUUGCUGUUUAGUGAGAAGGUGAUCCCACCAACCUUUAAGCUGACCAGUAAAACCAGCAAUGAGAAUUUCUGUAAUGGCUUUGUCAGAAGUUCCCGACUGAGUUUUAUAGGCAUUAGCUGCCAUGGUCAUCUGUUGCAACAAUCCUAGUAUGUUGUAUUCAGACAUACCAUCAAUAUUCCACUCAUAGACAGAAGAUGCAUUGAAUCGUGAUUGAUUUAAUGCUGCAGUCUGUUGUCUAUGGCUAGGUCAGGUGGAGACUUGACAGUAGGUAGAGCUAAUUCCCAAUGAAUUUUGUUGGCUUUGGAAACAGGUUCUUCUUUAAAGGCUUCUAUAUUAGAAGAGGCUAUAGACACAUUGUCUUGUUCUAGUACAGCAAUUAUGCUAGAUUGGGCACUGUCAGGGGCUAUUUGGAUUUUACUAGAAAAGAAAGAAGAAGCUUCUAUUCUAUCUAGUUGUUCUUUAAUGGCUUUAGCAAAAUAGCUAUAGUUGACUUCUGGAAUUGGUUUUCUAUUCUAGUGAACUGCUUUCCUAUUGUGUUUAGAUUAGCAUUACAGAAAUUAUUCUGUUGGAUAAUACUAUCUAAAUCUGAUUCUGGAUCUUUAUGGAUUUUAUAGGGUGAGGCUUUAAUUUCGAUAGGAGGCUCACCAUGUUCAAUGAUUAGACUCCUAAGAGGUGGAUGCUCAGAUUCUAUGACUCUACCAUUACCAGAGAGGUUCCACUCAGUGGUUUUCUUUCUAACAGUAAUGGGAUUUGAUUCUUUAAAAGGAUAUGAAAUGUUGUUAUUUGAAGCAUACAUCUCAAACCAAUCAAAAAAUAAUAUAUGAACUUUAUGCAGAUUUACAAACUCAUAGUAAGUUUCUUGAAUUUCUUUUCGUUGGUUUAAGAAAUGUUUAAAAAAUCAAAGUCUUUUUUCUUUAUUAGUGUCAGAAUAAAAAUCAUUAUGAAGAAGAGUUUUAUCUAAUUCAAAGUCUUUUUCAAUGACACGAAUCACAUUUUCUGUGACAGCAGAAAACGUAGGAGAGGUUGGAGGAGAAGGUUCCUUCUCUUCCUGGCUUUGUUCAUGUUGACAGCUAGUGUAAAUUGGGUGAGGAACACUAGUGGUAUAGUCAACAGAGUGAAUAGAGGAACUAGGUAUAUCUGAGGUAGAAAACCUAGGUUGACUCUUUACUGGUUGGAAAGGGAGAUUUAUAACGGAAGGAAUCUUUGAAAAUUUCCUUUCUAAUGAGGGAAUACUUGAGCAUGAAUCUUUAUCAGAGAAUCUAGAUGAUGUAGAUCUCCUAAAUGAUAAUUUGACUUUACCAUUUGAAUACUGAGUUACAUUUUGCAACUCUGUAUUAGGCUCAAGUUGUUUUGGAAUCACUGGUGCAGUGGCUCCUUCAAGAAUUCAUUCGUCUGGAAGAUUGACAUCUUUCCAUUGGAUUGGUUUUGGAAUAACGGUAUUAGCUUUAGACAAGUCAGUCUGCAAGAGAAGAGUCUCAUCUCUUUUUCACUGGAAUUUAUGUUGCGUGCUAAACGCAGAGAUCAUGUCUUUGUAAGAAAUUUUAUAGAUUAAUGCAACUGGAACAGAUCCCUCAAUCAUGUGAUAAUUAUGGGUCUUGAUUUGCAAAAUCAUGCUUUUUAAAAUGUUUUUGUCUUUUAAAGAAAUUGUUAUAUUCGGGUAACAAUUAAAUGAAAUUGGACCUUUACAAAGGCUUGAUUCUUUACUACUUAGUAAAGAAUCAUCGAAAAAGAUGAAUCGCCCAUCUCUUAGGACAGCAAGAAUGGAAGUAUUUAAACCUUCUUUUGUUAAGGGGUUUAUACCAACUUGUAUUAAACCAAUGUGAAUAUAAUUAAAUUUUUAUCUUUUAGUUUCUUUAAAGAGUGCUCUGAAAAGAGAUGAAUAGUUUCAAAUGGCUUUGAGAGAGUUAUGUCUCGUUCUUCAGUUUUUAUAACAUAAUCAUUGUUUAAAAAAUCAAGCUUUUUUGUUUUGUAAAUCAUUUCUAUAUUAACUUUUGGUAAUUCCCAAUUAUCAAUUGCUUUAUUAAAGUCUUCAAUUAUAAAUUCUUCCGAAUUCACAACAUUCUUUGAAUCACUAGUUCUUCCAGAAGAAGAGCUAGAAAAGGAUGAUGCUCUAUAGAGUAGAGAAUCCAUGGAUAAAACCUAUAUUCUAGUUUUAGUCUUGUCGGUAUGGCUACAAUCCAAGGCUAAGAAUUGGUUUUACUGCCCUCAACCAAAUCGGGACUUACGACCAAAUACUACCAAGGCACACAGAGGUAACACUCACCACAUAAACAAUGUUCAACCAAAACACAAGUCUUUAAACACAAAGUCUCUAUCCUAUAUUACACUAUCCUCCCCUUGGCUCUGAUACCAAUAAGAAAAUAGGAGAGCUUUGUUUACAUUUUCUAGACUCUCUCUCUCUCUCUCUUCGAGAAAUCAAGAUCAAGACGUCACGGAAAACUAUUCCUGUCUUGUAAUUUUCCCUUUCUACAAAACUGUAAACAUUUUCAUUGUAAAGUUCUCGGAUCCAAGCAAUCUAUGUAAGCAUCUCUCAUCUAAUCUAUUCAAAGUUUCAAAUGUAUGUUUAAAUUUCUGCAAUUUAUUUAAAGCUUUUAAUUUUAUAAAAACUGCUACGUUCCUCUAAGGCAAAGAGACCGGAUCUCUGCCCUUAGUUGUAUCUUCUCUUCUCCCUCUAUCCAUUCAGAAUACUAUUUCUGGGAUCCAGAUCUAGUAUUAUCUUUGAGCCUUUAGAUCUGUUGCUAGGCUUGCUUAAAGAAACUUUUUAAAAUUAUUUUGGUAUAUCGGCUAGAAAACAGAACGUGCGAGAUAUUGAUCUGUUCUAAGUCAGAUCUGGUCUUAAAGGCAGAUUAAGUUCUGCAUCGAUCUGGUAACAACGCAACGUACCGAUCUAAUUAAGCUUAAUAAAUUUAAUUUUCUACUUAUUAAUUGCAUUUUAAAGUUGUAAAAUUUUAAAUUAUACCUAAUCACAUCCAUCAUUCGAUCCUAUUUCCUUACUAUAGAGACUUUGUGUUUAAAGACUUGUGUUUUGGUUGAACAUUGUUUGUGUGGUGAGUGUUACCUCUGUAUGCCUUGGUAGUAUUUGGUCGUAAGUCCCGAUUUGGUUGAAGGGCAGUAAAACCAAUUCUUAGCCUUGGAUUGUAGCCAUACCGACAAGACUAAAACUAGAAUAUAGGUUUUAUCCAUGGAUUCUCUGCUCUGUAGAGCAUCGUCCUUUUCUAGCUCUUCUUCUGGAAGAACUAGUGAUUCAAAGAAUGUUGUGAAUUCAGAAGAAUUUGUAAUUGAAGACUUUAAUAAAGCAAUUGAUAAUUGGGAAUUACCAAAAGUUAAUAAAGAAAUGAUUUACAAAACAAAAAAGCUUGAUUUUUUAAAGAAUGAUUAUGUUAUAAAAACUGAAGAACGAGACAUAACUCUCUCAAAGCCAUUUGAAAUUAUUCAUCUCUUUUCAGAGCACUCUUUAAAGAAACUAAAAGAUAAAAAUUUUAAUUAUAUUCACAUUGGUUUAAUACAAGUUGGUAUAAAUCCCUUAACAAAAGAAGGUUUAAAUACUUCCAUUCUUGUUGUCCUAAGAGAUAGGCGAUUCAUCUCUUUCGAUGAUUCUUUACUAAGUAGUAUAGAAUCAAGCCUUUGUAAAGGUUCAAUUUCAUUUAAUUGUUACCCGAAUAUAACAAUUUCUUUAAAAGACAAAAACAUUUUAAAAAGCGUGAUUUUGGAAAUCAAGACCCAUAAUUAUCACAUGAUUGAGGGAUCUGUUUCAGUUGCAUUAAUCUAUAAAAUUUCUUACAAAGCCAUGAUCUCUGCAUUUAGCCCGCAACAUAAAUUUCAGUAAAAAAGAGAUGAGACUCUUCUCUUACAGACUGAAUUGUCUAAAGCUAAUACUGUUAUUCCAAAACCAAUCCAAUGGAAAGAUGUCAAUCUUCCAGACGAAUGGAUUCUUGAAGGAGCCACUGCACCAGUGAUUCCAAAACAACUUGAGCCUAAUACAGAGUUGCAAAAUGUAACUCAGUAUUCAGAUGGUAAAGUCAAAUUAUCAUUUAGGAGAUCUACAUCAUCUAGAUUCUCUGAUAAAGAUUCAUGCUCAAGUAUUCCUUCAUUAGAAAGGAAAUUUUCAAAGAUUCCUUCCGUUAUAAAUCUCCCUUUCCAACCAAUAAAGAGUCAACCUAGGUUUUCUACCUCAGAUAUACCUAGUUCCUCUAUUCACUCUGUUGACUAUACCACUAGUGUUCCUCACCCAAUUUACACUAGCCGUCAACAUGAACAAAGCCAGGAAGAGAAUGAACCUUCUCCUCCAACCUCUCCUACAUUUUCUACUGUCACAGAAAAUGUGAUUAGUGUCAUUGAAAAGACUUUGAAUUAGAUAAAACUCUUCUUCAUAAUGAUUUUUAUUUUGACACUAAUAAAGAAAAAAAACUUUAGUUUUUUAAACAUUUCUUAAACCAACGAAAAGAAAUUCAAGAAACUUACUAUGAGUUUGUAAAUCUGCAUAAAGUUCAUAUAUUAUUUUUUGAUUGGUUUGAGAUGUAUGCUUCAGAUAACAACAUUUCAUAUCCUUUUAAAGAAUCAAAUCCCAUUACUGUUAGAAAGAAAACCACUGAGUGGAACCUCUCUGGUAGUGGUAGAGUCAUAGAAUCUGAGCAUCCACCUCUUAGGAGUCUAAUCAUUGAACAUGGUGAGCCUCCUAUCGAAAUUAAAGCCUCACCCUAUAAAAUCCAUAAAGAUCCAUAAUCAAAUUUAGAUAGCAUUAUCCAACAGAAUAAUUUCUGUAAUGCUAAUCUAAACACAAUAGGAAAGCAGUUGACUAGAAUAGAAAACCAAUUUCAGAAGUCAACUAUAGUUGUUUCUCCUGUUACAUCAAAAUCGGAUUCUGACAAAAAACUUAAAGAGCCUAUUUUCAAACCUUUUCAGGUUUUGAAAACUAGUCAAAAGCUUGUACAAGAGUCAAAAUCAGAUUUUUCUAAAGCCAUUAAAGAACAACUAGAUAGAAUAGAAGCUUCUUCUUCCUCUUCUAGUAAAAUCCAAAUAGCCCCUGACAGUGCCCAAUCUAGCAAGAUUGGUGUACUAGAACAAGACAAUGUGUCUAUAGCCUCUUCUGAUAUAGAAGCCUUUAAAGAAGAACCUGUUUCCAAAGCCAACAAAAUUCAUUGGGAAUUAGCUCUAACUACUGUCAAGUCUCCACCUGACCUAGCCAUAGACAACAGACCUGCAGCAUUAAAUCAAUCACGAUUCAAUGUAUCUUCUAUCUAUGAGUGGAAUAUUGAUGGUAUGUCUGAAUACAACAUACUAGGAUUGUUGCAACAGAUGACCAUGGCAGCUAAUACCUAUAAAACUCAGUCGGGAACUUCUGACAAAGCCAUUGCAGAAAUUCUCAUUGCUGGUUUUACUGGUCAGCUUAAAGGUUGGUGGGAUCACCUUCUCACUAAACAGCAACAAUUGGAUAUCCUCAAUUCAAUUCAGACAGAUGAAAAUGGAGCCCCCAUCCUUGAUGAAUUCAAUAGUCCUAUUCAGGAUGCUGUUGCUACCCUGAUUCUGACUAUAUCUCUUCAUUUCAUAGGUGAUCCUUCACACCUAAGAGAUAAAAAUGCUGAGUUACUACAUAACUUGAGGUGUAGGAAACUUAGUGAGUUCCAAAGUUACAAAACCACAUUCUUUACCAGACUCUUCCUUAGGGAUGAUGCAAAUCAUAUAACCUGGAAAGAGAAAUUCCUUACAGGUUUGCCUACCCUAUUAGGAGAAAAGGUUAGGAAUUCUAUUAAAGCCUUGUAUGACAACCGUAUUCCUUAUGAUGAGCUCACCUACGGUGAACUUGUCAGUUUUGUUAACAAGGAAGGUUUAAAGAUUUGUCAAGAUUUGAAACUUCAGAAACGUCUAAAAUGGGAGCUUAAGAAAUCUAAGCAAGAAUUAGGCAGUUUCUGCAAGUAAUUCAAUUAUGAUCCCUUUAAAACUUCCACUUCUAAAGAUUGUGAUGGAAAUGUUCUUCAAAACCUUACAAAAAACAUCACAAAUCUGAUUGUGAUGGAAAUGUUCUUCAAAACCUUACAAAAAACAUCACAAAUCUAAAAGCUAUAGGAAACCCUUCCAAAACUUUAGAGAACCCUUCCAUAAGAAACCUUCGAAGCCUUAUAGGAAACCCCAUUUCUCUAAAAAGAAAACCUUUAAAGACACGACAAAACCCCCCUUUAAUUAUAAAGAAGCCAUAUGUUACAAAUGUGGAAAGAAAUGCCACACUGUAAAAUUUUGCAGAAUGAACAGAAAGCUCCAGGAGCUUGGCCUUGAUGAAGAAAUCCUUUCUAAAGUAGCCCCUUUAUUGAUAGAGUCUUCUGACUCUGAGUCUUCUAUGACGGGAGAUAGUGAACCUCUACAGGUUGAUGAGUUAAUUGACUCAGAUACAUCUGUAUCCAGUGAUAAUGAUUCUGACUCAGAAUCCUACUUAAAGAAAAUCAAUGUGUUGACUAAGGAACAAGAAACUUUUCUUGAAUUAGUUAAACAUAUUUCUAAUCCAAAUCUUCAAAAGGAGUACCUCAAUAAGCUUUUAAAGACCUUAGAACUCAAUAAAACAGAAACUUCCAAAACUCCAAUAAUUAAAAAGAAUACAUAUGACCUAACUGAAAUCUUGGAUAAAAAGAGAACAAAGAAAACAAUUCCCAAUAUCCAAGACCUUCAAAAAGAGAUUAAAGAAAUCAAACUCGAAAUAAAGGAAUUAAAAGAAAAAUAAAAGAAUGAUUCUGAAACCAUCUAACUCCUCUUACAAAAACAAUUAGAGGAUAAUUCUGAUAAAGAAAUUGAAUCUGACGGUGAUAAUGAAUAAAAUCUUGAAAACAUUGAAUCUGUACCCAAUGAUUUUCUGUUUGUCUUAAAGCAAAUCACCACGAGAAAAUAUUUGAUUAAAAUCACCUUAAUUCUUGCUAAAGACUUUGAGAUUGACACUAUUGCCCUCUUUAACACCGGUGCCGAUCUAAACUGCAUUAAAGAAGAUAUUGUCCCUAAAAGAUUUCAUGAAAAAACAAAUGAAAGACUUUCUGCCGCCAAUAAUUCAAAGUUAAAAGUCAAAUCUAAAGUUGAUGCCUCAGUGCAUAAUAAUGGUUUUGAAUUUCGGAUUUCCUUUCUUCUAACAAAUGACAUUCAUCAUUCUGUUAUAUUAGGAACUCCUUUCAUAAACCUUAUUACCCCCUAUACUGUUAAUUAUGAUAGUAUAUCCUUUAAAGCAAAAACUAAAAAACUUGUUUUCCCUUUUAUUGAAAAACCCAAAACAAAAAAUUUGAAUAUUGUUAAAGCUUGUUCUAUUUAUCAGAAUCAAAUUUAUACACUCCUCAAAUCAAAACAAAAUGACCUUAUUUGUUUAAAAAAAGAUUUGAGUUUACAAAGAAUCGAAACCCAAUUACAAAAUGAUUUUAUAAAAAGAAAAAUCUCUGAUUUCAGAAAUCUCAUUGAAAAAGAAAUAUGUGCUGACUUACCAUCUGCUUUCUGGAAUAGAAAACAACAUUUGGUAGAUUUGCCUUAUGAAAAUUCUUUUGAUGAAAAACAAAUACCUACUAAAGCCCGUCCUAUUCAAAUGAACAUGGAAUUAGAACAGCAUUGCAAAGAUGAAAUCAAAGACUUGGAGUCAAAAGGACUCAUUGUAAAAUCUAGGUCUCCGUGGUCUUGUGCCGCUUUCUAUGUUAACAAAAACUCUGAAAUAGAAAGAGGAACACCCAGACUCGUAAUAAAUGACAAACCCCUUAAUAAAGCAUUAAAAUGGAUUAGGUAUCCCAUACCUAACAAAAAUAUUUACUCCAAAAACUACAUUAUGCUUUCGUAUUUUCAAAAUUUGAUAUGAAAUCGGGAUUUUGGCAAAUUCAAAUUCAUCCUAAAGACCGUUAUAAAACUGCUUUCACUGUUCCUUUUGGACAAUAUGAAUGGACUGUCAUGCCAUUCGGUUUAAAAAAUGCACCUUCAGAAUUUCAAAGAAUUAUGAAUGAUAUUUAUAAUCCUUUUUCUGAUUUUUGCAUUGUCUAUAUUGAUGAUGUGUUAAUCUUUUCCCAAACUAUUGAACAACAUUUCAAACAUUUAAAGACUUUCUACCUUGCCACUAGAAAGACCGGCUUAGCCAUUUCUACUUCUAAAGUUUCCUUGUUUCAAACAAAAAUUAGGUUUCUAGGUCAUUACAUUUCCAAAGGAACCAUUACUCCUAUUGAGCGAUCUCUUAUAUUUGCUGAUAAAUUUCCUGAUAAAAUUCUUGAUAAAACUCAACUGCAAAGAUUUCUAGGAAGUUUAAAUUAUGUCCUUGAUUUCUGUCCCAAUAUCAACAGGAUGUCAAAACCCUUGCAUGACAGAUUGAAAAAGAACCCUGUUGUAUGGACUGAUGAGCACACGAAAGCUGUUAGACUAAUAAAGAAUUCUGUUAAGAAUAUUCCAUGUUUAUUCCUUGCAAAUCCUGCAUUGCCUAAAAUUGUUGAAACUGAUGCAUCAGAUUUAGGUUAUGGAGGUAUAUUAAAGCAAUCCGAUAAUAAUAAAGAACAAAUAGUACAGUAUGUUUCUGCUCAUUGGAAUGAAUGUCAAAGAAAUUACUCUACUAUUAAAAAAGAGAUUCUUUCCAUUGUAUUAUGCAUUUCUAAAUUUCAAAGCGAUUUGUUAAAUAAAAUUUUUUUGCUUAGAAUUGAUUUCAAAGCUGCAAAACAUGUUUUGAAAAAAGAUGUUCAAAAUAUUACUUCAAAACAAAUUUUUGCAAGAUGGCAAGCCAUUUUAAGUGUUUUUGAUUUUGAUAUUGAAUUUAUUAAAGGAGAUACAAAUUCUAUCCCUGAUUUUCUAACCAGGAAAUUUCUUCAAAACAGAUAAUGCCGCCCAAGAAAAAAGACAAGGGUAAAGCUGUUCUUAAAGACACUGAGUCACAAACAACCUCCAAAGAACCCCAAUCAACCCCCUCCAAAGAAAAAUUACUUUCUUCUGCCAUGCCUAUCAAAUCUUGGAUUGAAAUGGUUGAAGAACAAGAAGCCCAAUAUAAACCCAUUACCUCAGAAGAUCAGGUAAAAGAAUGGAUGAACUCCAUUACAAAGUCUCCAGAGCUUAUGUUCGCCUUACAAAAUAUUUCUCAACUAAAGCCCUUUCUCAAAUCCCUGAAAAAGAAAAACUUAUUUCUAAAACAAUUUCAAAACCCUCUUCCUAUAAAGAAAUUGUUUCUUGUGAAAGCUCUUCUUCAUAAAUUGUUGUUUCUCAAUCAAAGCUUUCAAAAAAAUCAUCAGAUUGGUUUAAUAAAGCCUAUCAACAAAAUGUUUUAUCUAUGGAGGAUGGGUUUUAUCAUUCUGAUCCAUUUCAAGCAAUUUCAAGGAUUUUCCCGAAAGGCUGGUUUUUCAAACCAUGAGAUUUAUCUAAACCCUAGUCUUUCUACCAAAGCAUACUUGAGUUCACUGAGUCAGUAAAGUUUAAACAUUUCUUUCUUAGUGAAGCUCAUUCUGAGCCAGCCUAUUCCACGGCUACCAUUCUUAAAGUCUUAAGUCCAAAUCAGUGGGGUGACCAACUCCACAAACCAAAAACCUUUCCCGCCAAUUUUCAAAGAAGCCUAAAUCACUUCUUAUCUUUCUCCUACUGGGAUUAUCAGCAGCCCUGGUUUAAUACCUUUUUUAUCCAAAAUCCAAAAAAGUCUCACUCUUGGUUAUUUUUCUUCAACUCAAAAAUAACCGUUCAAAGCCUUCCAAAUGGUUCCAAAUUUGGUGGAACUAUUUUGGGCCAAGCCCAGAAAUUCUAACCCAAAAUGCCAUCAAAUGUUUAAAUUUAUUUAAAGCCCACUAUGUUCCUUCUGAGUCUGAGAAGAGGUUUCCUCCUUUUCUCUGUUUUUGUACAAACUUUUUCCUUCCCUGGGUUUGGAUGUGGAAUUUCCAAUACCACACCAUAGACACCCAACUAGUUUUACAAAGAACCUUCAAAGUCAAAUAGUGGUCUAAAUUUGACGAACAGUCAAAAUUGUCUGAAGCCACGGUCCAAUCCUGGCUUUCUACAAGAGGCCUCCUUGCCCCAAGUAAAGACGUAACCAAAGCCCAAAGCACUUUCCUUGCCCAAAGAGCAAAAGCCCAAUCCCUACUGGCCAGUGCCAGAACCGAGGAUGAAUAUUUCAAAGUAAUGCAGCAACUUCUUGCCACUGGAUCAGAGGCAUCUGCUGCAAGUUCUUCAUCAAGUUCCUCAGGAGAAGCUGAACCGUUUAUCUCCCUUGGAGAUGAAAACGAAGAUGACUGCUUCGGAAUAUUCUCUCCAUUAAAGCAUUAAAGCUUUGUUAAAAAAAAAAAAGUAAAGAUUGUCCUAUUUCCCUUAUUUCCUUGUAUUUAUUACUCAUGUAAUUAACGAUUGUAUUCCCCUUUGUAAAAAUUACUCUGUUGUAAUUAUUUUCAGAAUGUAUUAUUUUUCUGGGUGGUCCUCUGGACACAAGUGAGAGCGCACAUGUCUCUUCACCCAUCUUUUGUUUUCUUUCAAAGUUGUAAAGAAGAAUAAUGCUGUCCCCCACAUGUCUUGACAAUUCCGCUCCAUCAUCUACGCAUGUGAAACUACAGUAAAAGCCAAUAAAGCUAAGUCCAUUCACAAUGAUGCCGUCUCCACUCACCAACCACGCAUGUGUAAAGCUACAGCUUCGCUACAGUGGGCGAAUAAAGCUACAGUUUCGCUACAGUUGAAGCUACAGACUCGCCACAGUUCAAGCUUCAGUUGUUUUAAAUUCAAAGCUUUGUAACAUUUAAGGGGAGAGCUUUGUUUAUAUUUUCUAGACACUCUCUCUCUCUCUCUCUCUCUUCGAAAAAUCAGGAUCAAGACGUCAAGAAAAACUAUUCCUGUCUUAUAAUUUUCCCUUUCUACAAAACUGUAAACAUUUUCAUUGUAAAGUUCUCGGAUCCAAGCAAUCUAUGUAAGCAUCUCUCAUCUAAUCUAUUCAAAGUUUCAAAUGUAUGUUUAAAUUUCUGCAAUUUAUUUAAAGCUUUUAAUUUUAUAAAAACUGCUACGUUCCUCUAAGGCAAAGAGACCGGAUCUCUGCCCUUAGUUGUAUCUUCUCUUCUCCCUCCAUCCAUUCAGAAUACUAUUUCUAGGAUCAAGAUCUAGUAUUAUCUAUGAGCCUUUAGAUCUGUUGCUAGGCUUGCUUAAAGAAACUUUUUAAAAUUAUUUUGGUAUAUCGGCUGGAAAACAGAACGUGCGAGAUAUUGAUCUGUUCUAAGUCAGAUCUGGUCUCAAAGGCAUAUUAAGUUCUGCAUCGAUCUGGUAACAACGCCACGUACCGAUCUAAUUAAGCUUAAUACAUUUAAUUUUCUACUUAUUAAUUGCAUUUUAAAGUUGUAAAAUUUUAAAUUCUACCUAAUCACAUCCAUCCUUCGAUCCUAUUUCCUUACUAUAUAUAUAUAUAUAUAUAUAUAUAUAUAUAUAUAUAUAUAUAUAUAUAUAUAUAUAUAGUUGAGUUUAUUAACAUUGCCUGGGUUUAGCGGAGAAAAUAUGAAGAAGAAGAAGUAGUUUGGGCAAAAAUCAAAGGGUUUUGAUUUUCAUUAUUGAUCAAUUGAAAUAGUAGAGUAGUGGACCUUCUCAGCUAGUUCCAUAGAUGUUAAUAAAUCUAAAAUUUGUUAGCACUUAACAUUUGCUAAAGAAACCGUUUUAAGUUUCAAUUCUUUAAAUUAAUGUUAAUUAGAUUUGACAUUGAAGAUUAAUUAUUCACUAAGGCUUAUCAUAUUUAUAAAAAAAUAUAAAACGUUGCAUAAUUAAAUAUGGGAUUAUGGCAUUAAAAUUAGACCUUAGUAAUGGCAUUGGUGAGGGAAGAUGAAAGAAUUCCUUCCUAUAUUAAUUAGUUGAUGUAUUUUAAGCCACUCAAGUUCAAUUGUUGGCUUAAUAAAAUAAAUGAAUGUUUCAAGACUUAUAAUUAAUUAUUAUUAAUGGUUAUAUAUUGUUGAAUUUAAAUAGAAAUAGGAAAAGACAUGUAAUCUUUUGUAAUCUAAUAAUCAUUUUCUAUUUAUUUUCUAUUUUUAAUAUUUUGUAAUGUAAUUAUUUUUUAAUUUAAGCUAAUAUAUUAGAUAUUAGAGAAUAUAAAGAGAUGAGAAAUAAUGAUGCCACAAAUCUUAAAUACUUAAUAUUUAUAGAAUUUGAAGAAGCCAAAAAGCACUAAACAAAAGGUUGCAUAAUUAAAUAUGAAAUUAUGACAUUAAAAUUAGGCCCUAGUGGCAUUUUUUAUAAGUUGAAGGAACCUUCCUUUCUAUAUUAAUUAAUUAAUGCUUUUUAAAGCCAUUAAGGUUUAAUUGUUGGCAUAAUAAAAUAAAUGAAUGUUUCAAGACUUAUAAUUAAUUAUUAUUAAUGGUUACAUAUUGUUGAAUUUAAAUAGAAAGAGGAAAAGACAUGUAAUCUUUUGUAACCUAAUAAUUAUAUUCUAUUUUUAAUAUUUUAUAAUGUAAUUAUUUUUUAAUCUCAACCAAUAUAUUAGAUAAUAGAGAAUAUAAGAAGAUGUAAAAUAGUGAUGUCACAUCACCUCUUGUAGUUAAGGCUUAUAAUUAAUUAAUAGAUAUGGAUAACAACGUGGGUGCUGUAAUAGUAUUGAUUUCUCAACCAAAUCUUCUGUCUUUUACCCGACUUUCAUUUUUCUAUUGACGGUAGCUAACUAUUGUUUUCUUAUUAUUUCUUUUAUCUAGGUUUAAAUUUUAUGAGAAAUUUGUCAAUUUUCAAUUAUUGGGUGAAAUUGGUACGCAAAUGAUGUGUUUUAUAGCAAUUUGCGUCUUUCUCAUCUUCAAGACUAUCAUUAGUCAAUAAUGUUGCUAUUACCUCAGGCUCUCGUGAGUCUAAACGUUUUCUAAUUAAUUGAAAAUGAUAUAAUGAUUAAUUAAUUGUUGAUAAUAAAACCAAUUUAAUACGACGUCUCCGCAUUUCUUUCUUUAUUUCUUUUAAACCUCAAUCAUUGUCAAAACUGUUAAUGGGUUGCAAUUAAACACUUAACAAAUCUUAAACUUGUUGUUAGCAAUUAACAUUUGCUAAAGGAACCGUCUUAAGUUUCAAUUCUUUAAAUUAAUGUUAAUUAGAUUUAAGACGAAAAUUAAUUAUUCACUAAGACUUGUCUAUAAAUAAAAAAGUAGAUACAAAAUGUUAUAUAAUUAAAUAUGAGAUUAUGGCGUUAAAAUUAGGCCUUGGUAGUGGCAUUGUUGAGGGAAGAUAAAAGAACCUUCAUUCCUAUAUUAAUUAAAUUAUAUGUUAUGACGUGAAAAAAUAAACAGUCCAUUUUUGUAUUUUGUAUUUUGUAUUUUCUGAAGAUUUGAAACAAUGUGCUUUCUUUUCGGAGUGAUAAUAAUUGGAUCCAUUGCUUUUUCCUUUUAAUGUUUUAUAAACAUAUAUUGUCUAUUUGCAUCAAAUAAGUCCCAAUCUCUUUUACAAUCGCUAAUAAAACACCUUUUAAUUAUUAAACUAUAAAUAUGUGUCAUUCAAAAUCCAAUUUUGUUGAAUCUAGAUUAAGUGUUAAUCUUUUUUUUAUUUAUUUUUUGAUAUGUGUAUAUUUAUAACAAUAUAAUAUUAAAAUUUAGUUGUAUCUAUAUUGUUAUUUAAAAACUAUUAAUCAAACGACAAACCUUUAUAAAAUUCAUCACAAAAAUUAGAUCAACAUUGAAUCUUUAUUCAAUCUCGGUUAGGAGCCUAUUUGAUAUAAAUUGAUAAACAAUAUCCUUAUUUGAUAAAAUAUAGGGACAUUGAUAUUAUUAUUAUCUAGAUUUCCUUUUGGCUCUUUUUCAAUGCUAUUUUUAGAUUUUAUACGUUAUCAUCUUUUCUUAACUUUUUUAUUCUUGAAUACAAUAACUGUCAAAAACCAACGGUUCAAAUGAGCUUUUUUUGUGUUUGAAUUUUCAAAGUUCCCACUUAUUUUAUUUAUUAUUGGAGGACAAUAAUGUUUUCUUAGGCAACUAAAAUGUAAAUUAAGUAAAACAUUCCUCCUAAAUUAGUUUUGGGUAACUUUGGAAUUUAAGGCUAGGAACAUGUUGGAUGUUAAUAUAUCAAAAACAUAGCAAAACACAGAGUUUUCAGGUGCCCAAUUCAUUAGUUUCAUCAUUUAAGUCCUCGUGCGGGGACUUGAGUCACUUAAUUUGACCAAGUUGAUGGCUGGUUAAAAUGGUUCGAAAGAGCAAGCGAGGGCAACAAAUGAACGAAAAAAAGAUUUUCGAUUUUGCAUUACAAAUUUUAAGUUUAUAAAGCCGAUCAACAACAGACUUUGGGAGAUUGAUUUGUGAUGGAAGAUAGAGAAUUAGGAAGGGUUUCUUCUUUGAAGAGUUAAAAAAUUUGAACUUUAAAAAUUUUCAAUAAGUACAAAUAUAAUAUGAAUAGUUUCAUUUGUUCAGUAGACCAAUCAUAUUAAAAUAAUGUUAGUAAGGAAAAUAAUUUAAAAACUAUUCGUAAUUAAAAUAAUUUUAAAAAUGUAAAUUACCUUUCUCCCCUCAUUUUUUAAGCAAAAAUAAAAAUAACUUGAAGUUUUUAAAAAUAAUGAAGUAAUUUAAAAAUAAUCAAUUUGGAAUAAUUCAAAAUUUACCCAAGAGAUUAUUCACAAUAUCAAUCAAUGAAUUAGAAACAUUAUGUGUUAAGUGGUAUAAGCAUACAUAUAACUAUUAUUUUUAACUUAUUGAUCUCAAUCUUGAGUGUUCGGAUUAGAUCUUUGGGGUUUCAUUUUUCAGAUUUCGGUGAUUGAAAGUCUGAAACUCAAAGUAACAAAAAUUAAAUUUAUAUUUUAUCGCAAGUGAAGUGUAGAGAUUAAUCCAAUUAUUUGCGUCUAGCGUUUCUUUUUGUUGCUAUCACUCUUGUUGAUGAUGAUAAGCCUUUUUUUGCAUUGUCACUACCAAUUUAUUAUCUACAUUCAUCUAUAGAACGAAGCAAGAUGCCAAGAAAGAAAUCUAACACAAGAAAAAUAAGUUCUCUCAAUCAUUCAAAACAAAUACAUACAUAGACAGAAAAAUAAGACAUAUCAUAUCACACUUAAAUAUUACCACUCUAAAAAGAAAAAAGGUCAAAAGACUAACACACAUGUAAAAAGACGACCAACAACAACACUAAACAUGUUUUGUGUAUUGAUUACUUCCACCAUCACUAACUUCAUCAUCAUCAAUAAUUUGGUUUUUUCUCUUUCUAUUCUUACCAGCAUUAGUAACAUGAAAAUCUCCUAUAGAAUCUUCCAAAUUAUUUGAUAAGAUAUCAUGAGGAUCCUAUAAUUUUUUAAUCAAGGAAAUUAUAAUUAUGAGUAAAUUGAACAUGCUAAUUUUAAUCAUAAAGGAAAACAACUGGGAAAUAAGAGUAAAUAAAAUUACCAUUUCUUGGGAAUGUCCUUCCUUUCUUUCACAUAUUUCCACAUUUUCAUGAUCUGUAUUGUUUUUUUCCUACAAAAAACAACAAUUAAAUAUUUUUUUUUAACAUUACAUAUAUUGCCUACAAAUUGAACCUAGCAUAAGUAGAUAAUACCUUUUUGUCCUUCUUCAAUUCUUGUUCUAGCUCCAAUUUCUCAUUAGGGGUGAAAAGUUUUGACACAGUAAAAUUCUCAAGUCUCUCUUUCAAUUGUAAUAAUUCAAUUUCAGUUUGUAAACAAAAUCUUUUCCACAAAGGCUUUGAAUUUCUGCAGGGACAUCCUUUACUAUAAUAAAGGUAGUCUAUUAAACAANNNNNNNNNNNNNNNNNNNNNNNNNNNNNNNNNNNNNNNNNNNNNNNNNNNNNNNNNNNNNNNNNNNNNNNNNNNNNNNNNNNNNNNNNNNNNNNNNNNNNNNNNNNNNNNNNNNNNNNNNNNNNNNNNNNNNNNNNNNNNNNNNNNNNNNNNNNNNNNNNNNNNNNNNNNNNNNNNNNNNNNNNNNNNNNNNNNNNNNNNNNNNNNNNNNNNNNNNNNNNNNNNNNNNNNNNNNNNNNNNNNNNNNNNNNNNNNNNNNNNNNNNNNNNNNNNNNNNNNNNNNNNNNNNNNNNNNNNNNNNNNNNNNNNNNNNNNNNNNNNNNNNNNNNNNNNNNNNNNNNNNNNNNNNNNNNNNNNNNNNNNNNNNNNNNNNNNNNNNNNNNNNNNNNNNNNNNNNNNNNNNNNNNNNNNNNNNNNNNNNNNNNNNNNNNNNNNNNNNNNNNNNNNNNNNNNNNNNNNNNNNNNNNNNNNNNNNNNNNNNNNNNNNNNNNNNNNNNNNNNNNNNNNNNNNNNNNNNNNNNNNNNNNNNNNNNNNNNNNNNNNNNNNNNNNNNNNNNNNNNNNNNNNNNNNNNNNNNNNNNNNNNNNNNNNNNNNNNNNNNNNNNNNNNNNNNNNNNNNNNNNNNNNNNNNNNNNNNNNNNNNNNNNNNNNNNNNNNNNNNNNNNNNNNNNNNNNNNNNNNNNNNNNNNNNNNNNNNNNNNNNNNNNNNNNNNNNNNNNNNNNNNNNNNNNNNNNNNNNNNNNNNNNNNNNNNNNNNNNNNNNNNNNNNNNNNNNNNNNNNNNNNNNNNNNNNNNNNNNNNNNNNNNNNNNNNNNNNNNNNNNNNNNNNNNNNNNNNNNNNNNNNNNNNNNNNNNNNNNNNNNNNNNNNNNNNNNNNNNNNNNNNNNNNNNNNNNNNNNNNNNNNNNNNNNNNNNNNNNNNNNNNNNNNNNNNNNNNNNNNNNNNNNNNNNNNNNNNNNNNNNNNNNNNNNNNNNNNNNNNNNNNNNNNNNNNNNNNNNNNNNNNNNNNNNNNNNNNNNNNNNNNNNNNNNNNNNNNNNNNNNNNNNNNNNNNNNNNNNNNNNNNNNNNNNNNNNNNNNNNNNNNNNNNNNNNNNNNNNNNNNNNNNNNNNNNNNNNNNNNNNNNNNNNNNNNNNNNNNNNNNNNNNNNNNNNNNNNNNNNNNNNNNNNNNNNNNNNNNNNNNNNNNNNNNNNNNNNNNNNNNNNNNNNNNNNNNNNNNNNNNNNNNNNNNNNNNNNNNNNNNNNNNNNNNNNNNNNNNNNNNNNNNNNNNNNNNNNNNNNNNNNNNNNNNNNNNNNNNNNNNNNNNNNNNNNNNNNNNNNNNNNNNNNNNNNNNNNNNNNNNNNNNNNAAAGUCAUAGUUUCUUGAUUAUAUUCAACUACUAAUCCGUUAGAAUUUUAUAUCUCUUUUUUUCCAACCCAGCUCCAACGAUCUCAAUAUCACCCAUAGCACAUAAACUUCUGAUAACAUCUGUAAUAUUAUGGAAAAAUAACAUAAACAUGUUAAAACAUAAGGAUUAAUAAUUUCUAAUAUACACUUAAAGAUUAACAAAUAUUAAUAAUUAAAAAAAUACUGAGAGGAUUGUGUUAUCAUUCACACGUAAAUCAAUCAAAUUCAGAGAUACGAAUUGAAAUCCAUUAAUCGGAAUCUUGACAGUUCCUUCUUCUACCCUCUUAAGAGAAGUUAUAACCAAGAAAAUAAUCUUAUACUGAUUUGAAAGUGGUAUGUACUCGCCUAUAGUUGAAACAACUUUCAAAUUCUUGACAUUGUACAAAGAACCCUCACUCAACAUGUGCUUAAACCUUGUCACUAAAGUUUUCCUGAUUGUUGCAUGCAUUAGAUUUUCCUACGAAAAAAAAAACACAUACUACAUUAAGUGUGAAACAAUUGGGAAAAAAAUUAGAGAAAACAAUGGGAGAAUGAAUUUUUUAUACAACAUUUUCAUCAAUAAAAAUCAUAUCAGCACUAAUCAAUUCUCCAUUUUUUUUAGUAUUAGUAGACUCCCACUUCCUACAAAGCCUAACCCUUAUCAUCCAACUAUCUUUAUCAUUGUUCAACUCAUGAAGAAAAGAGUACUCCAUGAAGCACACAAUACCAAAAAUUCAAAUAAAUCAAACAAUAAAAAUACAAGUAUUUUUCUAAAGAGUGUGUUGAUUAAAUAAAUAAAAAGACCCUAAACAUAACAAAUCUUAAAUAUUUAGUGUUUAGAGAGCUUGAAGAAGCCAAAAGGCACUAAACAAAAGGUUGCAUAAUUAAAUAUGAGAUUAUGUCAUUAAAAUUAGGCUCUAGUGGCAUUGUUGAGGGAAGAUGAAAGAACCUCUCUUCCUAUGUUAAUUUAUUGAUGUAUUUUAAGCCACUAAAGUUUAAUUGCUAGCAUAAUAAAAUUUGAAGGAGCCAAAAGACACUCAACAAAAGGUUUCAUAAUUAAAUAUAUGAUUAUGACAUUGAAAUUAGGCCCUAGUGGCAUUGUUGAAGGAAGAUGAAAGAACCUCUCUUCCUAUAUUAAUUAAUUUAUGUAUUUUAAGCCACUAAAGUUUAAUUGCUAGCAUAAUAAAAUAAAUGAAUAUUUCAAAAUACUUAUAAUUAAUUAUUAUCAAUGGUUACAUAUUGUUGGAUUUAAAUAGAAAGAGGAAGAAACAUGUACAAAGAAUAUCCACUAAUAUUUUAGAUAUUUUAAAUAAUAGAAAAUAUAAAAAGAUGAGGUUGAGGGAAGAUGAAAGAACCUCUCUUCCUAUGUUAAUUAGUUGAUGUAUUUUAAGGCACUAAAGUUUAAUUGCUAGCAUAAUAAAAUUUGAAGAAGCUAAAAGGCACUCAACAAAAGGUUGCAUAAUUAAAUAUGAGAUUAUGACAUUAAAAUUAAGCCCUAGUGGCAUUGUUGAGGUAAGAUGAAAGAACCUCUCUUCCUAUGUUAAUUAAUUCAUGUAUUUUAAGUCACUAAAGUUUAAUUGCUAACAUAAUAAAAUAAAUGAAUGUUUCAAAAGACUUAUAAUUAACUAUUAUUAAUGGUUACAUAUUGUUAGAUUUAAAUAGAAACAGGAAGAAACAUGUACAAAGAAUAUCCACCAAUAGUUUAGAUAUUUUAGAUAAUAGAAAAUAUAAAAAGAUGAGGUUGAGGGAAGAUGAAAGAACCUCUUUUCCUAUGUUAAUUAGGUGAUGUAUUUUAAGGCACUAAAGUUUAAUUGAUAGCAUAAUAAAUUUUGAAGAAGCCAAAAGACACUCAAUAAAAGGUUGCAUAAUUAAAUAUGAGAUUAUGACAUUAAAAUUAGGCCUUAGUGGCAUUGUUGAGGGAAAAUGAAAGAACCUAUCUUCCUAUGUUAAUUAAUUCAUGUAUUUGAAGCCACUAAAGUUUAAUUGCUAGCAUAAUAAAAUAAAUGUUUCAAAAGACUUAUAAUUAAUUAUUAUUAAUGAUUACAUAUUGUUGAAUUUAAAUAGAAAGAGAAAAAAAAGUACAAAGAAUAUCCACCAAUAUUUUAGAUAUUUUAGAUAAUAGAAAAUAUAAAAAGAUGAGGAAUGAUAUAUAUUAAUAAAGUUACUAUUUAUUAAAUGAGUUAAAUACAAUCAAAUUAAUUAUGAGAAGAUGAAAAGUUAAUUUUUUUAAAAAAAUUCUCUAUUUAUUAGAUAAUAGAGAAUAUAUAAAUAAGCAAAAUGGUGAAGCCACAUCACCUCCUCAAGUCCCAGCUUUAUAUAUAUAUAGAUAGAUAGAUAGAUAUAAUCUUUUAAUAUUUUAACUUAAUUCCCGCAUUAAAAGCUAACUCUUGCAUAAUUACCCUAAAGAAUCAGCUUAACAGAAGUACCAAUUUGUGAUAGUGUACUAUGUGUCGUACGUUUAUGCCACUGGAGCCACAUUCAAUUUGUGCUUGGUCCUCAAUUUUUUUCACGUUCAGUGUAAAAACUAAUUGUAGAGAAAAUCUAGGCCUAGUUAGAUGUAGGUUAGAGGUAGGUAGGUUUUAGGAAUAGGGGUCCUCUUAAUAAUAUACAGUGCUGUAUGAGAUACAGCGGAAGUUUAGUUUUUGUUUUUAAUAAAUUAUAAUUUUGAGUAUGUUUUAAAAUAUAUUUUUAUGUUGAGAGGGAUUUUGAUAGUCUCCUAAAUUAAAUGAAGUUUUUAAUAUUUAGUUAAAAGAUGAGGUAGCAAUGUGUAAUUACCUUGAUAUCUGCCAGCUAUGAGGUUAUACCAUUUAUUUCGGUGACCAUUUAAUGCCUAAAAUCAUCACCCAGCCGUUAUAUUAUUUUUUUAUUUUGACAUUAUAAAUCUAUAAAAAUUUUGUAAUAUAAAAAUUAGUGAAACCUCUUUGAUUUUUAUCGUUUUGGGAGUUUAUGUCUCUUUGAUCAAUUCUAUGAUGGUGCAGUGCAGUCUACACAUAUAGACCAAUAACAUAUCAAUUUUGUUUUUCUAAGCAUUUAGAAGAAAUCAACUCCAAAAUGCACCAUAGAGGAAUUCAAAUUGUAUCCAUCAAUAUUGAUAUGAGAAUUAAAAUAGUUUAUCAUUCUAAACCUCAGAUAGUUUUCAAACAAUUAUAUUAUUUGAUAGUGCCAAGUAUCAUAUUGUCCAUAAAAUAUUGUUGUUUUUAAUAUUAUUUGUACUAAUGACUCAUAUAAUUAAUAAUACGAUUUAAUUCUUGAUAUGGACAACUAUAAGAUAACAAUAUCUAAUUAAAAAUAUUUCAUACAAAUUUCUAUCAAAUUAAUCAAAUUACUUUUUAUGGUUUCAUUUACUCACUAAUUUGAAAUCACAAAAAUUUCUUUGAGUUGUUAUCGGAGCUUAUACAUGAUUACAUGUAACUUUAAUACUUGACGAUAUUGUUUUACUACUAGCAUUAUGAUUUAUGAUACUAUAACUCUUAACAUAUAUUAUUAACAUUGUUAAUAAGUAUAUUUGUUAGCCAGUACUAUUAUUAUUAUUUGUAAAUAGAACACAUAAAUGAUAAUUUUAUCAGGCCUCCAAACUCGAACUCAAAAUAUUUUUUUAACUCAUUUUAUUUUAAUUUAACCAAAUAAUAAAUAAUAAAAAAUAAGACCCUAGGUCUAAACUCACGGCCUCUCUCAAAGCACUAGACUCUACCCAUCAUCACCUCCAAGUUCCCAACGGAGCUUCCUUUCCUGGCCGUGUCCAAAAGACCAAGCUUUGCCGUCAACACCAAAACACCAAGUUUUCAAACUUUUCCGUUAGUUUGUGUGUGCUCCAUUGAAAUUGUAUGGCACAGUGGCCACUGGGCAGAAGAAAACAUGUUAAGGAAAAAAAAUUCUCACAAGAACCAACUAGCUAUAAAAUGCAAGAAAGCAUCAAAUGCGGCAUAUUAUUUAUUAGCAUACCUUUCAAUAUUCCUUUUAUUCACCUCUUGGUUAUCGGCACCGACAACACCUAGAUAUUAAAUAACACGAAGCACUGAAAAUGCAUCUCCAACUCUUUCACCUUCAAAUUUAAAUGGUGAUUUGUCGGGACAAGAAAUCCUUUGGUGAAAACCAUCACCUAUAUCCAAAAAUAUUCAUGUUAUAUCACAAAAAAUCAAUAACAAAAUUAUGCGGAAGCGUACUUGAAUCCAUAACAUUGAAUUGCUCUCUAGGAUUGUGUGGUUGGCCUUCCAAAUCUACAUGUUCUCCUAGAGAAUCCUUUAAGUUUCCUCAAGGCUAUCUUUCUGACGAUUGGAUUUCAGAAAGAAUAUAAAAAUAUGUGUGACCUGAGAACCAUAACCACUUAUCUAGACAACUUUUUUUCUAUUGUCUUUACAUAUUAAAUGCCCAUAUCCUAUUAGAUAUAUUAAAGUCCAUAACACCGAAAACUUAAAUAAACCAUUUUUAAUUGGGCUUAACCUUAUAUGACAGUCUGUAACACAUAAUUAUUCACAUAUAGGCCCAAUAUUGGAUUAAGGAUCCAACAAUAUUGGAUUAAGGAUCCAACAAUAUUGGAUUAAAAAUCCAACAAUCUCCCACUUGUGCUAUAUGUGUAACCUUAUAAUUAUGCUUUGUAAAUGUAACUCAAGAUCGAAAUGCACCACUAAUGUCAUUUUAAUCCUGAAAGAGUCUUUCAAAGAAACUAGAGAGAAAGUUUCUUUAUAGUCAAUGCCUUCUUUCUGUGUAAAAUUGUUUGCGACAAGACGCACCUUGUAUCUCUCUACAUUACCUUUCGAAUCCCUCUUGGUCUUAAAUAUUUAUUUGCAACCAAUAGGUUUCGCACCUUCUGCCAAUGGGACAAGAUCCCAUACGUCAUUGUCUUUCAUGGAUUUUAUCUCCUCAUUCAUGGCAUCAAUCCACUUCUGAGAGUUAAAACUUUUCAUGGCCUAACAUAAAUUGAUUGGAUCAUCUUCCAUCACUCCAAUGUCUACCUCAUGUUCUUAGAGAAAUAUAAUAUACCCCUAAAACUAAGCAAACAAACCCCCAACUCCCAAGCAACAGUCGAACAUCUCCACACACCACCAAAACACUCAUCAUUUCACCUCUCCCAUAUUAUCCAACUAUCACUCAACCUCCCUUUUAUCGAUCUCACAUUCAUCAAACUAUUAUAUUUAUCUAAGUAUUGAAGACAAAAUCAAGCAAUAAACUAAAGAAUAAUAAGAAGUUAUGGUUAGUAUUUCUUCAAUAUCUAUCUUUUAUUUUUUUUGUUGGGUUUCAUACAAAAGAUCCUCAUUUUACUACAAUAUGGGUACAUUAAAUGGUUAAUGUGAGGUCAUAAAUUUAUAAAUUAGUAAAAUUCUAGUAAAAUUCGACAAAAAUGGGUUUUAAACAAUGUUGAAGACGAAACCCAAAAUCCAAGUGACAAGUACCUGUCGCCCAAACUUAGAAUGACUUGUCGUACCGGUCGCUUGGAUGCCGGUAUUCAUCACCCAGAUGACAGAAUACUGCAUAUUUGGCAAUUAGUACUCAUGUCACCCAAUAAACAAUCGCUUGUAAUUUAGGCGAUAGUGCUGUCAUUCGGAUCACCUGAAUUUGUUGAUAAUUGGUUAUUUAAUUAAUAUAGUAAUCUUAUUGUUUGCAGUGUUUUUAAUAAAGUAUUAUUAUUAUUUUGCAUAAGGUUAAUAUAUUUGGUAGUUCUUAUGAUGUAUUUUGAUAUAAUGUGGGAGACUUUGAAGGAUGGUCGUAUGGACUACGAGAAUGGAAAAGUUACUGCAUUUUGGUUCCAAAAAGAUGUAACAUUUGAACAAUUUAUUGCAAAGUUGUAUGAAAUUUUGAAGAAAAGUCCAGAUGAAUAUUCCCUUUUGGUAAAGACAAAUGUGAAAUCAACUCAUCUGACGCAACCCAUUAAUUCACUACCUAUAGACAUAAUGGACGAUGAAAUGGUGAGAGUGAUUAUACGUAUGAACUCUGAUCCAAUUAACUAUGAGUGCACUUCUAUUUAUGUAACAACAAGUCCUAAAGUUCUGAUAGAACUUUCUUUGAUGCCAUCAAUUCAAACUUCAGCCUUUAAACACUACUCCCCAUUCCGCUCUUAUAAUGAUCCUAUUGAUGACAAUGUUGUCAAUACAGAUGUGAAUGCAUGCAAAAACAUAUAACAUUGAGUCCCAAAUGUAUUCUAAACAUUGCAAUAGUCCAAUCAACAUUUUGAAGGAUGUAGAUUGGUUUCAGGAAGUUAAUGAUUCAUCUUAAAAUCAUCUUAUCAGUCCAAGGAUCGGUAGCCAAAGUUGGUUUAUCAGUCUAAUGGCUCGUAGUUGAAGUCGAUCUAGAGUUCCAAGUCCAAUAGACCCACUACAGUUGAAGGCUCCAAUUGUGCCAUCAGAUUGGGUAGCUUCAGACAUGGUUGAUGGUUCUAUUUACAAGGGUAUUUGUGUGGGCCAGACCAAUUAUUCAGCAUGAAAAAACUUAAAGUAUUGUGCUCCACUGAAAUACUGAUCACGUAUUUACCAACCAAGUGUUUUUUGUGCAAAUGUUCCACAUUACCACAUUUCAAUCAUGUCACCAAGCACUAUUCUUAAAGAGAGAAACGUAACAUCUCGUUUGACUAAAAAUGAAGUUGGGGAAGAUAUUCCAAAACCUUUACGGGAAUGAAAUGAAUUUGAAAAGAGAAAAGCUUCUCUAAAUUCCAAGGCCAUGAAUACCUUGUUUUGUGCACUAGAUGAGAAAGAGUUUCAUAGAGUGUCUAGUUGCGAAAGUGCUAAUGAGAUUUGGCACAAACUUGAAGUUGUCUAUGAAGGCACGAACCAAGUGAAAGAAUCUAAAAUAAAUAGGUACACUCGACAAUAUGAAUUAUUCCAAAUAGAACAAAAUGAGAAUGUGUACUCUAUGUAUACUAGAUUUACGGACAUAGUGAACACUCUAGAAGCCCUAGGAAAGACCUUUUCAAAUAGCGAGAAAGUUAAGAAAAUCAUUAGGUUGCUACCUAAGGAAUGGAGACCAAAAAGGACUGUCAUUGAAGAAGCCAAAGAUUUAAAUGUUUUACCUAUUGAUGAUUUAAUUGGUUCUCUCAUUUCAUAUGAAGAAGAUUUGGCAGCUGAAAAAGGGCAUGAGGAAAAGAAGAAAAACAUUGCUCUCAAGGCUUUAAAACGUGAGAGUGAUGAUGAAAGCGAAAUGGAUGAUGAGGAGUUAGCAAUGUUGGUUAGAAGAUUCAGAAAAUUCUACAAAAAAAAUAAUGAGCAGAGAAAGUUCAGAGGCUAUAAGAAUAAGAAGGAGAAGAAGGAGUUAAUCACUUGUUAUGAAUGCAAAAAGCCUGGACACAUACGACCGGAAUGUCCUCUUCUCAACAAACUCAAGAAGAAAGCUAUGGUGGCCACAUGGGAUGAUAACGAUGAGGAAACAAGUGAUGAUGAUGAGCAACAAGAAAUGACAGAUUUAGCUCUCAUGGCCGUUGGGGAAGAAUCAUGUGAUGAACUUGAUGAGGUAAAUGUUCUUCCUACAUAUAAUGAAUUACAUGAUGCCUUUAAGGAUUUGCAUGAUGAGCUGAUGAAGAUUGGUAAAAAGAAUAUAUGUCUUAAAAAGAAGAUGAUAGAGCUUAAAAAUGAAAAUGAAUCAUUUAGUGCAAAGAUUACUUGCCUAGAAUUAGAAAAUAAAACAUUGCAUGAUAGCAUUGUAUUAUUUAAGAAUUCUAGCACUCCACAUGAGCACUUAGAGUCACACUUGAAUGACUUGAAAAAUGAAAAUGAAAUGCUUAGAAAGAAGAGCAAUGAACUAAAUGAAAUUGUGUUAAAAUUCACAAAUGGACAAAAGAUGUUGGACAAUUUGCUAAACUCACAAAAAUGUGUAUUUGACAAAAGUGGCAUUGGUUAUAAACCAAAUUUGAAACAAAAAUUUUACAAGAGUUAUUUUGUGAAGAAUACAUCUAUUAACAAUCAAAUUGUAUGUCAUUAUUGUAAUCAAGAUGGUCAUAUGAAAAAUAGAUGUGCAGUGAAGAGAAAUGCAUAUUAUGGUGUGAAAUGUGUUUGGGUUCCGAAAGGAACCAUUGCUAACUCUCAAGGACCCAAAAAGGUUUGGGUACCUAGAACUUGAGAUUUUUUCUAUAGGGCUUGAAGAAGAAGAAGAAUAAGUGGUACUUGGAUAGCGGUUGUUCAAGACACAUGACAGAGAAUUAUUCUUGGUUUUCAAGUUUUACUAAGAUCGAAAAUGGUGGAGAUGUAUCGUUUGGAGAUAAUUCAAAAGGAAAAACCAUUGGGAUUGGAAAUGUCGGUAAUGUAUCCUCUACUCUCAUUGAAAAUGUGUGUUUGGUUGAAAACUUGAAACACAACUUGCUUAGUAUUAGUCAAUUAUGUGAUAAAGGAUAUAUAUGUUAUUGAGAAUGCAUGUGAUGGGAAAGUUUUGUUUGUAGGAAAUAGAUGUGUUAAUGUCUAUACCAUUAAUAUAGAUUGUGUAUCAACAAAUGAUAAAUGUCUCUCCGCAUUGCAUGAUGAUGGGUGGUUGUGGCAUAGAAGAUUAGGUCAUGCAAGCAUGGAUUUGAUUUCAAAAAUCGUGAAAGAUGAUUUAGUUAAAGGUCUUCCAAAAAUCAGUUUUCAAAAAGAUAGAAUUUGUGAAGCAUGUCAAUUUGGAAAACAAAUCAAAACUUCCUUCAAAAGCAAGAAUCAUGUCUCUACUUCAAAACCACUUCAAUUACUUCACAUAGAUUUGUUUGGACCUUCUAGAUAUGCUAGUUUAAGUGGCAAAUUUUAUGCAUUUGUAAUUGUGGAUGAUUAUUCUAGAUACAUAUAGAUAUUGUUCUUAGCUAAUAAAGAUGAUGCCAUUGAUGCAUUUCGAAUUUUCUAUAAAAAGGUUCAAAAUGAAAAAAGGUUAUUCUAUUACUUGUAUUAGAAGUGAUCACAGUAGAGAAUUUGAAAAUCAUGUUUUAAAAAAUUUUUGUAAUGACUUUGGCAUUGAACAUUAAUUUUCAUCACCUAGGACUCCACAACAAAAUGGAGUAGUAGAGAGAAAGAAUAGGUCUAUUCAAGAAAUGGCUAGGACAAUGUUAAAUGAAAACUCUUUACUUAAGUAUUUUUGGGCCGAAGCCGUCAACACCGCUUGUUAUGUUUUAAAUCGUGUGUUGAUUAGACCUAAUCUUAAUAAAACUCCAUAUGAGCUUUGGAAAGAUAGAAAACCCAACAUUGGCUAUUUUAAAGUUUUUGGAUGCAAAUGUUUUGUUUUGAACACAAAAGAUAAUCUUAGUAAAUUUGAUCCAAAAUCUGAUGUUGGUAUUUUUCUUGGUUAUUCAAAUUCAAGCAAAACUUAUAGAGUUUAUAAUAAAAGAACUUUAGUGGUGGAAGAAUCUAUGCAUGUUACAUUUGAUGAGUCUAACCCCUCAUCUACGGAGAAAGUCGUUGUUGAUGAUAAUGCAGAAGAAGAAUAACAAGGAGAAGCAUCAAAUGACAACCAAGAAGACGCACCACAUGGAAUUCAAAAAGAACAUCAUGAAGAAACAAAUGUAGAGCAAAAUGAAGGUACUUCUCAAACACUCCCCAAGGAGUGGAGGUAUGUUUCCUCUCACCCUAAGGAUGUAAUUUUAGGAGAUCCCUUACAAUAUGUUACCACUAGAUCAUCUCUUAGGAACACAUGUGAGCAUGCUGCAUUUAUUUCUCAAAUUGAACCAAAAUCCUUUGCGGAUGCGGAAAAUGAUGAAUCUUGGAUUAUGGCAAUACAAGAGGAGUUGAAUCAAUUUGAGAGAAACAAUGUGUGGGAGUUAGUUCCUAAUCCAGAACAUCAAUCUAUUAUAGGCACUAAAUGGGUAUUUAGAAACAAAAUGGAUGAAUCCGGUAUGGUUGUAAGAAAUAAAGCUAGAUUAGUGGCUCAAGGUUACAACCAAGAAGAAGGAAUUGAUUUUGAUGAAACUUUUGCACCUGUAGCAAGAUUAGAAUCCAUUAGGAUGUUGUUAGCAUAUGCAUGUCAUAAGGAUUUUAUUUUAUAUCAAAUGGAUGUCAAGAGUGCUUUCUUAAAUGGUUAUAUUAUGGAGGAAGUUUAUGUGAAACAACCUUCUGGCUUUGAAAAUGAAAAAUUUCCAGAUCAUGUGUAUAAGUUAUCUAAGGCUUUGUAUGAUCUAAAACAAGCACCUAAAGCUUGGUAUGAUAGGCUUAAAAACUUCUUGUUGGAUAAUGAUUUUUCGAUGGGAAAAGCGGACACAACUCUAUUUGUUAAGCAUAAGAACCAAGAUAUACUUAUUGUUCAAAUUUAUGUUGAUGAUAUUAUUUUUGGUUCUACUAAUGAGUUGUUGUGUAAAGAUUUUUCAUCAUGUAUGAGCAAAGAAUUUGAGAUGAGUAUGAUGGGAGAGUUGAAGUACUUCCUUGGACUUCAAAUCAAACAAAACGAGGAAGAAAUUUUUAUAAAUCAAGCCAAGUACGUGAAAGAUCUACUCAAAAGAUUUGGCUAUGAUAAUGGAACGACAAAGAGCACUCCUAUGAGCACUACCAUCAAGCUGGACAAAGAUGAGAAAGGUAAGGAAGUUGAUAUCAAGACAUAUCGAGGUAUGAUCGGAUCCUUACUCUACUUGACUGCUAGUAGGCCUAAUAUUAUGUUCAGUGUAUGCUUGUGUGCUAGAUUUCAAUCUUGUCCUAAAGAGUCACACAUGCUUGCUGUCAAACACAUUUUUUUAUAUUUGAUUGGCACCAUUAAUCUUGGGCUUUGGUAUCUUAGGGGAACUCAUAUUGAUUUAACUUGUUAUUCGGAUGCUGAUUUUGCUGGAUAUAAGGUUGAUAGAAAAAGUACUAGUGGAACAUGUCACUUCCUAGGCCAUUCUCUUGUCUCUUGGUUUAGUAAGAAACAAAACUCGGUUGCGCUUUCAACCACCGAGGCAGAAUAUAUUGCCGCAGGUAGUUGUUGUGCACAAAUUCUUUGGAUGAAACAAACCCUUAGAGACUAUGGUAUUAACCUUAAUCAAAUACCUAUCUUGUGUGACAAUACUAGUGCUAUAAAUCUUUCCAAGAAUCCCAUUCAACAUUCUAGGACUAAACAUAUACAAAUUAGACAUCAUUUCCUUAGAGAUCAUGUUCAAAAAGGAGAUGUUGUAAUUAAAUUUGUUUCUACUGAAAAUCAGCUUGCAGAUAUCUUUACAAAACCUCUUAGCGAAGAGCAUUUUAUAAAGAUAAGACAUGACAUUGGAAUGAUGAAUGUUGCAUCUUAACUUAUGUUUUACUACAUGGCUUGAUAUAUUUGUUAUUAUAUGGAUUUAUGCUUCAUGUAUUAGAUAGCUUGAUAUGCUUGUAAUUUUAUGAUUUUAUGUUUCAUGCAUUAAAUGGCUUAUUGAAAAGUUUUAAAUCUCAAAAUGAUUUAAAAUUAAUCAAUUUUAAAAGCAAAAAAUAAAAUGGUGUGUGGAAUACAAGUAUAAGAGCUAGCCAAUAUUCAAUUAGAGACAAAAAGAUUUCCAAGUCUAAACCGGUAUACCACUUCCUCUCAUUCGAAAAACCGUUUUUCUUGUUGAUUUCUCUCGGGACAAAUUCCGGAUAACCAGAUUUUCUAAACUGGUGAGCCGCAUUAUCUUUGGUUGCUCCCGGGUCAAUAUUCGGAUAACCGGAUUAUCAAUUUGGAAAACCGGAUUCACGUAUGGCCUUCACUGGAUUUAACCGGAUAGCCGGUUCUGUAAAUCCGGAAAUCCGAAUUCAAGCUGCACUUUGGCAGCAUUCUGGAUUCAUUCGGCCAACCGGUUAAGGAAACCGGUAAGCCAAUUUUAACUUGCUAUCUUCUGGAUCCAACCGGCAAGCCGGUUCGUGAUAUCCAGAAAACCGAAUUCGAGUGAAGGACUUGCUGGAACAUAAUCGGAUUUCUGGUUAAACACAUCCGGCAAGCCGCUUUCAGCUUUAUAGCUUCUGGACACCAACCGGUUAGCUGGUUAGUGACAUGCGGCAAGCCGGAUUCGAAGGCAUUUUUAAAGUGUUCAUCUUUCUUCCUCAUUCGGCAAUCCGGAUCUUGUUCUCUCUCUAAAAACCGAUUCCUCUCUCUCAUUUUUCACUCCCAAAUCAACAAUUUCUACUCGAUUUUGAUGCAAAUCAGUCCAUAAAUCCUAAUCCCCAUCCGUUCUUAUGCCUAAAAUCACACUCAAAAUCCAUUUUCAACAUCUAAAUCUUUAGAUCCGAAUUUCAACUUAAGGUUUAACUGAACUUUUCUCUCUAUAAAAUUCGUCCCCUCAAGUUGUUUUUUUUAUCCAAAUUGCUUCCCAAAAUUACUUUCAAUCUUCAUCAUCUUCAUUUUCUUUGCUGUUUUCAACUUCAAAUCCAUCAAAAUCACAAUGUCAAGCUCUCGGCCGGUUAGAAGAAAAGGCAAAGAACCGGUUCAACCAACCAACCGGUCACGGCAAGCAGGGGGCACCUCUAAUCAAUCCAAUUUCGAGUCCACACACUUUCAGAACAAGAACCAUCUGGCCAAACAUUUUCACGAACAGUUCCUAACUCGUGAGGUACUCAAAACCUUUUUUGUUUUACCGGAUUGGUUAAAUCAUCUUAGUAUUAGCAAUAGAACUUUAUUGCAAUUAUUGGAAGAUGUUAGUUGGCUUAAUGCACUUGUUGUUGAGGAAAAUGUAUAUCCUGACAUGGUGAAAGUGUUUUACUAGAAUAUGGAUUGUUCCGCGGAGAAAGAGAAUCGAGUAAUCACCACAGUUGGAGGAGUUUUGAUUGAGUUUGAUGAUUCGGAGUUGAACUCCAUCCUAGGAUCUUCCAAUGAUGGCCUAGAAAUUUUUUCACCUAGGAAACCUCCUGACAUUGAUGACUAUGUUUCUAUUGAUGCUGUUAAGAAUAUAUGUCAUCGUGUCAACCUUUCCGAUGAAGAUUGUACUAUCCAUUUUCGCACCCAAUGUCUUUGUCUUCAAACUCGGAUAUUACUUCGUUUUAUUCAGAGUAUUGUCCUCCCUAGAUCAGGCCAUUUGGAUGAGGUCUCUCAUAUGGAUGUCGCCUUGAUUGAUUGUAUUCUUAGACAUCGUCCAGUCGACUUAGGAUAUACCAUUGUCUGAAACAUGCUUAGUAUACCUAAGUUGAUUACCCGUUCCCUUCCAUAUGGUCAUUUCAUUACCUGAAUCCUGAAAUUUUUUGAUGUACCGAUUAAAGAAUCGCCGUGUAGACCAUCUAAGGGUAUCGGGGAUGAUGCUAUUUUCGGCUCAGGCUUUGAGUGGAAAAAUGGCACUUGGGUCAAAUACACUGAGAACAAGUUUACCUUUCUUGCUCCAAGUGAUGAUCGGCCACUUAAUGUUGUGGCUCCAGCCGAUCAGCUAACCAUUUUCUCACUCUCAUUUCGGGGGCAGUGUAGACGCCGAGAUCCUCCCGUGAUUGCUUCACCUCCACAGCCUCCUACCUCUGAAGAUGGUACUCUUCAGCAGCUUAUGGAUGAGGUGCGGACACUCUCGGUGCGGCAGACUGAGUUUCAGCAACAGCAGCAGCAGCAGCGGCAGCUACAACAGUAGCUCAUUCAUGGACAACGCCUUCUCUUUGAGCACUUUAGCAUUCCAUAUCCGUAUCCACUUCCAUCACCACCUCCAUAGUCUCUUAUGCUUGUAUUUGGACACACCUACAUUUCAUUUUCUGCAUUAUGUUCUUUUAUUUUCGACUAUAUGGAUGUUUAUUAUGCUUUUGGAUUAUGUAUUUGUUUUGGAUGAUAUGGAUUGUUUUGAUUGUUUGUUAUGGAUUAUGGAUAUUUUUGAACUAAUGUUCUUAUAUUGCGAUUUUGAUGAUUGAUAGAGGGAGCUCUUAUUCUCUUAUUCUUGUAUUCUUUUUUAUGAUGAAGGGGGAGAAUAAUUUAAUAUGAGUUAUAAAAAGUGUUAUAAAAAUAUGCAUUUAUCCAGGGGGAGUAUGCAUGUAUGCAGGGGGAGUCUUUUUAAAUAAUUUUCAAAUAAUUUUUUUUUACCUUGCAUUGAUUAAGGGGGAGCUUUUCAUAACUAGAUUAAAUUUUUAUAAUAUGUUUUGUCAUCAUAAAAAAGGAGGAGAUUGUUAGCCUAUAUGGCUAUAGAUAUUGAUUUUGAUGAUAACAAACCACAUGUGUUGAUUAAACAAAGAUUUAUGAAUUGUGCUUUUACAAUAAGAAAAUAAUGUUAUGGAAUUAAAGUAUUUUGGACUAAAAUGAAAGUAUUUUAAAACCUUUGAUAUUGUUUUAAAAUUUCAGAUUUGGACCUAUUUUAAACUAUUUAAAUAUUUUAGGUCAUUCUAUAAUUUCACAUAGUUUGGGUGAAAUCAUAAUUUCAGAAAGUUUUGGGAUUGACAAAGCAUUACUUAAAAAUUCCGAAAUUGGACCUAUAUGAAAGCUUUCAUAACGUUUUGGGCCAUAAUAUAGUUUUAUAACGUUUUAGGGUAAAACUGUAAAAUUAGAAAAUAUUUCACUGUAGCAAUUACUAUAGCAAGCGGCUAGCCGGAUCCUGACAAACAAUAGACCGGAUUCGGGCAGGAUGUUUCUGGAACUUAAACGGCUUACCGGAUUUCACAAGCGGCAUACCGGAUGUUCAGAAAUUCAAAAUUGUGGCUGUAACGGUAACAUUAAGUGGCUAACCGGAUGUUCAUAAACGGCAAGCCGGUUAUGACCAAAAUGUGCAUAACGGCUAGUUUUUGAGCUCAAACUAUAUUAACUCAAAUCCAACUCAUUUUUAAGCUCUCCAACAAGCAUAAACAAAAAGCACACGAGAUAUCUUGAGCUUCUAAUUUGCAAAACACAAAACAUUGAAUCAUUACUUGUUCUUCAUUUUUGAAUAUCUACUCUUUGAGUGAGCUUUAUUGUAACUUUCAUUUCCUCAUCUCAAUUGUAAGAGUUUAAGUGUGUGAGACACUUAAAUGAAGAGAUUGGGAGAUAAUCGCUUUGUUGUAAAGGUUCAUUGACACAUUGAAGUCAAUUGUAAAUGGUUGAAGCCUUGGAAAGACUUGGAUAGUGAAAUCCUCAAGCUUGGAUCGCUUGGAGGCGUGGACGUAGGCGGGGUUUGCCGAACCACGUAAAAUUUUGUGUGUUUGUUUCUCUUCUACCUUACUCAUUAGUUAUUGUGCUUUUAUUGAACUUAUUGCUUUCAAUUUUUAUUAAGACAUUAGAUUGCUUGUUGUGUGGAUUGGCUAGGAUAAUUUUUAAAAUUCCAAUUCACCCCCCCUCUUGGGUUGCACACUUAAAUUUCAAGCUUAACAUGGCCAAAUUUUAGGCAACACGAGCAACCACUCAUGUUCUUGAUUGGUGGGCACACCAACCUUCUCUUUAACCUCAAAAUAAUUCUAAGUUUAGAUCAAUAAUUUCUUAAAGACAUUUAAAUAAAUACUUGGUGUGCCAUUUAUUAGAUAUCUUAAUCUUAAGAAAACUCUAAUAUUUUCAUACCCAAUACACAUCCUAAUGAUUAACUAUGAUCAAUGAUGAAUCAACUAGGCAAUUUAAACAAAAAAUUAUUCUAAAUUAAUGAAACAAAUUGUGAAAGUACCUAAGCCGCCAAAACCGUAAGUGAAUAAACUUGUUGGAACCAAACUAUAACUCACGUAAUUGCCAAUAGAAGUGAAAGAAAUUGCUACCGGAAGUGAAGGUUACUCUAUCAGAGCGAUGUAGCUAAAUUGGGCCGAGUAUUGAGAGGUUUUUCCCAUACUCUACUCGUGCGAUGAUGAUCCCGACGAGUAUUGAGAGUUAUUUCCCCUGGGUACUAUUUGGUGCAGUUUGUGAUGUAUGUAUGUAUGAAUUCCAUGUUUGCUGAUGUAUGUUAUUCAAUGUGGAGUUAUGUCACAUAAUUAUGCAUAAGCGCUAGUACACUAUAUUAUUAUUAUUAUUUUAAUAUAUAUAAUUACAUCCACUCACUGAGCCGCAAGCUCACUAUUUUCCUAUUUACCCCUUUCCUCCCAGGAUUUCGCAGGAUUUCGUUCAGAUCAAUUCUAGUUAAUUAAGGUUGGGCCACGAGAUGUAUUGCUACAUGUCUUGCAUUUUGAGCACGUUUAUGUUGCUUAUGUUUUAUAUGUAAAUAUACAUGAAAUGUCAAUAUGUACAAUGAGACAUAAGCUAUGCAAGUUUUGAAUUCAUAUAUGGUUUUAGAAAAGGCACAUAGGUGGUUAUGUGUUUAUAGGAAAGACCAUAUUUUAUACACAUUUUCAUGAAUUAAAUUUGUGCUACAAGUUUUAAUUAUUAGUCCGUACGAUUCACCUCAAUUCUAACAUGCAGUUUGGGGCGGGUCGUGUUAGAUUUGCCCUUGAGCUCAGUGGCAACGGCUUUAUAUUAUGGAGCAAGUUUCUUGCUCUGGGGGGCCCAUGGUGCAUAAAAAAGGACCAUCACAUGCUGAUUCUUGGCUAUAACAUGACUAAAAUUCUUGUCACUCGGUUUCACCGCAUCUUCUUUUUCAUCAAUUGCCGGCGGCAACUUGUGCUUUUGAUCAUUGAAACUGUUGUAAGAAUCUGAAAGUUCAACAGUGUUUCCGUAAGAGACUGGAGGAAGUUUCUUGAAUACGGAAACACACAAUACAUAGCCUCCGUCAUAAUCUAUUUUGUAAACACAGAAAGGCGAAAGACAAAAAAGAACGAACAAAAGAAAAAUUGUAGUGGAGAGCAUAAGGAGAUAAGCUUUUGUUGACAUUGUUUGAGCAGUUGGCCUUGUAUUUGAGAUCUUCAAAUAAUUGUUAGCUAAUGACAAGAGAGAAGUAAUUAAAUGCUCCUUGUAUUAUUUAUUUUCAAAGAUGCAGACAAAAGGCUAAAAAAAUUUUUUUUUUAAAGUAUUUUGACUUCUAUUCAGAAAUUACAUUAUUAACACAUUGUUGAUAGAAACAAAACCCUCUAGCUUGACAAAGCACAAUCGAUAAAGACAAGAGCCACGUCUCUAUCUCAUAAAACCAGUGUUUCUGUAAACAUCACUAUGGAAUAGUACUAUCACCGAAUCUUGAUCAUCUCUUAUUACAAUCUUUAAAAUGCAUCUGCUUGGACUUUGUAUUAAAAACUUUCUGUAUGUGAAUGGAAUGACUACAUUUGUUCGCAAAUUUAAUUAAAUUCUCCAAUUAGUUCUUUCUUGAUCAACUUCAUUAUUUCAGAGGCUUAUGCAGAAUUACACAAAUUUACCACUAAUCGGAGCAAUAAUGUCGAAGACAUCUUGUUACAAAUAUCACAUACUAAUGAAAACUUGCUUCUCUUGCUUCCUUAUUUCAAUUGGGACCAAAGUGACAUUUCUUUUGAGUUCAAAAAGGGAAAACAUCUCUGUGUACCGUUUGUGUCACGUUCUCUUAAUAGAAAAAUAUAACCCCAAAAGUUCUUGAUUUUGGUAGUUUGGUCUUUGUAUUAGAACUUGCAACCUGUUUCAUGAGAAAAAAUAAUAAAAAUUUGCUCUUAUUUUUCUUGCAAUCUAACAAGGUGCUUAACAAUUUUGGUUACCAAUUGAUGUUUAUCUAUUGAAUGCAGUUAUCAAUGAGUUAAAUGAAUAUAAUUAAAGGUCUAAUACAUAUUUUUAUAUAUAGAAUAUAUGCCAUAAUUUAAUGUGACCUCUGCCGUACUCGGAGCAAAAGAAACCCCUGCUAAUGGCUGCAUGUUUAUACAACUCCUCAACGCAAGCGAUAUCGUAAACGACGUCGUCCCAGUUGUGGCAUAACAACAUCGUCACCUCGACUUCCUCGAACCUCCCUUGCAAAUCCUUCAACACGCGCAGCAACUCCAGUACAGUCGCCACACGCGGCCUUGGCACCAUAUUUAUUUAUUUAUUAAUUCUAUUAAAUCCCAUUUAAUUUAAAUUAAAAAAUAAUUAAAACAAAAGUCACAUUACUUGUUUUUGUGUUAUAGGGGCCCACCUUGUAAAAUAACACAAGGUCCCUUACAGUUAUAGUUAUCUUGCUUAUUAAUCCAGUAGUGGUGCAGUCAAUUAAAUAAGCUAACUCGAAGAUCAUUUGGGAACAUACAAUAGUGGCUAUAAUAAUUAGGCAUGUAAUUAAACUAGCCCAAUUAUUUAAUUCCAAAUCUACUCCACUAAAAGAUUGGAACUGACCUCCAUAAUUGUAUACUCGAAUAAUAAUUCGUCCCAAGACACAUCAAUUUCUUUACUGCAUAAUCCUUUGUACUAUAUCAUUAAUUAAAUCGAUAUCUUAAUUGUCCAAUUGAUUUAAUUACAUCUUAUUCCUUGAUACUUAUUGAUUUUCUCUAAUGAUCAUUUUCAACAUACUAAAUAUGUUGACACACUCUGGCCAAAGAAUUCUAUGAUCAAGUGCUGAAAAUCCAUCAAGAGAUGUGUUGUACAAAUUCUAUAUUGUUAAUCUAUAACUCCAAUACUCAUAAUUGCUCCCACCAAGAUACUGGGUAAUCUUGACCACAAUUGUGUGUCUUUCCCAUUGGUAACUCAAAUGGAAUAACAAUUACAAUCAUGAAAUCAUAACUAAGUUAAGAUUAAGAUUACGGUAAAAGCAAUGCCUAUGAGAUUUAAUAAGUCUGACAGUUAUUUCAAGGUUAAUUAAAUCUCAUAUGUGAUCUAACUCAAUGUAGUCAAUCUACAUCAGUAAAUUCAUACAUGAUUAAGAUAAAUUAUUCAAUGAAUUUACUACAGUCUAAACAUAAAUAGAGCGCCCAACUUUAUUUAUCAACUACGAAUUUAAUUUAUCUAAUCAUAAAAUGACUUGUAUUUAUGUCUUCUGUGAAUCCAUAUGAUGAUUACAUAAAUACAUAUAAUAUGAUUAAACGGACCUUAUUCAAAAUAUUAUACAAUUGAAAAUAUCUCAAAUAUUUUAUUAAUCAGAAAAUAAAUUAAUAUGCUUUAAAAAAGCAUAUAAUCCCAACACUAUGGCCCCACCCAAGGACUCAAAAUAUAAAAACGCGGGCAAAUCCGGCGCAUGUCUUGGAAUGACAUACCAUAUGUAAUGCUAAUUAUUUGGGAUGAAAUUUAAAAUAAAAUAAAUUUAGUAUGCUUACUCUUGCAUAAAACAUUUCUUCUUUUUUUUUUUGGUAGAGUUAUUUUGCAACUAAUAAUUUAAUUUAUAAAUAUAUUUUUGUUUUAUCAAUAAUAACAUUUAAUUUGCAACUGUUGGGGAUUCCUAUUCCCUAGUGUUGGCUCGAGGAGAGCUUGGCAACAACCAUUUCAACGAAUCUAUGACAAGUUUUAUCGUGACAAUUGAUUUCUUUGCACUUGUUAAUUGAUUUCUUUGCACUUGAUAUACAAUACAUAUCAAAUUAUAUCAAUUUUAAAGCUAUAUACUAAGAAUUCUAACAUAAUCAAAUGCAGAUAGGAGCAAUUAAUUGACAAUCAACAUGCCAAUUGGAAAAGUUAAACCUGUGUAAGGAAUUUGUUGAGUAUCCGCAACAUAGUAGAAAUAUGGUAAAGUUAUGAUAAGACAACUGUGACAAAAUAAUAUGUCAAUAUUCAAUUAUUGAAUAUAAAUUAUGACUCUAUUUGGUAUUGAGAUGUUAUGAUAUAAAAAAAUGAUAAAGUAUGAAUACGUAAUAAUUUUGAAAGUUAUUAUGACUUUUUAUUAUAUAGAUAAAACAAAUUUGGUUUUUAGAUUAUAGCAGUAAGUAUUUAUUAAGCUAAUUAGAGUUAGAAUUUAAAAGCUAUAGCUUCCAACAAUAAUUAAGCAUGGCGAAUAUCUAAAAACAAGUCUACUAGAAAAACUUUUAUUUCUACAAAAUAAAAAAUGCAUGUGAUAUGUAAUUUUUAAGGAUUCGAAGUUAUCGCUGCAGAGGAAACAAAAGAAUUUUAAAAAGAGAAUUGCUUUAUGAAAUAAUUUGUUUGCAUCCUUUAUUCAAACAGCUUUAGGCUUUUUAUAAGAGCCAAUUGGAAACACGCAAUCUACACUAGUAAUUGCACUUGGAACAACAAAAGACACCCUAGACAAUAACACAUGAAAUACAAGAAAUAAUAGGAAACAUGGGUAAUAAUUUUGCACACAUAGUUAAUAGACCACUUGUCAAGUGCCCACUUAUUUCAAAGCUCUUAUUACUAAGUCCUAGACUCCCCUUCUCAAGCACAUGGCUAUCAGGUACCUGGGAAGCUUGUUAAAUGCAUGGUUCUUGCUCAUCUUUGGGAGACAUAUCAGCAUGCUUGGAAAGAGAUACACGCAAGACAAUCAACACAAGAUUUGCUUUAUUUCUAGGAUGCAUGGGCAAGCACUCUACUUAUAGAACUCCAUAACCCAGAGAUUACCAAUAGCACGUUCACAACUCAUCCCACUAAAACCAGCGCCAGUAGCCAGGGUCAUGAAUUCAUGCCUUGUUCUCUCCUUUCCAUCGGGUCUUUGAAUCAUCAUAAGCACGUCAAAAUGGAAAUUUGAUUUUGAUUCAAUGCUUGUAUUAGGAACUUCUGGAAGCAUUAACUCCACAACGAUUACCUUUCCAUCUUCUGGAAUGCUUUUGUAGCAAUUCUUCAACAACUUCAAGCAAUGUUCAUCAUUCCAAUCGUGCAGUAUUGUUAGAGUGCAAUUUAUGCACUAGUUUUGCAUUGCUUACUUCUUUUAAUAUCGAUGUUUUGCACUUAAUAAUAAUGAUUUACUUGUGUUUUACUUUUAUAGGUGCAAUUCUAUUGAUUUGUGAUAAAAUUGAGGUAUAAGAUGAUGUUUAAAGAUGAUUGUUCUCUUGGAGAAAUUAUGAGCGGUAGAAGAACUUUGUUGAUAAGGCGUGGGCGCGUGCUGUCAACUGCAAACCUGCAGUUUUUAGUUUAACGUGUUUUGUAUUUUUGGUUAUUUUUGUAAUUACGAAUUUAAUAUUUCAGAUAUUAGUAUUUUAUUUUAAAUAGAAUUCUAGAGUAGAAGAGAGAGAGAGUAUUUAAGGGAGGAAUCUAUUGUGAAAAAGGGGGAUUUUUUGGAGAAAAAGAAAGAAACCCUAGAUCUUAAUUUUUCUCUUAUCUCUAUAAAGAACUAAACCUAUUUUUCUGGUUGAAGGAUAAUGAAGCUUUGAUUCAUCACUACUGUGAGAUCUUUCUUGUGCUUUAAUUGUUUUAUUGCUUUUUGGGUAUUUGUUUAUUCUCUGAAUUAUUUUCAUGAUUAUGUUUGUUAAUUAGGUAAUUGGCCACUAUUUAAUUAUCAACUUAAUCUAUUGUCAAUUAAAGGAUUCAUCGUAUGAAGAAUUUAAUGUUUGUGACAAAUAACAUAGCAGAGAGUUGUGUUGUGAGAAUAAACAAUCUAAUUUAAAUGAAUCAUCAUAUGUGUUGAUUAGGAUUUGGGUCUCUCUGAUUUUUCAGGCUGUCAAUUGAUUAAAUCCUAUGAUCGUAUCUAGGGUUGUCUAUUGAUUAGGGAAAUAUCCAACGGUCGUACCUUGGUUAUCGACUAGUUAAGGAGAGAUUGGCUAUUAGAGGGUCUCAAUAGCUAUAACCGGUGUAUUCAUAAGUAAUAAUAAUCUAUAUUUGAAUCAAUGAUCAGUAGUCGAAUCAAGCUGAGUUAAUUCCUUCAACCAUAGCUUUCUCCAAUUUGAAUUACAACUUUAAUUUGCAUUCUUGUUAUUUUGAUUUGAUUUUUAUUAUUGUCAAAAAUUCCCCCAUUUUACGUUUUACGUUUCAAAAAGAUUUAAAUAAUUAUCGAUCUCUGUGGACACGACCCUGCUCAAUCACUAUACACAAUUUAUUUAGAGUAGGAAUUUAUUUUUGUUGGCUUCGACAACCAUCAAACUUUGGCGCCGUUGCCGGGGAUUGGUGUCAUUUAUUUAAUCAUUUUUACGUUUUACUUGGUGUAUGGUUCGUUCUUCUCGUACAGGUACACUUUCGUUUGAUCCUGAAAUUGAGAAGACAGCUCGCUAGUUUAGACAGCAGACGAAGCGAGCUAAGCAACGGUCCUCGUCGCCUUUGCUUUCUGAAAUAGAUACAGUACCUAAUUCAGUUGAAUCAUCUAGCGAUUUAGAAGAACAAAUGAUGGAUAGAACUGCACCUAUAGAAAGAACUCUUAGAGAGUUAGCUGAACCAAACUUGAAUCAGCAACCACUCUGCAUUCAAUAUGUAGACUUAGAGGUAAAUUUUGAAUUAAAGUCUGGUCUUAUUCAUUUGUUACCCAAGUUUUAUGGUUUUGCAGGUGAAGAUCCUCAUAAACAUCUUAAGGAGUUUCAUGUUGUGUGUUCAAGUAUGAGACCACAAGGCGUGACUGAAGAGCAGAUUAAGCUGCGUGCUUUUCCGUUCUCUUUAGGUGGGUUAGCUAAAGAUUGGUUGUACUACUUGCCUCCUGGAUCGAUUACAACGUGGAAUGGUUUGAAGAAGCAGUUCCUCGAGAAGUACUUUCCUACUUCAAGAGCUGCUAACAUCAGAAAAGACAUUUGUGGGAUCAGACAACUUCCUGGGGAGACUUUGUAUGAGUAUUGGGAGCGAUUCAAACAAUUGUGUGCCAGCUGUCCUCAGCAUCAGAUUUCUGAUCAACUUCUUAUUCAAUAUUUUUACGAAGGACUAUCAUUGAUGGAUAGGAGUAUGAUAGAUGCUGCUAGUGGAGGCGUGUUGGUAAACAAGACCCCUACUCAAGCAAGGGAGCUGAUAUCAAAUAUGGCUGCCAAUGCACAACAAUUUGGCAACAGGCAAGAUCUCACUUCAAGGAAGGUGAAUGAGGUAAAUAUUUCUUCUGUUGAAUAACGUUUAGAUAAACUUACUUCUCUUAUGGAAAAGUUUGUUGUAGGUAAUGUGCAACAGGUGAAGACUUGUAGUAUUUGUUACAAUAUGGGUCAUUCAACUGAUAUGUGUCCUACACUUCAAGAAGAACCCAUUGAACAAGCCAAUGCAGUUGGAGGAUUUCCAGGCAUGCCUCAGAGGAGGUAUGAUCCUUAUGCACAAACAUACAAUCUGGGAUGGAAGGAUCAUCCCAACUUCAGCUAUGGAGUUAGGCCGUCAGGAUUCCCACAACAGUAUCCACCAAGACAACCAGCACCUCCACAGUCAACCUCCAAGCCAGGUAUAUCUCUUGAAGAAAUUGUUAAAUCGCUUGCGACUAACACUCAAUAAUUUUAGCAGGCAACUACAGCAAGCAUUCAGAACUUGGAGAACCAAAUGAGUCAAUUGGUGACUACAGUGAGCCGUCUGGAGUUUCAAGUAUUAGGGAGAUUGCCUUCACAAUCUGAGGUGAAUCCAAAGCAAAACGUUAGUGCUGUCAUCCUUAAAAGUGGGAAAGAGUUGCAAGAGCCUAGUAAGAAAGUGACAAAGCAUAUAGAAGAUGAGCUUGAGAAGAAUGAAUUGAUGCCUCAAUCUCAAGAUGCGCAACCCAACAGAGUGAAACCCCUACAUAUUGUGAUACCUCCUCCUUUUCCAAGCCUGUUUGUAAAAUCCAAGAAGGAGGAACAAGAGAAAGACAUCCUUGAGACAUUUCGCAAGGUUGAGGUAAAUAUUCCUUUAUUAGAUGCUAUAAAACAAAUACCUCGAUAUGCUAAAGUCCUUAAGGAACUAUGCACCUCUAAGAGAAAAUUAAGAGGAGAUGAAAAAGUUCACAUGGGGGAGAAUGUUUCAGUAGCUCUCCAAAAGAAACUACCUCCUAAGUGCAAGGAUCCAGGCAUGUUUACAAUCCCUUGUAAAAUUGGUAGUGUUAGAAUUGAAAAGGCUUUGUUAGAUCUAGGAGCUUCUAUUAAUGUCAUGCCUCGUUCCAUUUAUUCAUCUUUGAAUGUUGGCCCAUUAAAAGAAACUGGCGUGAUAAUUCAACUAGCUGAUAGGUCUAAUGCAUAUCCUGAUGGGGUAUUAGAAGAUGUCUUAGUACAAGUUAAUGAGUUGGUUUUUCCUGCUGAUUUUUAUGUACUUGAUAUGGAAGAUGAUAACUCCUCUAAUUUUGUCCCAAUUUUGCUAGGAAGACCUUUUCUUAAGACUGCUAGGACUAAAAUGGAUGUACAUAAAGGGACUCUCACUAUGGAGUUUGAUGGAGAGGUUAUAGAAUUCAAUAUGAAUGAUGCCAUGAAAUAUCCUAGUGAGGAACAUUCGGUAUUUUCUAUGGAUGUUAUUAACCCUAUAGCGCAGGAAGUUUUUUAUAAGGAAAAGACGAAGACAUUUCAUGAUAGAAUGAUUUUGAGAAAGGAGUUCUCUGUUGGUCAAAAAGUUCUUCUUUUUCAUUCUAAGCUUAAACUUUUUCCGGGUAAAUUACGUUCUUGCUGGGUUGGACCUUUUAUUGUUACUAAUGUUUUUCCUCAUGGUGCAGUUGAGAUUCGGAGUCCGACCUCUGACAAAGUUUUUAAGGUUAAUGGUCAUCGCUUAAAACGUUUUUAUGAAGGUUUUUCGGUGAAUAUUGUGGAGGAUGUGGCUCUCGAGAGUCCCAAUUAUAGAGAUUGAUGCAUAAAUGUGUCUAGCCAAAGACAUAAAAUAAAGGCGCUUUUUAGGAGGCAACCCAAAAGAUUUAUUUAUUUUGAUUUUAGUUAUAUCUUUUAUUUUUAAUUUUGAUUCAGAUUUUUUUUAAUAAUGCUUUUGCUUAUUUUGACCAGAAGAAAAUUUUCGAUAAGGCGUGCCCACGUCUUAACUAAUAAGUACUUCUGUGAUUUUUAAAGUAAAAUAGUUUUAAGGCGUGCCCACGUGCUUAUUAGAAAAGUACUUCUGAAAUUUUUAGUGUCUCAAAGUGAUUCAUCACUUAAAAAAAAAAAUCACAAAUCACUGUUCAUAAAUCCCUAAUUCAAAAAAAAUAAAAUUCACUGUUGAUUAUCUUUUUCUCCCGCAGCAACCAGCAGCUGCAGCCCACGCAGUAGCAGCAACCGUGCGAAAUCAGCAGCAAUUGUGCGCGCAACACAUCCCACGCAGCAGCAGCAGCCGUGCGCCCCGCCAGCAGCACGCAACACAGCAGUGCGCAAGCAGCCCCAAGCCGCGCAGCAAGCUCCAACUGAGCAGCAACGCAACGCAACCAGCCUACGCACUGUAUUCCAGCCGGGUAAAUCGAAAUCCGUGAGUGCAAUUAUUGUAACAAUGCUGAAGAGGAAAGCAUCUAUUUCCAAGUCAUCGAAAAAGACACCCGUCGCAAAGAAAUCUAAGAUUGCCGCUCCCACUAUGGUUCCAUGGAAUACAAUUUUAGAUUCACGCCAUGCCGUGAGACAAAGAUCGAAGCAUGGAAAAGGCAUGAGUGUUUUGCCACUUGCGGAAUCCAAUUUCGGAGGGUGCCUCGCAUUCGCAACUCAACAAGAGAAAGAGAGGUACAAAGACAUUUCCACGCGCAAAAUACUUCCAGCUAAGUAUAUUCAUUACCCGACUCUUGAAAAAUUGAAUGUUAAGGAUAAUUUUGAUUAUUUGAUAGAUAAGAUUGGGUUGCGUAAGUUUAUUGAUGUUGAUUGUUUGGGUUAUGUUGAGUUGAUUAGGGAGUUUUAUGCUACUUUUCAAUUUAAUAUGCCGAAUGAUUUUACUUUACAUACCCCGGAUGUCAUUAAGUUUAGGUUAAUGGGACGAAAUUUUUCACACUCUAUCAUGGAUUUUAACCUAGCUUUAGGAUUCAUUGAUGAUGAUUAUUCUUCUAGUGAUGCAUAUUUAGGAACAACUUGUGACUUUAGCGAAAAUUUUGAGCCUUAUGGUCUUUGGCGUAAUUUAUCUGUUGAUCACAAUGCCUAUGACCCAAGUAAAUCAAAGAGUUCUUUCUUACGUGAUCAUGUUUUGAAAUGUGUGCAUCGAUUCUUAGCAUAUAUUUUUUUAGGCAAGAAAGAUCACUCAGGAGUUUUCUCUAAAACUGAAUUUUAUUUUAUCUGGUCCAUGUUAAAUGAUGUAAGGCCUAAUUUAGGUUUUUGGUUAGCGGAUCAAUUUCAAAGUGUGCUUAAACGGUAUAGGACUUUAUUUCUUGGUCCAUACAUUACUUUGUUAGCUAUAAACCUAUGUGUGCUUAAUCCCGACAAUAAUGAUUUACAUCCUGCUUGCAAAAAAGAAUUUUUGGAUAUGUCUGUGUUUGAAAGAACAAGUGUGGUCGAAUUCAAGGAGGGGAGAUUUCAGUUUACUGAACCAGGACCCACUCAACUUCCGAAGAAGCUUUAUGCUAGGAGUGGUGCUACCUCUGAUGACGAGUUUGACGACGACACUGCUGCCCCGCCAACUAUUCCUUCUACAUCCGCACCAUCUUUGAGCAUUCAGUUAGAGAAAAUGGAGCAUAAGCUGAACAAGAUGGAGCAGAAUUUGGCCGCAUACUUCGAGAGUGUGGGAUUUACCCCACCAUUUUCGCCAAACCCAUAGACGUUAUGUGGAUCAAAGCUCACAAUUCAGGGAAGUUUCUUUUUACCCUUAAUCUUUUAUCCUUACGCUUUAAUUUUUAUGUGAGCUUUGAUUAUCUUACAUUGGGGACAAUGUAAGUUCUUGGUGUGGGGGAGGGAUUUUUGCAUUAUUGAUGCCUGGAAUUAUUAUUUUCACUCUACUCAUCCUUAAAUGAUUUUGGAGUUAGUAUGCUUCAUAUAUUAUUAUUUUUCUUUUCUUUUCCUUAUCACUACUUUUUUCCCAUCUAUCUCAAAUUAUUCAUGUCUAUUUUUAUUUUACCAUACUCUUUCAUCACUCACAUUUUAUCUUUCACUUUUCAUAUUACUACAUACAUCUUUCUCACUUCUUAUCAUUUUUACCUUUUCUUUUAUAUAUCACUCAUACCUUCUUCUCAUUCUGCACCACUAUUGAUGGUUGAUUCAUUUGAAGAGUGUACAUGAUUUGAUGGCAAAUUUACCUGUAGUUGCAUCACAAACCGAGAUAUAUUAUGAAAGAAUUUUGAGAAAAUAUAUCAUUGCUCACCUCGAAAUGCUGUUGCAAUACAGGUGAAUGUUGAUGCAGUGUUGUGUAUAUCUUCUCAAGUAAGCCUAUGGUGCAUCCACUUGAUCGCCCAGCAGAUCCACCUGGAAUCCAAGCCACGUAAUGAAUCUUAAGAAAAUUUGCUUGAAACACACUUAAAAUGUACAUUCAUCAAAUCCAAGUUAAAUUCAGUUUGUUUAACCAAAAAAAAAAAAACUAAGGUGAAUAAAACUGAAAUUGCAGCUCAAAACCUCAGUUUCAGCCUUCUGGAGAUUCUUGCUUCUUCUGAUAAAUGCUGUUCUGUAGAGUAAUUCCCGUUUUUGUAUUGAGGAAACAAGUUGUUGUAUUAUGAAGCAAAUCAGUUGGUAAAACGACCAGCCGAUGUCGCGUUUUGGAAAGCAACACACUUACUCUUUUGAACGACAUGAAUGAAGGUCGUUUUGGUUUAAGUGAUGCACGAGAGUUUCACGUGCACGAUAAGUUGCUUUCUUGGUUCGUUAGAAUCAGUUAAUUUACAUGCCAGUCACGUGGGUUUCUGGGUUCGUUACUGAUUCAUUAACAAGCUGUUAUAUGCAGCUGAUUCUAACAACAGAAAGAGAGUGAGAGUGAGAGCUAUUGUGAGUUGAGGAGAUUGAAACAAAGGCUUCUUGAAAGACUCUGUAAUCAGCUUGAAAAGCUCUCUGUAACUUCUGUGAACAAUCAAUAGAAUUGGGUUCUGUUUCUCCCGUGGAUGUAAGCUAGAUUGAAGCUAGCUGAACCACGUUAACUCUUGUUCUUUUCUUAAUUCUUUUUAGUUCUAGACUCUUUGUGUAUUCUGCUGGAUUGAUUCUUGGUGCAUCUUGUUUGUUUGAUUGUGAUCUUGGAGAAGUGUUUCGAGUUGAUUGGAUAAUUAGUCACUCUUAAACACUACAAUUGGUAUCAGAGCCUGGAUUCCAAAUCAGACACAAGUAUGGCUAGUUCAAAGAUCGAUCUAGAGAAGUUUACAGGGAAGAAUGACUUCAACAUGUGGAAGGUUAAGAUGGAGGCACUACUGAUCACUCAAGGGCUAGGUGAUGCCUUAGAACCUAUCAUCAAGAAAGAAGGAUUAGAAGCCUCUACAUCAUCAUCAUCACUAAAACGAUAACAAGCUGCUGAGAUUGACAAAAAGGCAAGGAGUACCAUAAACUUGAGUUUUGGAGACUCGGUGAUUAGGGAAGUUGCAAGAGAAAGAACAGUGGUUGAUCUAUGGGCUAAGCUUGAAAGGGUGUAUAUGACUAAAUCAUUAGCCAACAGACUUUACAUCAAGAAAAUGAUGUUCACACUAAAGAUGGCUGAAGGACCAUCUCUCGAAGACCACAUUGAUGAAUUCAACCAAGUCUGUAAUACACUGGAAAUAAUUGAUGAAGGUUUAGAUGAUGAAGGUAAAGCAUUGCUUCUGGUUAGUUCACUUCCAUCCUCAUAUUCAAACUUUGUUGCACUCAUGUAUGGGAGACAGACUUUAUCAUUGGAUGAAGUUAAGGCUGCCCUGAAUACUAGAGGGCUGCAAGAAAAGUCAGGGAAUAUGAACUCUGGAGAAGUGUUGGCAGUAAAAGCAAGAACUGAUAAGUAUGAUGGGAAGAAAAAGAAGCAAGGGAACAAUAAACAAAAUACUAAAGGCAAGAAAUGUUUUCAAUGCCAGAAAGAAGGGCAUUUCAAGAGAGAUUGCCCAGAACUCAAGAACAAGAAAAAAGAAUAAAAUGGAGCUGCUGCUACUGCUGAGAAAGAGGGGUAUGAGUCAGCAGGAGUAUGUAUGGCUACAGAGCAUGUGCAAAAAGGUACCUGGAUUCUAGAUUCAGGUUGUACAUUUCAUAUGUGCCCCUUUAAAGAUUACCUAUUAAACUAUCAUGAAACUGAUGGAGGAAACGUUAUGAUGGGUAACAAUGUUGUUUGUAAGAUUGUGGGGAUAAGAAAUGUAAACUUAAAAUUGCAUGAUGGAACAAUAAAAGAGUUAAGGGAAGUUAGGUAUGUUCCUGAACUUAAAAAGAACUUAAUAUCUCUAGGUAUGCUUGACCAAAUGGGGCAUAGCAUUAAGCUUUAAUCUGGUGAGUUGAGAAUUUCAAAUGGAGAUGGGGUAGUUAUGAAAGGUUACAAAAGAAAUGGGGUUUAUGUUUUGAAUGGGGAAGCUAUAACUGGUGUGUCAGGAGUGUCAAUCAGUUCGAGCUGUGAUAACACUUUGCUGUGGCACCUUAGAUUAGGACAUAUGAGCUUGAGAGGUCUGAAAAAAUUACAGAAGCAAGGGGUUCUAGGCAGCAGUCAAAUCUCAGAACUGGAUUUUUGUGAAGACUGUGUACUAGGCAAAGCUACAAGAAAUAGCUUUGGAAAAUAAGUUCAUUCAACAAAAGGCAUCCUUGAAUACAUACACUCAGAUUUAUGGGGACCAGCACAGAUAAUUUCACUAGGUGGCAACAUUUAUUUCUUGUCUUUAAUAAAUGAUUAUUCAAGGAGAGUAUGGGUUUAUGUCUUAAAACAUAAGGAUCAAGUAUUUGGCAAAUUCAGAGAGUGAAAAUCCCUGGUUGAAAAUCAAAUUGGAUUGAAGGUGAAGAAACUCAGAACUGACAAUGGUCUUGAGUUUUGCAAUCAGGAGUUUGAUAGCUACUGUGCAGAUCAUGGCAUUGCAAGGCAUAGAACUGUAAGGCUGACUCCUCAACAAAAUAGGUUAGCUGAAAGAAUGAAUAGAACCCUGAUGGACAGAGUAAGAAGCAUGAUGAUCCAGUCACAACUUCCCAAAGGAUUGUGGGCUGAGACUCUGUUAACAGCAAGUUAUCUGGUAAAUCUAAGUCCCUCUGCAGCAUUUGACUUCAAAACCCCAUUUGAGAAAUGGCAUGGAAAACCAGCAGACUAUAGCAGCCUCAAAGUAUUUGGAUGUCCAACUUAUGCACAUGUGAGUCAAGGGAAGUUAGCUCCAAGAGCCCUUAAAGGAAAGUUCAUUGGGUAUCCUGAAGGUGUUAAGGGAUUCAAACUGUGGUGUACAGACCUUAAUCCCCCCAAGUGCAUAAUCAGUAGAGAUGUAAUAUUCAAUGAGAAAGUUGUACUGGAAAUAAAGAAACCUACUGACACAGAUGCACAAAAGGAUAAGGAGAGAACCAAGAUUCAGUUUGAGGUGGAGCCCUUCACCAGAGAAGCUUCAGAAGAUAAAGAUGAAUCUUAUCAAGGAGCUACUGAUCAAGAAACUGAUCAUGUAAAACAGACUGAAGCUCAGUAUCAGGAGUACCAGCUGACAAGAGACAGAGAAAGAAGGAAAGAGAAAGCACCUGUCAGAUAUGGAUACGCAGAUCUGAUAGCCUAUGCAUUGACAGCAUCUCAUCAAAUUGAUGAUGAUGAACCCAAGAACUACAAAGAGGCUAUCAAGGACCAUACAAAGAUGAGUGGAAAAAGGCCAUGGAUGAAGAAAUCUAUUCACUGAAGAAGAACAAUACAUGGGAGCUGGUUAAAAGACCUGCCAACAGCAGAACAGUAGGAUGUAAAUGGAUCUACAAAGUCAAAGAUGGACUAACAGAUACUGAACUUAGAAGAUUCAAAGCUAGGUUAGUACCUAAAGGUUACACACAGAGGGCUGGAGUGGAUUUCAAAUAUGUGUUCUCACCAGUAGUUAGACAUACAUCAAUCAGAGUGCUACUGGCUUUAACAGUUGUAAAAGACAUGGAGCUUGAUCAACUCGAUGUCAAGACAGCCUUUCUGCAUAGAAGACUAAAUGAGGACAUCUUGAUGACAUAACCUGAAGGGUACACAAGUCCUGAAUCUGCUGACUGUGUGUGUCUGCUGAGGAGGUCACUGUAUGGGUUGAAACAAUCACCCAGACAAUGGUACCUUAGAUUUGAUGAGUUUAUGGUCACUCAUGGAUAUCUAAGAUGCAUCUAUGAUGUAUGUGUUUACUACAAGAUCAUACAAUCAAGUAAUUACAUAUAUCUGCUGUUAUAUGUAGAUGAUAUGUUGAUUGCUUGUAGUGAAAGAGAAGAGAUUGAGGCUUUGAAGCAACUGCUCAAUUCAGAAUUUGAUAUGAAAGACUUGGGUCCAGUUAAGAAGAUUUUGGGAAUGGAAAUAAUAAGGAACAUGAAGAAGGGUACUAUGAUUCUGUCUCAAAUGAAGUAUCUAGAGAAGGUAUUUGGAGCUUUUGAGAUGUCAAGUAGCAAGUCAGUAGUAACCCCUCUAGCAUCUCACUUUAAGCUGUCUUGUUCACAAUGUCCCAGUACAGAUGAAAAGAGAAGUGAAAUGAUAAAAGUUCCUUAUGCAAAUGUUGUUGGUUGCAUGAUAUAUGCAAUGGUACUUACAAGACCAGAUUUAGCUCAUGCUUUAAGUGUUGUAAGUAGGUUUAUGGCUACACCUGGAAAUGAGCACUGGAAGGUUGUUAAAUGGGUGCUGAGGUAUCUGAAAGGUACACAAGAGUAUGGCCUAGUAUAUGGAAAAUCAGCUAGAAAGGUUGCAGGUCUCUGUGGUUAUGUUGACUCAGACUAUGCUGGGGACUUAAACAGAAUGAGAUCUUUAACUGGCUAUAUGUUUUUCUUGGAUGGUUGCCUUGUUAACUGAAAAGCAAGUUUGCAGCAUGUUGUUGCCUUGUUAACAACAGAGGUUGAAUACACUACUGUAACAGAAGCUGUCAAGGAGGCUCUGUGGCUGAGAGGGUUGACAACAGAACUGGGAAUGAAGCAGGAGACUGUUGAAGUUCAUUGUGACAGCUCAAGUGCAAUUUACUUGAGUAAGAACCCAGCCCACCAUGAAGAAACUAAACAUAUAGAUAUAAAGUUACAUUUCAUCAGAAAUGUAAUCUCAAAAGGUGUGAUUAGUAUGGUGAAAGUGCAUACAGAUGAUAAUCUUGCCGACGUGCUUACUAAGGUCGUAACUACAGCUAAGUUCAAAAGUUGCUUGGAAAAAACUGGGCUGAGUGAUUUCUAAAAUACUCAGGUUGGAGAAACCAGGAUCAGGGAGUGAUUUGUUCAAGGUGGAGAAUUGUUGUAUUAUGAAGCAAAUCAGUUGGUAAAAUGACCAGCUGAUGUCGCGUUUUGGAAAGCAACACACUUACUCUUUUGAACGACAUGAAUGAAGGUCGUUUUAGUUUAAGUGAUGCACGAGAGUUUCACGUGCACGGAUAAGUUGCUUUCUUGGUUCGUUAGAAUCAGUUAAUUCACAUGCCAGUCACUUGGGUUUCUGGGUUCGUUACUGAUUCGUUAACAAGCUGUUAUAUACAGCUGAUUCUGCCAACAGAAAGAGAGUGAGAGUGAGAGUGAGAGCUAUUGUGAGUUGAGGAGAUUAAAAUAAAGGCUUCUUGAAAGACUAUGUAAUCAGCUUGAAAAGCUCUCUGUAACUUCUGUGAACAAUCAAUAGAAUUGGGUUUUAUUUCUCCCGUGGAUGUAAGCUAGAUUAAAGCUAGCUGCACCACGUUAACUCUUGUUCUUUUCUUAAUUCUUUUUAGUUCUAGACUCUUUGUGUAUUCUGCUGGAUUGAUUCUUGGUGCAUCUUGCUUGUUUGAUUGUGAUCUUGGAGAAGUGUUUCGAGUUGAUUGGAUAAUUAGUCACUCUUAAACACUACACAAGCUCAACAAGCAAAUCUAAUUGAUGCUUCAUCUCUUCCAACCUGUACAAAAGUAGCGCAGUAAAGGUCAAUCACUUGUUCAAACAACUAAUAUUUGAUGGAACAUAAAUAUCGUAACACAAAUAGCCAUAGUCAAUGUUCACAGUAAGAUUAAAUUAAAGCAUUUGAGGGGAAAUAUAAAUGUAAACUGAAGUACCUCAAAACUUUGUCUGCUAAUUUUUCUUGUGCUUGGAGCUCAAAAUUUCCAAAUACUUGUGAAAACUCCAGUAUAGGUGUAAACAUGGAAUCCAAUUGGUUUCUAGAAAUCUCUUCAUUGUUUUGUUGGAAAGUUAUGGAAUUUUUGUCAUGCACAUUAUCUGCAGGAAUCAUUUGAUCAUCAACUCUUUCUUUAUCAUAUUCGGCUGUGCCUAAACUAGAUUCCAACUCACUCAUUAUUGUCUUACUUGUAGCUAACCGAUCUAGGCUUUCUCAAGUUUGCUUCUCACCGAAGUAAAAGUGGACUCAUCCUCAUCCAUCAGUUCUUGAAAGAUCUCAUGCUCGUUCAGCUGUUCAGUUUCCAUUUCCACCCAGUCAAGUUGUUUCUUGUGUUCAUUUACUUCAGAACUUGCACUUACCAUUAGAUCUCUAUCUUCUUCCAAACACUUCAAUAACAUAUCUAGUUUUUCGAUAAAACUAUCCUCUCCAUUUCCCUCAAAAUUUCCGUCUAUAUUGUUGGCGGAACUUUUGUCUUGCUUCCGGGCUUCUCCUUCCGUGAAACAUAGGCAAGCAUCUUUCAUCGUCUCACGAAAAACAAAUUCCUGUAUCUCCUAUCUAAAGAGAUACUCAAUGUUGCAAGCAUCUAUCUCUUUCUUCCACUCAUCAAUAGUUUCCCCAAAUAAAACCAUAUACACAUUCUCCUUCACAAAAUAUUCCGUUAUUAUAAGUGACUUGUCAGGAACCUCAACCUCUUGGAGUUUUGUAAAUGUGUAGUUCGCAAUAUUCACAUCUCUGAUGGUCUCAUCAAAGACAGCACGAGAAACCUCUUCUGUUAUAAGCUUGUCAAUUCUAUAGUUUCUGUUUUCAACUGAUUUUGGGGUAGGAAAAGCCAAAUCAAUCUAGAACAAUAAAUUUAUAUUUUUGGGGAGAUGGAGUACCUCACUAGUUUAUUGUGUGCGGUGCGGUGUAUCUGAAAUUCGGGGGAGGUGAGAAGGGGAGAGAGAGUGGUAACAAUGGUGAAAGGUCAAAACCAAGAGGGGUGUCCUUCAAAAUGGGUUUCACGCCUGCAAAAUAAUGAAAUAGAGAUUAGAGGUGAAGCCGGAGUAUCUCGGCGUUCACACUCCGACGCUCAAGUUAGCAAACUCAAGCUUUUAUGGCAAAGAGAGCUGGCUAGCACUCUGUAAAUUAAGGUUUAAGGUUGAAGAAAACCAAUUUUUUGAAGUGUGAGUGUUAAUGGUGAGUGAGAGCCUGAUGGAGAAUGAAACCUAUGCGCCUUUAUAUAUGGAGUACCUCAGCUGCCACGUGGCGUACCCUUUUUUGCUAACGUCCUUUUACCUCUUUAUAAUUUUUUGGGCCGUUAUUUGCAUGUUCGCGGCGUAUCUCAUCUUUUGGAAACAUGGCGCGUGCUGGAGAAUGGUCCAGGGUACUUCUGCAGUAGUUGUCGGGUAGGCGGCUAGGGACCACUAUCCUUGGGACAGUGUCCUUCACUUUUGGCAGAGGUAGCAGGCGGCUGUCCCUCCUUUUUGCACGUCGUUUUUUAUUCCUAAUUCUGACAAAAUCGAAUAAUAUCUUUUAGGAGGCGGAGACGUUUCUCAUGGUAGAUAUUUUCGGAGGAUUCUCUUGCAUCCGUUUUGCCGGGUACCUUGAAUUACGUGGGGUAUCUCCUAUUACGCGGGGUACCCCUAUUUGUAUGGGGUACCUCUAUUUGCAUGGGAUACCUCAUAUUAUAUGGGGUACCUCUAUUUGUGUGGGAUACCUCUAAUUGUGCAGGGUACCUCUAUUUAUACGGGGUUCUUCAAGUCAUAUCGGGCAUCUCGGAUUGUGCAGGGUACCUCCAAUUGUGCUGAAAUCAUUCCAUUAGUUGACACGUGGCGUUCUGCUAUCUUUCUUAUUUUUCCCCCAAACAGUUUCCAAUUUUCUCAUUCCAAUACUUGCAAAUUUCCCGGUACAGGACUGAGCAUAUAUCCUCACUUAAAGAGCAUUCAUCUCGAAAAUGUUUUAAUUUCUUAUCCAGUGCAGAGCAAAACCCCUUAACUGCCUCACUGCAUACAGUAUAAUAUAUUUCCUCUCUCAUCUGAGCCUCAAACUUGUUACUUUCAACUUCCUCUUUCAACAUCCUUAUUUCAAUUUGUAGUUCUUCAUCGGCUGCAUCAGCGACUGACCCGUUAUUCAUUUUCUUCCAGACGCCAUCCAAAUUGUCAAUGUCCGAGUUCAUUUCUUUUCUCACAUCAGAUUUCAAUAGGUUUUUUGCUGCUGAGGAUUCGUCCCAUUGAUCACCUCCAUAUUCUCCAAAAGUCUCAACCAACCUGGCAUUGCAGUUCAUUAAAUUAUCCAAUCUUACAAUAACUUCUUGGAUUCUUCUUUUUAGGCUAACCGGAUCCUUCUCUCUUCUUAAGUUUGAACACUCUUUUUUCUGGAAGCAUUUCUCGCUUCAACCAUUUAACCUCUUCACUUUUUCUUCGAAUUAUAAACUCGUGACUCUUUAUGAUCUUAGCAACAGAUUGACCAACACCCUCUUCUGAUUCUACUUCUUCAACCUUUGAGGAAAAAUUCGCACAACUGUCUCCUUCUGAUAAAGAUCUUCGCAGCCUCGGAGGAAUAUUCCUCUCAAUAUUAGUUUUGGUUGAAGAUUUUAAAUUCUCAUUCCCUUUUGCAGCUUUCAGUUGAGCCUCGUUCUGAUUGAUAAAGCUCUCAAGCUCAUUACGCAAGCACGUAACCUCCGUCAUCAAAUCUGACAAAUGCUCACUCAAGCUCAUGAAAACUUGCUUCUCUUGCUUCCUCAUUUCUAUCUCAAAGUUCUCCUUAAAAUCGUUAACAAAACCAUUAAUCAAUGUACAAAUUGCAUCCUUCUCAAUAGUCCACCUCCAUUGCUGCUCCUGGGGCCCCAGCUCAGACAAAAAAAUCGCAUUCUGCAUUUUCCCAAAAGCCUGAUGCAAAGUCUCUUUCAAAAUAUUAAUAUCAGAACCCAUCUGCUCAAUCUUUUUGUGAUCAAUACCGCCAUUCCUUUCCUCAUCAAUAACUUCAUGCUCGAUAUGCAAGACUUGUUGAUCAACUGAAUGCAUCAACUCAGAAAUUUCACUAUCUCUAUCCUCAUCCCGACUUCCAGGACUGCUCAUACUGAGCUCAGCGACACCAUCACUCUUUGUUCUUUCAAUCUCCACGUUAGCAUUUUGCAAAGCAACCAAUUCUUUUUCCUUCGCAUCCAAUGCUUGCCUAAGCUUCAACUCAUUUUCGAACCUCUCCGUCAAUUCCUUAUCCUUUUCGCGGAAAGCCAUUUCUGAAUCCUGAAGGCGACACGGGAGACGGUCUUUAAUUUCUUCCAAGUCUGCCAGGACUUUUUCAUGGCAGCUUUCAAACAUGUUGUUGUCUGCAUCCUCCUGGACAAAUUUCAUGCACCCUUCUAGCUGAAUUACUGCGAGUUCAUAGAAUUUCGAUAUCUCAUUCAAGCGCUGAAUGACGCCAUCUUUGGACUUUACUUUGCCGUGUGCUCUGUCCAUGACGCCAUCAUUGUUGCAUCUGUUAAAGAAAUUCUUAGUGUGCCUCAAGCAAUCCAAAAAGACCAGCCAUUUUUUUUUUCUUUUUGUUUGGCUCAUCUAUUGAAAAUGAAGCAAUAGAAAUGUGAAUGAGAUCUUCUAUUUUUAUGUUUCCUUGAAAAUUGGUGAUCUAAUUGACUUAUUCUAACUUGUUACUUGUUACACAUAUGUUGAAAAUGUGACCAAAAUUAUUCCUAUAUUUCAUUUAAAUACUAAUGCAUAUUACCAUUUAUGCAAAGAUAAUAAGGAAUUGACAAUUUUAGGGAACUCACGUUAAUUUUUUACCUUUUUUUAAUAGAAUUUUUUAUCAUUAAAUCAAAUAGAUUUGUUAUAAAUUUGAAGGUUAUGAGACCUUUAUUACUUGAAAUGACUGGUUUGUCUUUCGUUUCCUUCGAGAGUCCGAAAAGUUCUAAACGUUCAACGUUCAAACCAAUAUUUUUUUUUUAUUUUAACCACGAGGUAUCCUGGGGAGGGUCCCAACUAUGGGAGAUACUUUUAAGUCCGUACCAUAACUCAGACUAGAAGUCCCCGCUCGAAUAGAGAGGCACAAAUUCUCCCAAGAAAAGCGAUUUUUCUGCGACUCAAACUGGGAAGCAAACCCAAUCAAACCACUUAAGGGUGACUCCAUUGCCAGUGGAGCCAACACUUUAUUGGUAACGCUCAAGCUAAUAUAGACGGUUAAGAUGUUCUCCUCAAUUAAUUUAAAAGGAAAAUUACAGAUAAUAUGUAUGGAUUGAUGAAGGAGCAAAGGAACAUUAAAAAGGUGUAAUUAACAUUGCCAACGAACGUGCCCAACAUUAAUUUAUUAGUUGUUUCAAAUAAAGCAUCCACUUGGCAUGCUAUAAUUGGUUGUUUCCUACAGCAGCCACUACAGAUCUCAUUAAGCGCCAGAAUCUAACUCAGCGGUAGGGCGCGAACCAUCACUGCCCUUGGCAGCGCGUGAGGCUCUUUCUCUCAGCCACUCCACCACCUCUCCAGAAACCAACUCAACGUUCUGCCCAGGCUCGCCAAUCAGUUGAUGCCACGUGACUGGAUAAAUCCUCAGUGUCUUAUCCUUACUGGCUGCAUGUUUAUACAACUCUUCAACGCAGGUGGGAUCGCAAACGACGUCGUCUUCCUCUUGGGGCUCAUUGAGCAUUUUUAUACUCAAAUCCCUUGCAAAUCCCUCGACACGCGCAGCAACUCCAGUACGGUCGCCGCACACGACCUUGGCACCGAGCUCCUGGGGCUCGACAACGCCAGCUUCCUCUUCCACUCCUCCUUGAAGGAGACCAUCGGGAGAGAACCGUGGGUAGGACCCACGCGCUAGGAAGGCACCAGCCAUACGACUGUGAAGAGAAGGUGCUCGAAGGGCCACAGAGGCUUGAAUUUCUGGCUAAUCCCGCACAUGGCCCCAUCCAAAAUCAAUCCAUCCCACGCGCCCUUCUGACGGAGCGUGAUUAAAGAGCUAUGGCCCCACCCAAGGACUCGAAAUACAAAAACGCGGGCAAAUCCAGUGCGUGUCUCAGAAUGACGUAUCACAUGUUAUAUUAAUUAUUUGAGAUGAAAUUUAAAAUAAAUAAAUUUAGUAUGCUUGCUUUUGCAUAAAACCUUCUUUUUUUGUAGGGUUAUUUUGGAUCUAAUAAUUUAAUUUACAAAUAUAUUUUUAUUUUAUCAAUAAUAACAUUUAAUUUGCAACUGCUGGGGAUCUCUACUCCCUAGUGUUGGCUCGAGGAGACCUUGGCAACAACCAUAGCAACGAAUAUAUGACAAGUUUUAUCGCAAACAAUUACUUGCUAAUUGAUUUCUUCGCACUUGAUGUACAAUACAUAUCAUAUUAUAUCAAUUUUAAAGCUAUAUACUGAUAAUUCUAACAUAAUCAAAUGCAUAUAGGAGCAAUUAAUUGACAAUCAUCACACCAAUUAGAAAAGUUAAACUUGUGUAAGAAAUUUGCUGAGUAUCAGUAACAUAGUAGCAAUAUGGCAAAGUUAUGGUGAGACAUCUGUGACAAAAAAUAAGUCAAUAUUCAAUUAUUAAAUAUAAAUUAUCAUUAUAUUUUAUUUUUUUGAGGAAAUUAUUAUAUUUGGUAUUGAGGUGUUGUGAUAAAAAAAUGAUAAAGUAUGGUAAUAUGUAAUAAUUUUAAAAGUUAUUAUGACUUUUUAUUGUAUAAAUAAAAUAAACUUAAUUUUUAGAUUAUAGCAGCAAGUAUUUAUUAAUUUUUAGAUUAUAGCAGCAAGUAUUUAUUAAGCACAUUAGUGUUGGAAUUUAAAAGCUAUACUUUCCAAAAAUAAUUAAGCAGGGUGAAUACCUAAAACAAGUCUAACAUAAUUUUUUUUAUUUCUAGAAAAUAAAAAAUGCAUGUGAUAUGUAAUUUGUGAGGAUUUGAAUAUACAGAAGCAGAGGAAACAAAAGAAUUUUAAAAAAGCGAAUUGCUUUAUGAAGUAAUUUUUCUGCAUCCUUUAUUCAAACAGCUUGAGGCUUUUUAUAAGAGCCAAUUGGAAACACGCAAUCUACGCUAGUAACUGCCCUUGGAACAACAAAAGACACCCUAGACAAUAACACAUGAAAUACGAGAAAUAAUAGGAAAUAUGGGUAAUAAUAUUGCACACAUAGUUGGUAGACCACGUGUCAAGCACCCAUUUAUUUCAAAGCACUUAUUAUUAAGUCCUAGACUCCUCCUCUUAAGCAUGGCUAUCAGGUACGUGGGAAGUUUGUCAAAUGCAUGGGUUCUUGCUCGUCUUUGGGAGACAUAUCAGCAUGCUUGGAAAGAGAUACACGCAAGACAAUCAACACAAGAUUUGCUUUAUUUCUAGGAUGCAUCGGCAUGCACUCUACUUAUAGAACUCCAUAACCCAGAGAUUACCAAUAGCAAGUUCACAACUGAUUCCACCAAAACCAGCGCCAGUAGCCAGGGUCAUGAAUUCAUGCCUUGUUCUCUCCUUUCCACCGGGACUUUGAAUCAUCAUAAGCACGUCAAAAUGGGAAUUUGAUUUUGAUUCAAUGCUUGUAUUAGGAACUUCUGGAAGCAUUGACUCCACAACGAUUACCUUUCCAUCUUCUGGGAUGCUUUUGUAGCAAUUCUUCAACAACUUCAAGCAAUGUUCAUCAUUCCAAUCGUGCAGUAUCCACUAUAUAAAUUCUCAUAUUAAUCAAACUAUUGUUUGUAAAAAUUUAAUUUAAGGAACUCCUCAUAAUAUGUCCGCAAAUUAAAUUAAAAACUUACCUUCAUAAUAAUGGCAUCACCUUUUGGAACACUUUGGAACAUAUCACCCCCUACAUGCUCAAUACCUAUAAAAUAUUAUACAAUUAAGAAAUCAGACAAUUAGAAUUAUGCCACUCUAUUGUCAUUAGCAAGAUGUAUUACGUCAAGAACUGUUUGCUCAAACUUAAUUAUGCCAAUGUUAUGGAAGUUCCUGAUAUACUGGCACACACAACAGAAGAAUUAUACACACACAUAUAUGAGAGCAGGUUCAAGGGAUUUUUUUUAAUACAAUUUUACAUAUAAAUUUCUAACAAUUAGGUUAAAGUUUAUCACAUGGUUAAUAUUAAAACUGCAUGCAGUUUUAUAAUUCUAAAAAUUAAUUAACUAGACGCAAGUCCUUACGUCAAACAAUAAACGUGAAACACGAUGCUCUUUCCUCUCUCUUAUCAUCUAAAUUUAUUUAAACUCAAUAAUUUCAUUCAAAGAUUGAAAUUACACUUCAUUUCGGAGGAAGAUCUUCCAAUCAAAUUACAGGCAACUUAAAAUUAAAAGCUGCCUUAGCUAACACGAGUAUGUGUGUUGCAGGCUCUUCGGAUGAACUGAAUUCUAAAUCAGCAUUGUCCUUAAUUUCCUCUUGAAUGUCCAACAACACUUAAAAGAUUUCCUUUGCUUGACAUCAUGUUUAGGACAUUCAUAUAUUUCUCUUUUUAACUUAUGUGCUCAUCUCCUUCAAUCCUCCCUCUACUCAUUAUAAAACAUUUUUUUUUCCGAUGGCUAUUGGAUGGAUGUUACUACUACAAAUUAAAAUAUAGUACUUCCCUAGUUCUCUGCAUGUUUACUUUAGUUAUCCAUUAAAUCGAACAGUGAUUAGAUGACUAUGCUUUGUUAAUCUUUAAAAAAAUAUAUGUAGAAACGAUUGCCAACAUUUUUUUCCAAUAUUUACAUUUGGUUUAAUAAACAAAUUUAUCUAGAUAACAUCUUUUUUUAUGGCUACAUGGAUGUGUACCUUAGUUCACUGGUAAUUUAGAGGGAGAAAUAAAGGGUAAUACAAAGGUGAAAGAAAAGUAUUUUACUUUUACUAUUAAAUUUAAUAAUAUGACACCUACGCGAAUUAAUUAGUUUUUUAAAAUAACAAAAUUACACGUGAGCUUUAAUCUUAAUCCUUGGAUGAACUCUAUUAGAAAGAAAUUUGUUUCUAAAAGUAUCUUUUUUAAACUUGCCCCCAAAAUAAGGAAUCUUCUACAAAAAUAAAAAAGAAAACAAACAUUCUGAGUAUUAUCCUUAGUUUAUCCUUUAUUUUAAAUACAAAUUUUCUAAAUUUAGCAAGCAACAAACACUAUUUUCCUCCAAAAAAAUAAAUACAAAAUUUCUAAAUUUAGCAAGCAACAAACACUAUUUUCCUCCAAUUUCUAGCAUCCACCUUUGAAAAAAAUUAAAUCCAUCUAAUUUAUCUCCAAUUUCAAUUUAUUUUGGGUUAAAUUGUAAUUUUGAGGGGUAAAAAGGUCAUUCCAUUAAAUUCAGUAACGGAAAUUAGACGGAAGUGGACGAAUGCAACAAAAAGCAAACUUCAGGUAGCGCGCUGAAAAAAAAUGUGUUUGUGUAUUUUUUAAAAAGACAAAACAAACAGGUGGAUGAUUGUAAAUUUCCCAAGUCUUUUUGGACUCUGAAGGCAUUUGCAAUUACAUGAAGGUGUUAAACACAGAAGAAAUUCAAAAACAUUAAUUAAACACUGCUUCUUAUGAUUCAGCGGAAAAUAUUGGUCACAAAGACCAACUGGAGUUGAUAGUGCUCACCAUCAAUCAGUUGUUGAUGGGUAGUAACAACCUUUAAUUGCAAUCAGUGAUAUUGAGAUUAUGGGACUUUUGUCGUUUCAAUUGCAAUCCCAAAUGGGACCUAACCAUUGGCUAUAUUAUUAUCAUCGCUUGCCAAACCCAAAAGCAAAGCUGCAAAGGGCUUGCUGACUUCAAAGAAAAAGAAUUGUUUGUUCAGGCCAUAUUAGACCAUUUGCUUCGUUGUGUGAUGGCUGUAUUUUAAGACCAACAAAAUUAUAUACAUAUAAAUGUAUAGUCUUAUAUAUAUAUAAAGAGAGAGAGAGCUUUUAAUGAGGAACUCCUCAUUUUAUUAAAAUAAGUAUCAAAUUAAUAAAUAAGAAAAAUACAUAUUCAGAAUGUUUUAUCUUAUAAUAUAUUAAAGUUUAUAUUUUUCUAAUUUUUAAAGCUUAAGAGGGACUUCAGCCCUCUGAACCAUUAUUUUUUUUAAGUGUGCCCCGAGCACCUUCUGAAUGAGUUAAAUAAAAAGCAUUUAGAAAUAUUUUUUAAAUAAUAAAACACUUGUAGUCCAAUGGUAUAUGUGUUACUUAGUGGUUUUAGAGACUUGAUUCGAAUCCCAAUAAUUUUUUUGAAUGUGUGCAUGGUCCUCAAUUUUUUUCACGUUCAAUAUAAAAUUAAUUGAAGAAAAAAUGUUGGCCUAGUUAGAGGUAGGUUAUAGGUAGGUAGGCUUUUAAGAAAAGAGUAAAACUUUAUUGGCAGGACGCAAUUAGAAAACAUGGGUCCGAAACAUUUAUUGAAAACUAAUUUAAGAGAAAAUGUUGGCUUAGUUAGAAGUAGGUAACAAAUAGGUACGAUUUCAAGAAACAAGUAAUACUUUAUUUACGAGAUCCGAUUAGAAAACAUGGGUUUGAAAUACUAAAAAGAGUAUUUUUGUAUAAAAAUUUGAGUGUUAGCGAAAAUCGCCUAUCGUGACUAGUGUCUUGGUCCUUAAUUUUUUUUUUCACGUUCAAUAUAAAAACUAAUCGAAAAGAAAAUGUUGGCCUAGUUAGACAUAGGUAACAAUUAAGGUUCUAAAAAAGGAGUAAUACUUUAUUUGCAGGACCUGAUUAGAAACACAUGCCGAAACAUUUAUUUAAAAAGUAUUUUUAUAUAAAAAUUUAAGGAGUGCUAGCAACAGUUGUCCUUACAGAUGACUGAGACAGUCAUUACCAAUCCCUCUCCAAUUUAAGUGUUUGGUCCAGCCUCCGAAGAGAACCCAUGUGUGAUUAUGUACUAUGGGUGCAUUGGUACAUUGUUAUUAUAUUGUAUGUUUUGCAUUAUUUUAAUGCAAGCAUAAUGUAUUAUGUUGUAUUGCAUUAACACUGUAUUAUAUUAAUAUUGUGCAACAUUUAGUGCUAUUUGUCCUAUAUUAAUUUUUAAUUAUACUAUGUUUGGUACUGCAUUGCAUUGCAUUGCACUAUAUUUUUUUGGUUAUCAUAAAAAUUAUAUUUUUAGAAAAUAAAUAUUUACUUUUUGAUAACUUUGUCAAAAAUAUUUUAAUAAACUUUUCGAUGAUAUAUCUUUUGAAAUAAAAAUCCAAGUGAAUAAAAUAGAUAACUUAAAAAAUAUCCUAACAUAAAUAAAUAAUUAAAACAUAUAAGCUUUGUUUUUAAAAAAAGACAUAAUAGAGAUCAUUAAUACAAAAGUUUGCACGUACUAUAACAUAGUCACAAAUAAAAGGAGUUGCAUUUUUAAAAAGGGUUGCUUUGUCUCAUACAUCAAAUCAAGAUAAAUAAUUGUGCACAGAUAGAGACAAACACAACUUUCACUCAAUCCUUAGAUAGGGUGUAUUUUUUCCCAACUAUCCAAAUGUUAGUUAAUUUGUGACCACUGCUCAUCCUCGCAAUCAAGAAUUUCUUCUAUUACAUGUCUAAGAAAAAAUGUUAUUAAAUGGACAACAAAAGAACCACAACAACAUCAUUUCUAAGCAAUGUACAAAACAAAUGGACUUAUGUACCAAGCUUGGCCUACCAUGCAUGUAUGUUAUGCAAAAUAUUGCACAAUAUGCAAAAAUGUGGUUGCAUGUGUGGAAAUUUAACCACAUAGGUAGAAUAGGUGCAAUUUUACUAAGUUGGACGAACAUGCCCCAUAAGCUAUCCAGAUGUAAUGGGAUGCUGAGAUGGGUGAUGGGAGAAUGCAAAAUGGAAGCUGAUGCCAAGCAGUUGUCAAUGUAGAGUUUAUGUCAACUUAGGAGUGCUUACAAGUUCCAAAGAUGAACCAACAUAAUUUUAGUUCUAAACACGUACUGAUGUUAAAAGAAACAUGUGAGAUGAAGUGCCUCGAGAUGCUGUAGAUGUAGUGGGAUCCCAAUCAAAUGCAUGAUUUUUUGGGAAAAAACCUUCUUACAAUAAGACCACUGAAAAACUUCGAUCAUAAUAUUAUCACCAUCAUUAUUUUCCACAUUUGUGGAAUGUGAGAGUUGAUUAUGAUAAUUUUUUUUUAUCUCUGUAUCAUGUGACUGAGAUGUUGGAACAACUUUAACCAUCUUUCAGAUACAACUCAAAGAUCAGAAAAUACAAAUUGUUCGUGAAAAAAUCUGGUCGACUAUUGCGUGAAUAGGUGCCCUCGCCAACACUUAAAUUGUUAUAGAGGAGAUGGUUUAACACUACAACUUUACUGAAUUAGUAGUUGUAGGCAAAUGAACAUGCAUGAAAACCAUGUGCGAACAAGGUGGAUAAAAAAGCCCAUCUGGCCUAAGCCCGCAAGCUUUUGGCCCAUCCUUCUACGCGAGGAAUUAGAUAAGAGCUUAAGAGAAAAUGCCUGGACUAGGCCCAACACUCUAUUUUUUUUUACAAAAUAAAUUUAUAAAUUAGAAUAAUCUAUUAAAAUUUAAAACUAAUAAAAAAAGAAAACUUAAAUUCUUAAUUCAUAAAUCAAUAACGCUUCACAAAACCUAAAAUUAUAAUAUUAAACUCUCUCUUAAUCGUUAAUCAAUAACGAUUCACAAGAUGAUGUUUAAAUUAGAAAAUGCAGUAUUAAAAAAAUUAAAUCUUUAGCAUUUAUUUGCUUAAUUUUCUUCAUUUAUUAUUUUAUUUUAAAAUAUUCAAUUUCUUUAAUUCAUUAUUAAUUAUAAUAACUUGUUAAUUAUUAACUCAUUUCAAAUUUACAACAAUUAAAAAAAUAAAAAAAUAAGUGAAAGUCCAAGUCUGGCCCUUAUGCUUCUACUAAAAUGGGCUUGGGCUUGGAAAAGCUCGGCCUAAGCCCACAUUUUGUCAUCCCUAUGUUGAUAUUAUGUAGGAUUGUCAACUUCAAAUUAUUAAUAUUAGGAGUUGCAAAAUAAAAAAACGAAUCGAAUUUGAAUCAACUUAAUAAACGAAUUGGGUCAAAAUUUGAUGGAUUCGAAUUCGAUUUAUUUAAUAAGUAAAUCGUAAUUUUAUAAUUUUAAUUCAAUUUGUUUAUUAAAUGAAUCAAAUAAUCAUUCACAAUUCAUUUAAUUCAUUUAUGCAGAAUUAUUAUUUUUGUCUUGUUGUUACAUCUUAUAAUUACAAAUAAAAAUUUAAUGGUAAAUAAAUAAUUGAAUCAAACGGAUAAUAAAUGAAUAGAGUCAUAUUCGAUUGAUUUAUAAGCAGUUUAUUAAAAGAAUGAAUAAAUCAAUGAUCAUAAACCCAGAUUCAAUUCGUUUAUUUAGCAAAUUGAAUCAAAUUCAUUUAUUUAUUAAACAAAUUAAUAUUUUAAACUCAAAUCCAUUUAAUUGGAAUCAAGUCGAAUAGAAUCGAAUAAAUAAAUCUUCGUCCAAAUUGCCACCCCUUAUUAAUAUGCCUACAAUUAGGGCUGGGCAAAAUCGGAUUCGGAUCGGGUUCAGAUCAACCCGAUCGGAUUUCGGGUUGAUCGGGUCGAACAAAAACUCAUCCGAAUUCAACCCAAAUUGACAACCCGACCCGAUCCGAUCCGAAUUAUAUUCGGAUCGGAUCGGAUCGGAUCAAAAAAUCGGGUUUAAUUCGGUUCGGAUCGGGUUCGGUUAACAAUUCCUAAUCAAUGAUUUAACAUAUGUUAUAUAAUUUAUUACACAUUACAACUGUUCGUAUUUGAACUAAACUCAAAAAUCCAAACUCAAAACAAAAAUUCGACUGCCGCUUGCUGGAUUUCGAAUGGAACUUGGAGGAGAAACUUGGUGAUGAAGUGUGUGGAGGCGUGGAGACAGCAGAUCGGUAGGCGGUAGCAGCAGAUCUGGUCGCAGUCCUCGCGGGGCAGUAGAUCGACUGGUGGUUGGCGGCGGCGGUGAUUGUGGCAAGCAUGUGUUGGCUGCGGCUGUGUGUGUGUGUGUGUGUUUCUACUUGGCGUUGGCGAUGUUGAGUGUUGACUUGAGGGUGGGGCAGUGACCCAUGAGGCGUGAGGGAGGGGAGCAAAGGUUGGUGUGUGUCGUGUGGUCUCUCGUUGAGGCUUGAGGGGGAGGCCGUGAGGCGUGAGGGAGGGGAGUGAGGCUGCUGGGUGUGGCUGGGUGCGUUGAGUGUGUGGUCUACUGUUUUUGUGCCUCUAUCUCUACUGUUUUUGUGCCUCUAUCUCUACUGGUUUUGUGCCUCCAUCUCUGUGAUGUGUGCCGUAUACGUGUGUGGUGUGUGAGGCUGUGUAGCGUGUGGUCUGUAGUCCUGUGCUCUGUGGCGUCACUGGUGCUUGACUGCUUGUUGCUGGAUGCGUGUGUGCUGUAAUCAGUGAGGGUCGUUUACUUUCUUCUUUAAGCCAACCUGUUCAGGUUGUCGGAUCGGAUCGGAUUUCACCCGAUCCGAUUAUAAUCCGAUCGGGUUGGCAACAUUUCAUCCGAUCGGGCAUUAUAGUCAAUCCGAUCCGAUUUAUUUCGAAUCGGAUCGGGUCGGAUCGGGUCGGAUCGGGUCGGAUCGGUUAUUUUGCCCACCCCUACCUACAAUACCAAAUGGACGGAAGAUGCCAUAAAAAUCUUUAUGGACUCUUAAAGCAUUUGCUAUCGACUGACGGUGUUAAACACAUAAGAAAUUCAAGAAAAUUAAUUAAACAUGGCUUCAUAUCAUUCAGCAGGAAAUACUGAUAAGCCAGACCCAGCUGGAGCUAAUGUACUGAUCACCCAUCAGCCAAUUGGUGGUGGGUACUAACAAGCUUUAAUUGCAAGCAGUGAUUGAACGACUUCUGGGGUUUCAAUUAUGAUACCGAACUGGAACUUGGUUGGAUCUCGCUCAUGGCUUUGACCAAAAGCAAAGGGCUCCUGGACAUUAAACAAAAAGAAUUGUUUUUUCAGAUCUUAACAGGCCAUUUGCUUCGUUGUGUUGAAGGCCCUGUUUCAAAGCCAGAGACAAAAUCAAUAAAUCAUGAGCAGUAAUAUAUAUAUAUAUAUCUAUAGAGAGAGAGAGAGAGAGAGAGAGUCUCCUUUUCUAACGAGAACAUUUUCACUUUAUUAAAGUUAAGAUGUCACUAAAAUAUAAAAAAUAUAAAUUUUAACACAUUAAAAACUUUAUUUUUUUUUGUUAGUAUAUUAAAAUUUAUUUAUUUAUUUAUCUUUUUUUGACAUCCACACCUUAAUAAAGUGAGGAUGCCCUUACAAUAUAUAUAUAUAUAAUCUUUUAAUCUUUUAACUUAAUUCCCGCAUUAAAAGCUAACUCUUGCAUAAUUACCCUAAAGAAUCAGCUUAACAGAAGUACCAAUUUGUGAUAGUGUACUAUGUGUCGUACGUUUAUGCUACUGGAGCCACAUUCAAUUUGUGAUUGGUCCUCAAUUUUUUUCACGUUCAGUAUAAAAACUAAUUGAAGAGAAAUCUAGGCCUAGUUUUUUUUUUUUUUUUUGCUUAAAGGUAGGUAGGUUUUAGGAAAAGGGGUCCUCUUAAUAAUAUACAGCGCGCUGUAUGAGAUACAAUGGAAGUUCAGUCUUUGUUUUUAAUAAAUUAUAAUUUUGAGUAUGUUUCAAUAUAUAUUUUUAUGUUGAGAGGGUUUUUGAUAGUCUCCUAAAUUAAAUGAAGUUUUUAAUAUUUAGUUAAAAGAUGAGGUAGCCACGUGAUAAUUACGUUGAUAUCUGCCAGUUAUGCGGCUAUACCAUUUGCUUCGGUGACCAUUUUAUGCCUAAAAUCAUCACCCAGUCGUUAUAUUAUUUUUUAUUUUGACACUAUAAAUCUAUAAAUAUUUUGUAAUAUAAAAAUUAGUGAAACCUCUUUGAUUUUUUUCGUUUUGGGAGUUUAUGUCUCUUUGAUCAAUUAUAUGAUGGUGCAGUGCAGUCUACACAUAUAGACCAAUAACAUAUCAAUUUUUUUUCUAAGCAUUUAGAAGAAAUCAACUCCAAAAUGCACCAUACAGGAAUUCAAAUUGUAUCCAUCAAUAUCGAUAUGAGAAUUAAAAUAGUUUAUCAUUCUAAAGCUCGGGUAGUUUUCAAACAAUUAUAUUAUUUGAUAGUGCCAAGUAUCGUAAUUGUCCAUAAAAUAUUGUUGUUUUUAAUAUUAUUUGUACUAAUGACUCAUAUAAUUAAUAAUAUGAUUUAAUUCUUGAUAUGGACAAAUAUAAGGUAACAAUAUCUAAUUAAAAAUAUUUCAUACAAAUUUCUAUCAAAUUACCUUUUUAUGGAUUCAUUUACUCACUAAUUUGAAGUCACAAAAAUUUCUUUGAGUUGUUAUCGGAGCUUAUACAUGAUUACAUUUAACUUUAAUACUUGAUGAUAUUGUUUUAUUACUAGUAUUAUGAUUGAUGAUACUAUAACUCUUAACAUCUAUUAUUAACAUUGUUAAUAAGUAUAUUUAUUAGAUAGUACUAUUAUUAUUAUUUAUAAACAGAACACAUAUAUGAUAAUUUUAUCAGGCCUCCGAACUCGAACUCAAAAUAUUUUUUAACUCAAAUUUUAUUUUAAUUUAACCAAAUAAUAAAAAAAAAACAAGACCCUAGAUCUAAACUCACGACCUCUCUCAAAGCACUAGACUCUACCCAUCGUCACCUCCAAGUUCCACACGAAGCUUCCUUUCCUGGCCGCGUCCAAAAGACCAAGCUUUGCCAUCAACACCAAAACACCAAGUUUUACAAACUUUACCGUCAGUCUGUGUGCGCUCCACUGAAAUUGUAUGGCACAUUGGCCACUGGGUAGAAGAAAACAUGUUAAGGAAAAAAAAAUUCUCGUAAGAUCCAACUAGCUAUAAAAUGCAAGAAAGCAUCAAAUGCAGCAUAUUAUUUAUUUGCAUACCUUUCAAAUAUUCCUUUUUUUCACCUCUUGGUUAUUGACACCGACAACACCUGGAUAUUCAAUAACAUGAAGCACCGAAAACGCAUCUUCAGCUCUUUCACCUUCAAAUUCAAAUGGUGAUUUGUUGGGACAAGAAAUCCUUUGGUGAAAACCAGCACCUAUAUCCAAGAAUGUUCAUGUUGUAUCACAAAAAAUCAAUAACAAAAUUAUGCAGAAGCGUACCUGAAUCCAUAACAUUGAAUUGUUCUUUAGGGUUGUGUGGUUGGCCUUCCAAAUCUACACGUUCUCCUAGAGAAUCCUUUAAGUUUUCUCAAGGCUAUCUUUCUGAUGAUGAGAUUUCAGAAGGAAUAUAAAAAUACGUGUGACUUGAGAACCAUAACCACUUACAUAGACAAUAUUUUUCCUGUUAUCUCUACAUAUUAAAGGCCCACAUCCUAUUAGAUAUAUUAAAGUCCAUAACACCGAAAACUUAAAUAAAUCACUUUUUAUUGGGUUUAACUUUAUAUGACAAUCUGUAACACAUAAUUAUUCACAUAUAGGCCCAAUAUUGGAUUAAGGAUCCAACAAUAUUGGAUUAAAAAUCCAACAAUCUCCCACUUGUGCUAUAUGUGUAACCUUAUAAUUAAUCUUUGCAAAAAUAACCGUAUGAGCUCAACCUUACUUUCAUUACCCAAAUGUAUCUAUAACCAAUCUGGUCUAUCAAUCAUACUAACAUAGGAUCAAAGCGACCUUCGUUACAAUUAUCAUAACUUGAGCCAUCAAUCGUCACUAUGUCAAUACAACUGAAUGACAUGGAUCAUGAUGUGGAUGCGUAGCAUGGAAAUUUCAUGCAAUGUGAUAUCAACAUAAGCAUUUCUGACUGGUCCACCUAAAACCUUAGUGAAAUCAAACCAUACCAAAAUCAGAGUGUGAAUACACCAAAACUUUAUUUCUGCAGAAAAUAACCUAAAUAUCCAUAAACCAAAAUAACUGAAAAAUGUCUAUAUUACACGAGUAUCUAAAAUCAAAAACUCCCACUAAAACUGAAUAUCUUUCAAUGACAUGACACCCAUAUGAGCAGUGUGCUCAUGAAACAUUUUGGGUGACAAUCCCUUAGUAAGCGGAUUUGCAAUCAUGGAGUUUGUGUCGAUGUGGUCAGUAGACAAUUGUCCACUCUAAACUCUUUCUUUAACAAUUAGGAAGUUGAUGUCCAUAUACUUCGACUUCGCCGAGCUCCUAUUAUUAUUAGAAUCACUACUGAUUUAUUGUCACAAAAUAACUUGAGUGGUCUGUUAACACCAUCUACUAUGCUCAGCCCCGUGACAAAAUUCCACAGCCAUAUUCUAUGAUUAGAUGGCUCAUAACAUGUUAUAAACUCUACUGCCAUCGUAGAAAAUGCUAUAAGAGACUGUUUAGCAUUUUUCCAAGAGACAGCACCCCCAGCUAGUAGAUAGAUGUAACCCAAAGUGGAUUUCAUACUAUCUUGACAUCCAGCAAAAUCAGAGUCGGGAUACUCAACGAUCUCAAGCUUAUUCGACCUCCGAUAAGUGAGCAUGUAGUCUUUUGUUAUCUGUAAGUAUCGUAAGAAUCGUUUGGCUGCUUUUCAAUGGUCUAUUUAUGGAUUACUUAAAUAUCUGCCCAACAUCCCAAUAACGUACGUAAUAUCUGGUCACGUACAAACCUAAACAUUCAUCAGACUUCUUACUGCUGACGCAUAGGUAUCUUUUGCAUUUAUUUUUUCUCAAAAUCAUUAUUAGGGCACUGAUUGAGACUAAAUUUGUCUCCCUUAGCAAUAAGUGUAUUACUUGGUCUGCAAUCUUGCAUGCCAUAUCUCUUGAGAACUGCUUCGAUAUAACUCUUUUGUGAUAAUCCUAGAAUACCGAAGGAGCGAUCCCGGUGUAUUUGUAUGCCUAAUACAAAAGAGGCGUCAACAAGAUCUUUCAUCUCUUGGUGUCAUGCAAUAAACCUAUAUUGCUGCUGGCAAGUAAAAUGUCAUCGACAUACAAAACCAGAAAAAUAUAUUUGCUCCCAUAGAACUUAUGGUAUAUGCAAUCAUCGACUAAAUUCAUCUCAAAACCGAAUGAGAUGAUCACUGGACAUCCCUAAACAUGCAAGUGCUUUAGACUAGGCUGAUUGUCUAUCCAAAGCUCGUAAGGAGUUUUGGCAGUUGCUUUAAUUAGAACUCUGUUAAGGAUAUAUGUUGCAGUCUCAAGCACUUCUCCUCAAAGUGAUUCUAGUAAGGUAGAAUGACAAAUCAUACUCCUCACCAUGUUCUUAAGCGCCCUGUUUCAUCUUUCAACAACACCAUUCAUAAUGGCGAACCCAGCAUAGUGUACUGUGAGAUGAUACCGUAUUCCUCUAGGAACUUAGCAAAUGGUCUUUGAAUCAUCAUAUCUGCCAUAAUAUUCGCUACCACGAUUAGAUCUGAUGCUUUUGAUUUUUUGUCGAGUUAGUUCUUAACUUCAGCCUUAAAAAUUUUGAACAUAUCCAAGGACUAUGACUUUUCAUGGAGGAGAUAUAUAUAGCCAUAUAUAGAAAAAUCGUCUAUAAACGUCAUUAAAUAUUGUUGACCAUUCCAAGCAGCCGUAGGAAAUGGCCCACGAAUGUCUAUAUAUAUGAGUUCUAAGACAUUCGAAAUCCUGUUAGCUUCAAAUUUCCUUUUAUUUAUUUGUUUCCCCUUGAUACAAUUAACAAAUAUGUCAAAACCUGUGAAAUCUAAGGGCCUGGGAAUUUCAUUUGACAUAAGUCUCUUUAUUCUCUGUAUGGAGAUAUGACUAAAUCUCUUGUACUAUAAUGCAACUGAAUUCUCAUUUGUUAAUUUUCUCUUUACACCUCGUGUACUUAAUUGCAAAGAUUCAUUAAAUGAAGCAAUUGUAUCAAGCAUAUAAAGAUUAUCAUCACCUGACAAAGAACCGGAACCAACCAGUUUUGAAAUAUGAAACAAACUAAAUUUUCCAUUCCCAAAUGAACAAAAAAAGCCAAAUUUGUCCAAACUAGAAAUAGAAAUCAAAUUCCGUCUAAAAGAUGGAACAAAAUAUGUUUCAUCAAGAUCCAAAUAAAAUCCAGUUUUUAACAAUAAUCUAAAAUUUCCAAUUGCUUCUACUUCAACUGUCUUGCAAUCGCCAACAUAGAUAUAUCUUUCACCAUCACUGGGUUUUCGGCAACUCAGGCAACCCUGCAUAGAUACAGUGAUGUGAGUGGUUGCACUAGAAUUUAUUCACCACGUGUGUCUAGAUAUCAAAGUUAAAUUAACCUCAGAACAAACCAAACUAAAAAGCAUACCUUUCUUAGCACUCCAUGCGGAUAAUUAGUGUAAUGCUUCUUCUUAUGCCCUUCAGCCCCAUAGAAGAAACAACUAGUACCUUCAUGAUCAUUUGGUUUCUUUUGUUAUUUCUUUUGAGGUGUUGUAUUUGCACAUUCCUUAUUUUUCUUCAUUUUCUUGCCCUUAGAGAUAGAGGCUAGGUGAGCACUUUUUGCCUUAUCUUUUUUCAGCAUAUCCUCUUCCUAAACAUAAUGUGAUAUGAGCUCAUUCAGAGACCAAGUCUCUUUCUGACAAUUAUAGCUCACCUUAAAUUAGUUAAACUGUGUUGGUAAGGAUAUUAAAAAAAAUGCACUAGUAAGUCCUCAAAGAGCUUAAGUUUAAGUGCUCUUAACUUAGAAUCAAGAUGAGACAUCUCCAUAAUGCACUCCUUGAUAUUGCCUUUACUCGUAUACCUCAUUGAAAUUAGGCUUGUCAAGAGCGUACCAAUUUCAGCCUUUUUGUUCUUGACAAACAUUUGUUCAAUUUAUUCAAGAAACUCUUUAGCAGUAGUUACUUUUUCAAUCAUUAAGCCCCUGAAUGCUUCUAGAAUGGUCUUCUACUUAUCAUGACACACAUGCGAUUUGAUCUCUCUCACCUUUCCAUUUAAUUUCCUUUUUAUCACCAGGGGUACUCUCACCCGUAAGAGGUGGGAAGAAUCAACCCUUAACGCAAGGUCAAGAUCCAUGACUACAAGAACUAUUUAGAGUUUCUUGUUCCAUGAUUUGAAGUUAGAGCCAUUUAACAUAGGAAUAUAAUUCACGUUGGCAGUAAUAUUAGUAGCAAACACAAUUGAACAAAAAAUAACAAACAAACAAAACAAGCUCAUAUUAGUCUUAAAACAAACAUAAAUUCAAAUAAAGAUAAUCCCCAUCUUAAGAUACUGGACACUCCAUUAAUAUUCAACUUGUAAUUGAUAUCUUGGUGUAGUAAUCAAACACUGAUAAUAAGAACAUGUCAAACAAUUAAUAUUCCUUUGGGCCGAUUUAUUGCUCACAUGCAAAACCGAAUAAUCAUCACAUGUUUAUUACCAUAGGUGCACAUGUAAUUCUAUUAAAUAUGGACAUUCCUUAGAGCCGAUCGAUAUUUAUAGAAAUUACAUAUACAAAAAUGUUUAUAUUCCAAAAUAAAUUAAUUCUUAUAAGAGACCUCACUUUGGCGACAUGUUGCUUCAAUUAAUUUAUCUCAAAAUAUAUAUAAACCUACCAAUAUUUAAAUUUAAAAUUGCACAAAAAUUACCCCAAAAAUUAAAAAAAUUCAGGUCAAAGUCAAAGUUUGACCAGUCAACUAUCAAAUGUUGAUCGGUUUAUACAGCUGAUCGCUUUGAAUUGGACUCGUUCAGGUUAGACCGAACCGGACCAAACCAGUCCUAAAUCAGAAACCCUAAUUCGUUUUCCCUUCUUCUUCUUUGGUCGCCUUCCCACCUUAACCUGCAGGCUGCGACUUAGUCGUCGCAACCUCUCCUUCCCGUCGCUAGGGGUGUUCGUGGAUUAGAUUUUAUGGAUUAGACAUCAAUCUAUAUCCGAUUCACGAUUUUACGGAUUAUAAAAUUUUAAUCCAAUCCAAUCCACGGAUUAAUGAAAUUCAAUCCAAAUCAAUCCAUACGUCUGCGGAUCGGAUGUAGAUUUGACCCAAUCCAUAUCCAAUCCAUCAUUUUACGGAUUGGUUUACGGGCUAAAAAAUUUUACUCAUGUCCUAUCCACGAACUAACUAAAUAAAAAAAUUAAUAUAAAAAUAAUUUUACUACCGAUCAAAUUCAAAAUUAAAUAAUAUUUAAAUUAAUUAAUUUUUUAAAUAAAGGUAAAAAAUACAUUCAAAGUUUCAAAAUAUAACACACCAAAAAGAAAAAAUCUCAUUUGUUUAGAUCAGUACAUGAAAAUUAAUUGCUAAGGAAGAUAUAUUUUUUAUUUAAUUAUUUUUAUUUUAUAUUAUUAUCAGAUAAGACAUAAUAUGGUGUUAAUGUAACUAUAUUUUAACUUAUUUAUUUAGUAGUAAGAAUAAUGUUAUAUUUACAAGUUUUUUUUUUGCGGAUUUGUGGAUUUUUGCGGAUUCAUUGUGAAGCCGAGAUUAGUUAUAAUCUGUUAUGGACAUGCUGAGGUGUCAUAUGAGCUGGCAUAAGUGGGAUUCAAGUCAAGAGUUGGUUAGUUAGUUAAAUAACAGACUGACUCAUUGCAAGUGGAAACACACGUGAGAAGCUUACAUAUAUAAGCUGUCUCUAAGCUAGUGAAACAUAUAGAGAAAACGGAGAGGAUUUACAGAGAGAAAACAUUCGAUAGGCUUUAAUCUGUAAUCGGUGACUCAGUUGUAAAUGAUCUUCUUGUUGUUCAAUAAAGCUUCUGCCCUUGCUGGUUUUACAGCCGUGGAUGUAGGUUCCUUUGUGGAGCUGAACCACGUUAGUUUCUUGGUGUGUUGAGUAGAUUUGAUUGCUUGGUUCUUUUGCUAUUCUUGUCUUAAUCUUGUUUCUGUAAACUCUGGUUUAGUGGGUUGCUUAAUUCUUGUUCAAAGUCAAAGAAGUAAACACGUUUGCCAUAACAUUCACAGUAGUAAAUCCAUAUCCAAUCCACUGACUGUGGAUUUUCAAAUUUUCAAUCCAAUUCAAUCCACCAAUCCAUGGAUCAAAAUUUUACGGAUUAGAUUUCUGCGGAUCAGACGGAUUGAGCGGAUCGAAUUGGAUGCUGAACUCCCCUACCCGUCGCAGCCUGAAGCCGCGGCACAGCCGCCGGCUAAAACUUUGAAACGUUUUUUUUCCUUCAAUUCCCUUUCCCUUUAUACCGUGACUAAGGGUGGGCAAACGGUUCGGUUUUAUGAGCAAAAGCAGAAUGGUUUUAAAAUCAAGGAACCGAUUGGUUAAACCGGACAGAACCAAAAAACCAAUUGGUUCCUUGAUUUAAUUAUAAAUAAUUUUUUAAUUGAAAAAUAAAUGAAAAUAUAUAAACCAAAAAUGAAAAAACAAAUCACUCAAAAAUCAAAAUCUCAAAUCCCUAGCUGCGUUUCCCCAAUUUGCAACCCACGACCUCUCUCUCCUCUCCCACUCAUCUUCCACUCAUCUUCCACGCCUCCCUCCGUCGCCUCUCUGCCGCGUGUUUCUCCAUUACCAGACGGCACAGAACUUCAGCUCAGCCCCUCUCAGCUUCUUCCUCGUAACCGUCUCUCCCUCGCGUUAGCUCAGUCCCUCUCUUCCUUGUCUGCACAGCACCUAGCACAGCCCUUAUCUUCCUAGCUUGCACGGCUUCCUAGCACAACCCCUUAGCAGCGACACAGCUCCUCCCCUCAAGCACGGUGACAGCCCCUCACACGCGGUGUUACAGCCUAGCACAGGCCCUCACACGUCGUGUUGCAGCCUAGCACAGCCCCUCUCUUUGGUGCUGCAGCCUACAAGUGUUAUUUUAUUUUAAUUUAUGCCAUGGCUCGUACAUAGUGUGUAUAGUGUAUACUGUUUAGUUUCUGCUAGUGUUACUUGUGUUAGGGAUUGACUAUUUGUGGACUGUUGAUGUAUACUUGUUGGUGGAGUUAAAAAUGGUGGGCAGAUAUAGUGGUUGUGGAGGCUUGUGAGUUGUGGCAGUGAACUGAAAUGGUUGUAACUUGUAAUGUUGUAUUGUAUAUUGCAGUCGAAAAUUGAACAAUUGAAAAUAGAUAAAUGUAUAAUGCUUCUAUCAAUGAAAAAUUAGAAAUAAUAUUUGUUAUUUAACUUAUUUGGCAUAAUGAUUAAUGACUUAAUUAGCUUGGUGAGGUUGCAAUUUGAUAUUGGCAAUUUGGCAUGGAGAAUUCAAAUUAAAUUAAUAAAUAGUGGAAGUAUAUUAUGAUAUGUUGGCCUAAUUUGUUAAAUUAAAUUAUGAUUUAUUAGCUAGUAGUUAAUUGAACUUUAAUUGAUCUUUUUGGCGUGGAUGUUUUAAAUUAAAUCAACAAUUAUUGGAAGUGAAUUAUGAUAUGUUGGCUUAAUUUGUUAAAUUAAAUUAAAUUAAAUUAUGAUAUGUUCGCUAGUAGUUAAAUUAAAUUAAUAAAUUUAAUUGAACUUUUUGGCAUGGACAUUUUAAAUUAAAUUAACAAUUAUUGGAAGUAAAUUAUGAUAUGUUGACUUAAUUUGUUAAAUUAAAUUAUGAUUGGCUAGUAGUUAAUUUAAAUUGAAUUGAUCUUUUUGGCAUGGAUGUUUUAAAUUAAAUCAACAAUUAUUGGAAGUAAAUUAUGAUAUGUUGGCUUAAUUUGUUAAAUUAAAUUAUGAUUUGUUAGCUAGUAGUUAAUUUAAAUUGAAUUGAUCUUUUUGGCAUGGAUGUUUUAAAUUAAAAUAACAAUUAUUGGAAGUAAAUUUUGAUAUGUUGCCAUGUUGGCUUAAUUUAUUAAAUUAAAUUAAAUUAUGAUAUGCUGGCUAGUAGUUAAAUUAAAUUUAAUUGAUCUUUUUAGCAUGAACAUUUUAAAUUAAAUUAACAAUUAUUGGAAGUAAAUUAUGAUAUCUUGGCCUAACUUAUUAAAUUAAAUUAUGAUAUGUUGGCUAGUAGUUAAAUUAAAUUUAAUUGAUCUUUUUUCAUUUCAAUAAAUUGUUAAUAAAACAAUAUUACUUAUUUAUUUUUAUUUUAUUUAUUGUGGAUAUCUAAUUAUUCAAGAGUUCAAGACAACCUCGAUUGUGUACCCGAUGAUCUUGAGCGUAAAGUUGAAGUUGAUGAUAGUGAAAAUGAUUCGCCAACAAUUUGUCACUAUCGGAAACAAGAGGAAAAAGUCUUUGUCAUCCAAACCGCCACUACCAAGGAAAAAAAUGGCUCCAAGAUCAACAGUGUGGCAACAUUUCACUAGACUUCUAGAUAAUGAUAAGAAGUGCAAAUGCAACUACUGUGGUAAUGAAUUUGAAUGUGGCUCGGUAGGGUACGGGACUAGCACUUUGAGGACUCAUUACCAAGAAAGGUUUCAAAAGUACCAAGAACCUUCAGAAAGACCAAACAACUUUAACUCAAAAUGUCGGUAGUGAUGAAAUUGUAGCAAGAUAUUUUAGUUAGGAUGCUUAUAGAUGAGCAACUAUGAAGAUGAUGUUCUUGAUGAAUUGCCUUUUUGUGUUGUGGAGAAUCCAGGUUUUAAGCAUUUUAACAGUGUGGCGGCUCCUAGAUAUCUCCUAGCAUUUUUACGAAGAACCAUUACUAGGGAUACUCUUGAUAUGUAUGUUGAGGAAAAGGCUAAGUUGAAGAACUUAUUAGUUGGGAAUAAGCAAAGAGUAUCUUUGACCACUGAUAUUUGGACUUCCAUUACUACAGUUAGCUACAUGGUCAUCACAGCACACUUUAUUGACAAAGAUUUGAAUUUACAUAGAAAGAUUAUCAGCUUCAACAUGGUUAAUGAUCAUUCAUUGGAGACAAUUGGUAAGCAAAUUGAAAAAUGUUUGAUUGACUGGGGCAUAGAGCGAGUAUGUGCUGUAAUGGUUGACAAUGCAAGUCCAAAUAAGGGUGCUCUUAGGUACUUAAUUGAUCGACUAAAGACUUGGAGGGAUGAUGCCUUAGUGUUGAAUGGGGAUUAUUUGCAUGUUCGUUAUUGUGCGCAUAUAUGGAAUUUGACUGUGACUGAAAGGUUGAAGGAACUUGAGCCGAGUAUAGUUAGUGUUUGGAAUGUUGUGAAAUAUGUGAGGUCUUCCACUGCCAGGAUGCAAGCAUUUCAAAUUCGUGUGCAACAAGAGAAGAUUAAUUCCCGAGGAAGUAUGAUUUUGGAUUGCCCUACUCGGUUCUACAUAUUCCAUAUUGAGUACAUCAUUGAAAUUUAAGCCGGCAUUUGAUCGGAUGGCACUUGAAGAUAACCUUUAUGAUGCUUAUUUCAAUGAAAAAGAGGGGGGGAGGGUAAGAAGAAAAGUGAGGGGCCACCGCUAUAUAGUGAUUGGGAGUGCUCUUCGCAUAGUUAAAUUUUUGAAGACUUUUUAUGAUGCGACUUUGCAAUUUUCUUCUUCUUUGAAGGUAAUAUCACAUCUUUAUUAUGCUUUUGAAUUUUGAUAUAUGAUAUGGAAUUUAUUUUAGCUUUAUUAUACUUUUGAAUUUUUAUAUAUGAUAUGGAAUUUAUUUUAGCUUUAUUAUGCUUUUGAAUUUUGAUAUAUGAUAUGGAAUUUAUUUUAGGUGACAUCGCACACUUGUUAGAAUUUGAUAUGUCAAAUUGAACAAUCUUUGGAAUCGUUGUCUACUAAUAAUGAUAGCCUUUUGGGUUUGAUGGCUAUUAAAAUGAAGGAGAAAUUUGAUAAGUAUUGGGAGGGCUGUUUCAAGAUAAAUAAAAUGUUGAUUGUUGCUUCUGUGCUUGAUCCACGGGGAAAGAUGAAAUUCACAACACAUUGCUUUGAGAAAUUAUAUGGCAAGGAUAGUGCCAAAUGUGUUGAGAUGAAGGAAAUGGUAAAAGAUUUGUUGACUAAGCUUUAUAAGUCUUACAAUGCACAAUAUAAACCGUGUGGUAGUGGGAGUACAAGUGGAAGUGCAAGUGGAAGUACAAGUGGAAGCCAAACUUUAGCUAUUGGAAGUGGAAGUGGUUCGAAUUUUUGGGAUUUAGGUGGUGAUGAUGAUGUUAUGAUUGAGGACCCUUUCUCCGAAUUUAGUAAGGUGGUUGCGGUUAGUGAAGGUAGCCCGGAAUUGUGUGCUUGUGUUAUGGUGGAUGUAGCUAUGGCUUGUGUGCUUGUGUUAUGGAGUUUUAUCGAUUAUUGAUGCUCUGUUAUCAAAAAUACUACAAUACUUUGAGGGUGUAUCAAUCGUCCACCUUAAAUUAACAAAAGCUAUCUGCCGACCACCAAACUGUUAGCUGCCGUUUGAAAGUUAACGAAAUAAUAGUGAAUUGAUGAUUUUACCCCUUAAAAUUAUCACUUGUAUACCCUUAAAUUCUUUUAUUAUCACUUGUAUACCCUUAAAUUCUUUUAUUAUCACUGGUAUACCCUUAAAUUAUCACUUGUAUCAUAUGAAAAGACCAAAUUACCCCUCUGGUGUUAUCCUAUUUAAACGGCAAGUAACGGUUUGGUGGACGGCAUAUACAUUUUGUCAACUUAGGGUGGACGAUUGAUACACUCUCAAAGUGUUGUAGUAUUUUUGAUAAUAGAGCAUUUAUAGGGUAUAUGAAUGAUAAUUUCCCUUUUUUUUGUUGCCAUGGACUUAUAAUUUGUAGUAGACUUUUAAGUUUAAGCGUGUUUAUGAAUUGCGAAUAUUUGUAUUGGGAAUUUUUAUUAUAUGGCUUGUGUACUUGUGUUAUGGAGUUUUAUCAAAUAUUGAUGCACUAUUAUGGACUUUUUUUUUUUAGGUUGCCAUGGACUUAUAAUUUGUAGAAUUGUCAAUUGUAGUAGACUUUUAAGUUUAAGUGUGUUUAUGAAUUGUGAAUAUUUUGUAUUGAGACAUUUAUUAUUUCGCUUUUGAUUUAAUAGUUUUAUACUUGUUUAUUCAUAUUAUAUAGUGUUAUUAAUAUUAUAUGUGUAGAGUGUAGUUUGGUACUUGGUAUUGGUAGUUAAUGGGAGUGUAAAUUGCAAAAUUAAGUAAAAUUAGGUGGAAAGUAUAAAAUCUGAUAAUAUUAGGGUAAAUCUAUAAAAUUAAGAAAAUGAAAAAUCCGAACCGAAUCGAAUUUAGGAACCGAACUGAACCAAACCAAAAUAUUUCAGUUCAGUUCAGUUCAAGUUCGGUUCACACUCUUAAGGCUCGAUCGAUUUUGGUUCGGUUCGGUUCGGAGCCCGAUGUUGGAUUAUUCACAUAUAAAUCCAAUGUUGGAUUAAUGAUCCAACAAUAUUGGAUUAAAAAUCCAACAUUAUCCACCCAAAUGCCAGAGCAAUCUCAUGCAUAAUUUUCCUUGAAAGGUCAAACAUCAACAAGAGAUCAAAAGGUGCAGUAAGAUUUUCUGCCAGAUCAUGAACUGUAGAAAAGUCCUAAAAACGAGACAAUCAAUGUUUUGAAAAAAAAAAUUAAAUGGGAAUAGUGUCCCCGUUAUAAUCCCCAUUCAAUUUGUGGAUUUUUUAGGACAUGCCCAACCUAUCCUCAAUAAAACUUUUUGAGGUAUGAGGUGGGUUUGGGGAUUGCUUCCAAACUGCAUUCAAGUUCGUGCAUCAUGAUCCCCGUCUCGAACCCGGCCCAUUCCUAUCACUACUUAAUAGGAUCAUUAAACACAAAACUAAGGACUGAAAAGUUGAAAAAAACGAACCAAUAAAUGAGAAGACUAACUAAAAUUAGAGACAUAUGAAAUAAACUUGGAAGAAACAUCUAUUAAAUUGAUAUUUAACCAAAAGAAUUGCAAUAUGAUUAACAAAUUUUAAAAUGUUUUCUCAUUCAAUUAUUUUUUAUGUUUAUUAUUUAAAAAUUUCCUUCUUUUUUUCAUUUAUUGAAUUUUUUAGCAUUAAAAAUAAAAUUUAAAAAUUAUUUAAUGAAAUACCGCCAUACGAGUUGUUAAAAUAUUUAUCAGAGGUUAUAUGAAAUUGUAGGAUGACCCUAAGAAAAGAGAAAAACAUUUAUUUGUGGGACCCGACCGAUCACGGAACAUGGGUUCGAAACAUGGAUCCAACUACCUUGCAAUAGUUGCAAGGUACCACAACUUUUGUCUUUUUAUGCAGUAAAUUUCAUUUGACCCCUUACUUUUCUUUUUUUAAUUUAUUUUUAAUUAUAAUUUUAUUUUUCUCUCUCAUUCUUUCCCUCCACUCCAUAGGUGGCCCAAUCUUUUUUCCUUUUAUUAUUAUUAUUAUUAUUAUUUGCUUAAUGAUUAUUUUAAUUAAAAAAAUCUAAUGAAUCAAAAAAUAUAAACCAUAAGCUAUUAACAAUUAGCCUAAAGGAGUACAAAAGCAAGCAUUGAGUUUGGGCUUUGGCUAAAUUUUGGAAUUUUUUUUAACAUUUUAAUUAAAUUAGAAAAUUAAAACAAUUUGAUAUAAUUAGGAUUCCAUCGGGAUUCCGAUUGAAGUCCUGACUAGUCCUGAGUUUUAAUGAGAAUAAAUUUAAUCUCAAAUUCUUAUUUAUUUUAAUUAUUUUUUAAGUCAUAUACCAUUUCAUGUACCAUUUGGAACAGGAUUUGGGAUUCCGAUUGGGAUUCGAUUUUUUCUACCAACUUUAAUUGGCAAAAGAGUUUUAAUUAGCUAUUUGAGAAUGUUAUGUUAAUUAACAAAGUUAUAAUAAUCUACGAUUGUUAUAAGAAUCUACAAUGUAUAACUUAGGAAUAGUAAAGCUCCUAUUAUUUAGCUUAUUUGGGUGUAUAGGCUUAUUGAAUUAAUUCAUACCAAUAUAAUUUGAUUAGAAUCGAAGUAUCUUAAUUAUGAAUUUUAUUCUUCUACUCUUUUGCAAAUGUUAAUAUGUUAAACAUAUUCUUACUAUUUUGAAUAUUAAACAUUGACACACUAAUAUAACAUCAUAAAAAAUAGUAAUAAUUGGAAAAUUUCACUAUAAUUUGGGUGGAAACUUAAAUUAAUAAUCUGGAAUUAUAUUUUUUUUAUUAUUUUAUGUUGAAGUUCCAGCCUCCAAGUACUAAACCAAAUUAAUGGCUUGGGCUAAUGCAAGGAAUAAUUGGUUAAUGCUUUUCUAACUUAAACUAACGAUAUCUAUUAUUUCAUUCUAUGAUUAUUUUUUAUUUUUUUAAUUACUUUCGGUUCCAGUUCAUGGUACAUGAGAUGCAUGAGAUGAAGAAAUUAGGAAUUAUUUUUGAAUUAUUUUUGAUUAUUUUUAAUUUUUAAUUUUAAUUUUAUUCAAAAAUUAAAUUUACUUAUUUUUUUAUUUAUUUUGUAUUUUUAACAAUGAAAAUGUUAAUGAAAUUUCUCCUAAUUUUAAUUGUCUAAUUAUUUACAAUUUUGAGAUAAUUCGGACUUAUGCAUUAAAAUUUGUAACUUUGUAAUUUUUUUGAAUUUUUAAAAAAUAUAGGGACUAUAACGUUAAUUACCAAAUAGACACAUCCUUACCAUGGACGCUACUUUUCCAUUAAAUCGAACGGUGAGGAGCUAAAGUCACAAAAAGAUAAAAAUCCUGGUACGUUGUAACUGUUGUAACGUAGGCGAAUCCUUAAAACAUUUGACAAAGGGAGUACUUUUCUAUAAAAAAUUUAUCAUUUACAAUUUUUUUUACCAUCUCAUUUUGUCACUAACUCCUUUUGCCUUUGGUCAGAGCCACAAGCAAUGAUGAUGAUCCAACUGACAGUUAAUUAUAAUCCAUGAAUUAUUCUUCUUUUGUGUAAUUUUUUUUAAUUUUCUAUAUUUAUAGCACAGUUUAAAGUUUGAAGAAUUUGGUGGAAAGAGGAGCGACUACAAUCUAUACAUAACUUGUAUUUUUAAAAGAAAUUAUCUAUGUACUACCGCUAUUUCCUGAUAUAUACAACUAAUCACUAUAAAAUUUUAACUUUUUUUGCACUACUUUUUUUUUUUUAAAGUUGUAUCAAUGAACCACUUUGACACUAAGAAUCUAAAUAAAAUAAUUAUUUUACUCCUAAAUGAAUUAAAAGAUUAUUUUAUCCUAUAAAAUUUUUAAAAACAAAAAAAAUUAUAAUUACAAUACAACUAAUUGAUAAAAUUUUAUUGAAAAAUAGAUGUGUAAGAACCAUUUAAUCAAUUGAUAAAAUAUUAUUGAUUCUUUCAAUCCUUUUCACCUAAAAUACAUGUACUACUCAUCUCAAAUAUUUUCUUUUUUUUUUUGGUUUUUUUAAUCAAUCAUACAAUCACAAUUAUCAAAUAAUUUUCAUUGUUUAAAUUAAUCACCAAAAUAAUAAUAGUCUCAACCAACUUUGAACAAUAAAAAAAAUUAUAAUUACAAAAAUUAUUGUUUAAAAAUUAUAAUUAUAAAAAUUAACAUCUUGGAUUUUGGUAUUUAUUUGUUUUAUUAAAUUCAGAGCUAUUCUUAUAAUUAUAAUUUUUUAAAAAAAAUUGUAGAAUAAAAUGAUCAUUUAAUUUAUUUAGGGUUAAAAUUGUCAUUUUUAAAAAAAUCUUAGUGUCAAAGUAGUUGAUUGAUACAAGUUUAGAAAUAAAAGUGGUGCAUAGAGAAUUUUCCUAUUUUUAAUUUUACUCAAAUUAGUGCCCUAGUCUUGAUAUUAGCCAUAAAAUUUAAAUAUUUUGAGAAUAUGAAUCAAGUGAAAUGGCUUAUAUGCCCACAAUGAUUAAAUUAACUUAACAAUGAAUUAUAAAUUAUGACAAAAAAUUACCUAACAUGUAUAUGUAUGUAUGUAUGUAUGUAUGUAUGUAUCUUUUAUAUUCACAAGACUUAUUAGGGUAACAAGUUAUUUGUCAAUGGUAUUUGUGUUUAAAAGAGGAAAUUUUUUUAUAUAGGGUAGAGUGAGUUGGAUUUUAUGACAAAAGGUUAAAACAAAAUGAAUGCAUAUACCUACCCGUGGUAUAUUUUUAGGAACCAUUUAAUCAUCUUUUGUAAUAUCCCAACAUAUAUAUUGCAAUGGACACAUAUGCCCAAAUAUUAUUGCUAUGUUAAUUUAUAUAUGAGCAUAUUAUAUUUGCCUCCUCUUUAUAUAGUACUACAAUUUAUGUGGGUGCUCCAGUAGUCACACAUGGCCAAUUGUUAUUGCAAUUUAAAUGGACACUUUAUACAACUAUUAGGGGCAUUUAUGAUAAUUCUCUUACUUGUAAAUUUUCUCUAUAAUUUACAAUUUAUUAUAAAUUAAUUUUAUCAUUAAGGGUCUAUCAGUCAUUUUAGUUAAUCUAUAUUCUCAAAAUAUUUAAAUUUUGUGGUACAUCAAGACUAGUGUAGAAAAGUAAAAUAAUUAUAAAAUUAAAAAUGAUGUAACUUGAGGGAGUUUGAACCUGUUCUAAAAUAUGAAGGUUUUUUUUUUUUUAUUUCUCGAAACAACAAGGGUAAUUCUCAUUUUUCCAAUUAGUUUUGGAACUCUAUUAAUAACAUAUAUUAAUUUCUUUAUUAUUUAACAAUGGGAUUAUGAAUAUAAAUCAUGCUAGGAUAGGCAUAAGCAUGCUGAAUGACACGAGGCAAGUCGAAAUUAAUGACUUUAAUAUAGGGGUAUGCCUGAAAGUGAAAGCAAUAAAGGUUACUCUAAGACUGCCACCAACAUCGACAAGGUGCUUGAUGUGGUUGAAACCCUAGUAAGCCUUAUUAAUCCCUUAGUGAUGCUGUUAAUAAUGAGAGCAAUAUGGUUAUAACAGUGGCGGAUUCAAAAAAAAAAUUAUUGGGAAUUUAAUUAAAUAAUAGUAAAAUAUAAAAAUUAAAAUUUUGAAUAUAUAAAAUAUUUGUUAAUAUAUUUAUAAUUGUUUUCAAAGCAAUUUUAUAUUUUUAAUAUGUUAUCUAAUAGAUUCAUUGUAUUAAAUUUUUUUUUUCAUAAACAACCAAACUAUUAUUCAUCCCAUCCAAUUCUAGAGAUGAUUCUUGACGAAUUUCAUUGCCGAAAAUGUUUUCUUUAUUGUUGCGGCAAACUAGAAGAAUUAUCCUUAUUUUUGGAAAUAGAAAAAUGUUUUGGACGGUGGGCUAUUAUUAUUUUUAAUUAAAGUGUAGGCUUUAUAAUUCUUAACAAUUAAAGUUUAAAUUUUAUGGAUUUUUAAAUUUAUAGAAUGGGGGCCAUUUAGAAACCCAAAAUAAUUUUUUCUUUAAUUCUUUGAUUUUGUUUUUGGCUUGCUUGUGGGGGCUCUGGUCACAUGUUGAAUCCACCACUGCAUUAUACACCUCUGUUUUUAAACUUUUAGGGAAAUUUACCCAUUUGACCACUUUCCAACUUUCAAUAUAAAAAAAGACUUCACUCUAGUUUUUCUUACAAUAACAACCAUUUACAAGGUUCUUAGACCAAAAUACCCCUAAAACUAAACAAACAAACCCCAAACUCCCAAGCAACAGUCGAACAUCUCCACACACCACCAAAAUACUCAUCAUUUCACCUCUCCCACAUUAUCCAACUAUCACUCAGCCUCCCUUUUAUCUAUCUCACAUUCAUCAAACUAUUAUAUUUAUCAAAGUAUUGAAGACAAAAUCAAGCAAUAAACUAAAGAAUAAUAAGAAGUUAGGGUUAGUAUUUCUUCAAUAUCUAUCUUUUAUUUUUUGGUUGGGUUUAAUACAAAAGAUCGGUUGCUCAUUUUACUACAAUGUGGGUACAUUAAAUGGUUAAUGUGAGGUCAGAGAUUUAUAAAUUAGUAAAAUUCUAGCAAAAUUCGACGAAAAUGGGUUUUGAACAAUGUUGAAGACGAAACCUAGAAUCCAGGUGACAAGUACCUGUCACCCAAACUUAGAAUAACUUGUCGUACUUGUCACCUGAAUUCUCGUAUUCAUCACCCAGGUGACAAAAUACUGCAUGUUGGGCGAUUAGUGCUCAUGUCACCCAAUAUACAAUCGCAUGUAAUUUGGGCGACAUUAUCUAUCACCUGGGCGAUAGUACUGUCAUCCGGAUCACCCGAAUUUGUUGAUAAUUAGUUAUUUAAUUAAUAUAGUAAUAUUAUUGUUUGCAGUAUUUUUAAUAAAGUAUUAUUAUUAUUUUGCAUCAGGUUAAUAGAGUUGGUAGUUCUUAUGAUGUAUUUUGAUAGAGCGUGGGAGACUUUGGAGGAUGGUCGUAUGGAGUACGAGAAUGGAAAAGUUACUGCAUUUUGUUUCCAAAACGAUGUAACAUUUGAACAAUUUAUUGCAAAGUUGUAUGAAAUUCUGAAGAAAAGUCCGGAUGAAUAUUCCCUCUUAGUAAAGACAAAUGUGAAAUCAACUCAUCCGACGAAAUCCAUUGAUUCCUGCUUAUAGACAUAGUAGACGAUGAAAUGGUGAGAGUGAUUAUGCGUAUGAACUCUGAUCCAAUUAACUAUGGGUGCACUCUUAUUUAUGUAACGACAAGUCCUAAAGUUCCGAUAGAACUUUCUUUGAUGCCAUCAAUUCAAACUUCAGCCUUUAAACACUGCUCCCCAUUCCGCUCCCAUAAUGAUCCUAUUGAUGACAAUGUUGUUAAUACAGAUGUGAAUGCAUGCAGAAACAUAUAACAUUGAAUCCCAAAUGUAUUCUAAACAUUGCAAUAGUCCAAUCAACAUUUUGGAGGAUGUAGAUCGGUUUCAAGAAGUUAAUGAUUCAUCUCAAAAUCAUCUUAUCAGUCCAAGGACCUGUAGCCAAAACUUGUAGCCAAAGUCAGUCUAUUAGUCUAAUGGCUUGUAGCUAAAGUCGAUCUAGAGUUCCAAGUCCAAUAGACCAACUACAGUUGGAGGCUCCAAUUGUACCAUCAGAUUGGGUAGCUUCAGACAUGGUUGAUGGUUCUAUUUACAGGGGUAUUUUUGUGGGCCAUACCAGUUAUUCAGCAUGAAAAAACUUAAAGUAUUGUGCACCACCGAAAUACUAAUCACGUAUUUGUCACCCAAGUAUUUUUUGUGCAAAUUUUCCACAUUACCACAUUUCAAUCCUGUCACCAAGCACCAUUCUCGAAGAGAGAAACGUAACAUCUCGUUGCCAAUCCUAAACCACAUUUGGUAUUCAUCAUCAACUUGUUUCAUGACUAGUUUGAGCAACAAAUAAUGUACAAGAUUGUCGCUAAAUCCAAGGUCCCCCAUCGUUAGAAAAUGACCAAAAAUUGACUUUUUGAAUAGGCUAAAUUGAGUAUCAGUUAACUGGGUCUGUAUAUACGUAAUGACAAAAUUAAAUCUUGUUAAAUUCGAAACGCAACAGGCGAAAUGAUCCUCGAUUGGUAUCUUCAAUGACCAGUGAUGCAUCUACUUGUCAGACAUAUCUAAGCAAUAAAUUAGGACAGCAUUAGCAUAAAUGUUUCAAAAACAAAAACAAAAACAAAACUGAAACGGUCGGAAAACUUUAGGAUAACAUUAGCAUAAAUGUUUCAAAAGAAAAACAAAACAACAAUGAAACAAUUGGAAAACUUAGGCGACAGCAUGAUUCAGUUGUUGUCACCCUGCGUUGCCCGGUACAUGGGCAACAUGAUAUAUCAUCCAACCAAAUCUGGGCGACACAAUUCUGUUGUCCAGAUUUAGUUCCUGUCACCUAGAACGCACCAAAUCACGUCGUCACUCAUUUGCAUGCCUGGGUGAUGCAAGCUUGUCACCCGCGUUGCUCAGCCUCCCAUGCCACGCAUGGCCAUUUGGUUAGGUGAUGGAGGGGAAGCCACCCACUUUGCCCAAGCUUAACAUGGCCAAAUUUUAGGCAACACAAGCAACCACUCAUGUUCUUGAUUGGCUGGCACACCAACUUUCUCUUUAACCUCAAAAUAAUUCUCAGUAUAGAUCAACAAUUUCUUAGAGAUAUUUAAACAAAUACUUGGUGUGCCAUUUAUUAGAUAUCUUAAUCUUAAGAAAAUUGUAAUAUUUUCAUACCCAAUACACACCCUAAUGAUUAACUAUGAUCAAUGGUGAAUCAACUAGGCAAUUUAAACAAAAAAAAAUUCUAAAUUAAUGAAAAAAUUUGUGAAAGUACCUAAGCUGCCAAAACCGUAAGUGAAUGAACUUGCUGGAACCAAACUAUAACUCACGUAAAUUGCCACUGGAAGUGAAGGAAAUCGCUGCUGGAAGUGAAGGAACUCAGAGGAACUCAAGAAACACCGAAAGUGAAGGAACUCUGGUGGGCGUAAUUGGAGCGAUAUGAGAUGUUUUUAGCUGAAUAUUGGGCUAAAUGUUUUGUUUGUUUUGUUUUGAGAAUUUGUAAGUGGUUGUUGUUGUAAGAAAAAUUAAAGUGUGGUCUUUUUUUAUAUUAAAAGUUGGAAAGUGGUCAAAUGGGUAAAUUUUCCAAAAUUUUAUUAAACCUAGGUUUCAAUCCGAGGUUAUCAUAAGGCAUGUGUUCCAUGGUUUUGAUUAAAUGGAAUUCCUUAAUCCUCCUUUAAGAAUUCUUCUUUCAGUUGGUACUUAUAUAUAGACCAAUUAUUUUAUCAUUUUUAAAUUGACAAGCUCGAUCUCACCCCAUAUACCUAAGAGAAACCAUGAAUCAAAAUAGAAGAACUUUCUCCACCAAUGAGUAAAUAUUUCAUAGUAAUCUCAUUAGACCGUACGUCUUUUUUAUAUAUCUAGAUAAUAGGUAGGACCAUAAACUGAAAUAUUCUAAAACUAUAAAGAUAGUUAUUAAAUCGUUAGCACCCAUAAAAACAUUCCUCCUAACACCAAAUUUUGUGCCUAGUUUCGAAUUUAAUUAAUGCAAGUGAAUGAUUUCGAGUACGAAAGGUGCAAAUCAGCACCAUUAUCAUUAUGAUUGAUUUUUUUUUUUUUUUUUUGUCAAGAUCAUUAGUAUUACGAGAGGAUCAUAGUGUUAUAUAAAGUCAAUGAUUUUGAAGAGAAGAAGCACAUAAAGUAAUAGAUAGAGAAGAGAUCUUGACAUAUUGCUAUACUAGAUCUCAUUCACAAAGAAAGAUAUACUUAAAUAGCCGAUAAUUCACCUUGUUCUAGAUUAAAAAAACAAGAAUUUCCUUUGGUCGUAUUAAAAAGCACAUCGAAAUGUACAUCAAUACACCAUUUUACACUCUAUCUUAUUUGAAAUAUAUUGAGUGAUUGGUGCGUAUUCCCUCGAAGAUUCUUGUUGAGUGUGCGAUUGGUGGAAAAAUAAUCAAAACCCCCUGUUGUUUGUCCAAUUUAAUCAUUUUCCUCUCAUAUUUUAAAAUCUCCUACUGUUAAAUAUUUAAAUGUAACUUCUUGUAUAUAUUGUUGUAUAUUGGGACAAGGUUGUCAAAUUUUCUCGAGCAAAUACAUUUUUUUAAUAUUCUUUGUGUCCCAAUAUAUAUAACAAGUUACAGAAUCAUUAAAAUAAACAGAAGUUUUAAAAAACUUACUAGUAGUAUUCAGAAACGUAACUCUGACGGUUUAAUCUUGGACCUUUUGGAUGGUGUGUUGUCUUGAUAAAAUUAAGAAUAUUCAUUUGAUAUUCAUUUGUGACAAACCAGAAUUCCAGAUGUCCAGUUAAUUUAUGAAAAAAAUAAGUGCCUUUGUCUUUGAACAUUACGUGUUUCAUAAGGUAUUGAUCACUUUCAACGGCUUGUAAUUGGGUAUAAUAAACUCUUUUUUUAUCUUCUUCUCCUUCGUUGUUUUUUUCUCUUUUCCUUUGCUACUAUCGUUGUGAUUGAAACUUUUUGUUGUCGUGAUCAUUAAUUAGUGUCACAAGAGAAUUGUUUCAUUGAUUUGAUGUAGGUUGGUUGCAUGAGACAAGCAGGAUACCCUUUAAAGGUCAUAAUUGAUACUACAAGUAUUUGUUUUGGGCAUAUAAUAUACUGUUUUGAAGUUUGAGAAGAGACAAAGCAAACCCGGAAUGGUUUGCAAAGUUUUGCCACAUGGUCAAAUCAAAAAUUUUAUUUUCCUCCUGUCAUUUUUCAGUUUUAAGAUAUUUUUCUUUUUUUUAAGAUUUGUAUUUUUUUCUAGAUGUCUAAUUUGAGAGUCGUUUGUUUUGUAUUUCUUGUUUAGAUUAAGAGAAUCUUAUUAUAAAAUAAUAUUUCUGAUUUGCUUAUUUUAAUAAAUUCGCGAUAAUUUAAGGUUAUUAUAUAAUGAGACCCAAAACCCUAGUUUUGUUAAUUUAGACUUUUUCAAUAAAACUUUUAUUAUUCAGAAAUUUUGAUUCUUCUAUCAAUCACCUUUAAACGUUUCUGCAUCGUCAAUUCACUUCUAGUUAUUUCAUCUAAUCCAUAAAGUUAAAUUACAUCAUAUAUAACAUGAACUCCAUGCAUGGGCUUUAAUGGCGGAACUCGGAAAAUUUUCAGGGGCCAAAUCUUUAGUGGCGUAAGCAAUAUGCAUAAAUUGUGCACAUAGGGUAUUGAAGAAAUAACAUAGCAGAUAAAAUAUUCAUGCUCAAUUAGAUGGCUGUGAGUAUUAAUGGAAAAAAAAAAGGCCAAAACGAAAAAGCAACCAAAAAAAAAUCUAGGGGCCCUAGAUUUAUUAACAUCGGACUUUUAAAAAUUGCAUGGGCCUUGUCUAUUUAUUUUUUAGAGUUGAACUAUUGGCACCCCUCUCAUCUCCUCAUAAAAUCCCCUUUUUAGUUAUAUUCAUUUUAUUUUCGAAAAUGCCAUUUUUUUUAGAUACAUUUUUCUAAAUUCUCAAUUUUCAUUUGAUUUGUUUUAUUGUUGAAACUCAAAGCAUUAUUGUACUAUUUUUUUAAUUAUUUUCAAUUUUAUUAUUAAUCUACACACAAAUUAAAUUAAAAAGUUAUAUGGAUGAUAAGUUUUUUAGUGUUAAUCAUUGGCUAAAAUAACACAUAUUUAAAAUUAUAAUUUUAAAGCAAUUUUAAGUAUAAAAAUAUUUAAUCAAUAAGAAAUCAAAAGAGAACAAUAGAUUAUUUUAAAUUUGUACAAUUUAUUUUAGUUAAAUAAGAAGUAACAUAUAGAAUUUAUUUUUUUUUGAAAAGGAUUGAUUAUGAAUUAAGUAAUUUGCUGGAAAAAAAUUUAUAUGUGUUUAAUUUUUAAUUUUCUUUAAUUAUAAUUUUAUUUAAAGUGGGGUUUUGUAAGAAUAGUGUAGGGGUGUCAAUACCUCCACUCUAUUUUUUAUUUUAUUUUUGGUUAUUAUUAUUUAUUAACACUUUGACUUUAUUUCAGAUUAACACUUUGACUUUAUUUCAUAUUAACAGUUAUAUUUUUAUCCUAUAUAUAACGGUUAUAUAUCACGAGUGCAUAGGCUAAAUUAGUCUUUUUAAUCGAAUUUUUCAUAUUUUAUUCAGAAAUUCCAAAAACUUUCCAAACUCUGCCGGAGGCAUGACCCCUCUAACCUUAUAAAGCUCCACUGCUAGCUUCAAUUGAUUAUCAUCUUUUGCAUUCUCUGCUUAAUAUCUAGACAUCCUUUAGCCCUCUAUGAUAAAGCAUUGACCAUGUAUUUUUCAAUCAUCUUUCUUUUACUGGCCACUCGAGUUGAAAUCCUAGAGAGAUAUAUGCUAAGAAAUUAAUUUGAAAUUUACCCAGCCCUGUCUUUUAAAUAAACUAAAAAAAAAACUUUAGGUCUCUACAAAAUAUAUUUUCAAUUUUACAUGGAUUAACAAGCUUUAGGAAUGAUAGUAGGAUAGGGUACGGGUGGAGAGGCCUCCUCCAUUCUUGAGCCAAUUAAAAAUUUAGCCCUCAUUCCCCAAUGGAUUUAAUGGGGUUGGGUGAAUCUCUAUGUACAGAAUAGUUUAUCCAUCCCCGCCUUAUUCUCCAUUUAUCUACUUUGUAGUAGAUUUUUAAAUAUAAAUUUCAUGAAAUAAAAAUUAAAAUGACUCAAAUAAAACCAUCACUUACAUUGUAAAGUAUUUAAAAUUAUUAAUAGUAAAUCAUGUUCAAUUUAUUGGAACAAUAUCUUGAAUCACAUAAAAAUGUAAAAUAUUUGAAUAAAUAACAAAAAAAUUUGGAGCCUACCUUUGAGCUCCUGCAUCAAUUCAACAAAAGAGAUAAAAUCCCCUAUAUAUGGCACUACAAGAAAAGGUACCUACUAUGACAAUCCUCUGUGUAACAGUUUUUGGUCUGGAGGCCUACAACAAUAUGAAAUACAAGUGUGCAACCCAAGAGGGGGGGUGAAUUGGGUUUUUAAAAAUUAAGCUAAGCAAACCACACAACAAUUUAAUCUAAUGCCUUAAUGGAAUAAAAAACAAUAAAUUCAAUAAAGCACAAUAAUAAGAGAGUAAGGGAAGAGAAAAUAAACACAAUGAUUUUUACGUGGUUCGGCAAUCCCCGCCUACGUCCAAGCCUCCAAGCUCACCCAGCCUGAGGAUUUCACUAUUCAAGCCUCUCAAGGGUUCAAAUGCUUACAAUUGACUUCCAAGGUGUCAAUCAACCUUUACACCAAGAGAUUAUCUCCAUUCUCUUAACUCAAGUGUAUCCCAACACUUACAAUCACUCAAAACAAAUAGUACAAAUGUGUUUUUUCCUCACACAAAAUAUAUGAUUACAAAUCCAUACUCAAUGUGUGAAUAAAUGAAUCAAGAACAAAUUUAAAGCUUAAUGAAUGUUGUAUUCUCGAUUACAAGCUCAAUGAUAAUGUUGUGAUCUACAUUUCUUUGAAUUUGAUUGAGCUUAUUUAUAGUUGGAGCUGAAAACUAGCCGUUAUUGACUUUCUGUUCGAAGUCGGAUUGUCGUUAACUCAAAGUCAGAUCGCUGUUUUGACUGGUCCAAGUUACCGUUAGACAGAAUUUUAAAUUGUUAGAUCACCAUUUUCAAGAUGUCGGCUCGUCGUUAGUGUCCAAAGGCUAAUAUUUCAAUUCUAUGCAAUGUCGAUUAGCUGUUAUUUAGAUGUCAGAUCGUCGUUAGUGUCCAGAGGCUAAUCUUUAGUUUUGUUCGAUGUCGGCGAGCCGUUAUCAAAAUGUCGGAUCGCCGUUUUCUACAGUAAAUGCUACAGUGAACUAUUUUGCAAAAUGACACUUUGACGCCAAAACUUUAUAUAACUGUACUAUGGCCCACAACGUUAUAACUUUUACAAAUAGGUCCAAUUUCAGAAUUUCUAAAUAAUACUUACUAUUUCCAAAACUUUCUAAAAUUAUAAUAUGGCCCAAAAUGCUAUGAAUACUUUUCAAAUAAAUUCUUCUCCAAAAUUUCAAGCAAUACUUGUUGAUUUCAAAGUUUUCAAAACUUUUUCAAUUAAACUGUAAACUUGAAAAACAACUAAUUUCAUAAAAUCAUUUUUUCAUUAAGUAUAAAACCUUUAAAAUGUGAAAAUAAUGAUUUAUUUAAAAUGUAUAAAAAUAAUUUGAGCUCUUAAAAACUUAAUCAUUCUUAAUUUUGUUUGUUAUCAUUAAAAUCAACCUUAUGAAUACAUAAAUGUUAACACAAUAAAAUCGUGAUAGAUUUACUUUUUGUCAUACACUUAUGACAUAGCUGUGAUAGAAAUAUCGUUUAUCAAGAAAUUAUGAUAUAUUGGUGAUAUAAAUAUCAUAUAUCAAGAAAUUAUAAUAGACUAGUGAUAAAUUAUUUGGCUAUCAAGAAUGAAAGACUGAUUUUUUAUGUUGACUUUAAUUGCGUGGGUUUGACUUGAUUUUUAAAAAUAUUAUAUUACUAAAAAAAGAAGUGAAACAAUGUCGUCUCAGUUGUAUGCCAAAUUAAAAAACAUUAUGUUUUGCAAGUGUUUGAGGAAAACCAAAAACGUAAAUAACAAAAAAUAAUAAUAAAACGUUGUGUUUUGUAAAUGGGGGAAACAAUUUUGUGAGAAAGGAGGCAAAAAUUUUUCUAAGUGUUCAGAAAAUUUGCAAGCGUCACUGUGGAAUCUCAAAAUCGAUUAGCACACUUGUAGCAAACCCUCAAAGGCCGGCCAUAGCAAACUAACGACACCCAAACACCCAUCGUUUCAAAAUCGUUCUGGUUGUUUCAUUGAAUCGUCUCUCUUUACUGCAGUUGUCACUGAACCAUCUCUCUUUGUUGGGACGAAGUCAGUGCUAAUCGAAACCCAAAUUGGAAUGAGAACAACAUACAUGGUACUUUUAUUGACUGAAAGAAACCCAAUCGCUUACCAUGAAAGAAGACCCAAAUCAUUGUUGCCGAAGUUGAAACCCUAGGCUUGACGGUGAAUUGAAGCUUCACACCAACUAGUGAGUCGUUUCUACAUUUGCAUGUAUUUAAUUUUGACUAUUUAUUCAACUUUUAUGUAAAGUAGUAAAUAAUUUGUAAAAAAAUGAAAUGUAUUUGCAUGUAUUGCAUAUAUUGCAUAUAUUUCGGUAAUCAAUUUACUAAAUAAUUUCCUAGUAAAUAAUUUCCCAGGAAGAUAGUCUUUAAAAAUAUUUUGAGUUCUGUUUUAAGUUGUAAUCGUGCAUUGCAUAAUGUUGUUAAUUUUUUUUAUUCUAGGUAAUUCUGAUUUAUAUUCAUGUGUCUGUGUGUGAUUUUUUUUCUAGCUAUUUCUAAUAUUGAAGCUUCGUUAAGUUAAAUGAGUGUUAGUGUAUGAAGAUGGUGAUAAUCUGCAACUUAUAUAUCUUUAUGUUCUAAUAGUUGAUUCUUUAAAUAUUGGCCUGAAAUGUCUAUAACAAAGCCUGAGGAGGCAUUCUUAGUAAUUGAUUCUGUUAUGUAAAAUUGAGGGAUUCUCACAUCUCAUUGUCAUCUACCUAUACAUGAGGUGUUGUAGCUAUUUUGCAUCUGCUGGUAUUGUUGUUACUGUUGUUGUCUUCAGUUGUAACAUUUGUGUGUCAAAUAUAAAUAGUUGUGAUUGCUGCAUAAACGUGACAGUUUGAUGUUCUUGAUUUGUGGAAGACUUUGUAUGAAGGUACUUGAAGCUUUCUUUGUGUUUGCUUUCAUUUUUGUUCUACUGAUGUAUAUUAUUUGAAGUUGUAGUUUAUUAUUUCUUCUUAGGCUUACUCAUAUGAUUAAUGUAAUUUCUUGGUACCUUUUUAGCCCUUUUGAAUCCAAGUUUUGGAAUUCUUUCAACUGAUCAUUCAAAAUAUAUUUCAGUAAUAAAUAUUGUUGCUGGAUUUGUACCUGGAAUUGGAUAUAGCAACAGAUUGUUGUGUUUAAUCUGGUAAGUUCCAUUUCUUAUCCUCUAUUAUUUGACUUUUUGAAGUUUAUUAUGCACUUGCUUAAAAUUUACAUAUCUUUAAAUUUAUAAUUAUGAUACUAUGUAAUGUGUUUGUUGUGGGGCCUAUCUUAUUUAUUAUAUUUAUAGUAUAAUAAGAGAGUGAACUUUUGAAAAGUAUGAAUUUCAAUUUAUUAGCUUUCUUGGGUUGCUAUAUUUUUUAAUUUUGAAAUUUGUUUCUGGACCAUGACUAUGCUUUUCCGUAAAGUAGGUUGUUUCUUUAAUAUAAAAGAGAAAACUAUAUGGGCCAAAUUGUGUUUAAUUUGAAAGGCUUCAUGUAGGUUUAACUUUGUUUAUUUCACAUGGUGCUGUAACAUUAGACAAAUAUUCUAAGUAUGUAUAUUCUUUCUUUGUUUUAUGUAUAUGUCAGGAACAUUAAUUAUUAAGCCAAAAAUGGAUAAAUCUUGGAUUCAAUGUAAUCGACUGUCGACUGAAUAUGAAAAGGGUGUCGAGAAAUUUAUAAAUUUUGCUAUAAAAAAUGCUGGAGGCAGUAGUGUCAUUAGGUGUCCAUGCCUUGAUUGUUAGAAUUUAUCAUUUGAAACACCUACAACUGUAAAAGAUCAUUUAUAUAUGCAUGGUUUUGAUGUGAAAUACGAUAAUUGGUUUUGACACGGGGAAGAGAUUCGUAAGAGUCAUUCUCUUCAAAGAGAAAACCAUUUUCAGUAACAAAAUAUAGAGUUUGACAAUGGUAAUGAGUUAGAAAUGGUUAAUGAUGUUUAUAAGGGUUGUUGUGGGGACCCUAAGGCAUUCAAAGAGUUGCUAAAACAAACUGAGAAACCCUAAUACCUAGGAUGCACAAAAUUUACUAAGUUAUCCUUUUUAGUGAAAUUGUUCAAUGUGAAGGGUAGAUUUGGGUGGUCUGACAGUAGCUUUUCUGCAUUGUUGAGUGUUUUAGCAGAUGCUUUCCAAGAAAAAUAAUGAAAUUCCAACCUAUAUGUAUGAGGCCAAAAAGACAAUGUCAGCUUUGGGCUUAGAAUAUGUUAAAAUUCAUACUUGCCCAAACGAUUGCAUACUCUAUAGAAAAGAGUAUGAAGGUUUUUUUAAAUGUCCUACUUGUGGGUUAUGUAGAUGGAAGAAAAAAGAUGGUACUGUAGACCAAUAUAGGAAAGGGGUUCCUACAAAAACUUUACGGUAUUUUCCUCUUAUACCUAGGUUUAGGCGCAUGUUUCAGUCAUCAGAAACUGCUAGGGACUUGACUUGGCAUGCAAAUGAGAGAAUGGUUGAUAGUAAACUCCGACAUUCGGCUGACUUACCAUCUUGGAAGUUAGUAUAUGAGAAAUGGCCGAUCUUUGCAUCCAAUCCUAGAAACCUUCGCCUAGCUCUACCAGCUGAUAAAAUCAAUCCAGAUAGCUCUCUUAGUAGUACAUAUAGCUGCUGACCAAUAAUUCUUAUUACUUAUAAUCUUCCACUAUAGUUAUGCAUGAAACGAAAAUUCAUGAUGUUGUCCCUCUUGAUUUCUGGUCCUCAACAACCGGGUUUAUACAUUUAUGUGUAUUUGCAACCUCUUAUUGAGGAUUUGCAAACUUUAUGGGAUGUUGGGGUGGAGGCAUAUGAUGCCUACAAAAAUGAGUAUUUUAAUUUGCGGGCUGUAUUACUAUAGACAAUAAAUGACUUCCCGGCAUACAAAAAUUUAGCGGGUUGUACUGUUAAAGGAUAUUAUGCCUACCCAUAUUGUGGUGUAGAAAUACCAAAAUGUAGACUUAAACACAGUGGAAAAAAUGUAUACAUUGGGCAUCGGCUUUGGCUUCCUCAUGGUCAUAAAUUUCGGUUCCAAGCAAAAACCUUUAACAAUAGUGUGUGUGAUGAAACCCCUCCAAAACUGUUAAACGGUGAGGAAAUUUUCCAGCUGGUCAACUCUAUUGAUAAUAGAUGAGGGAAAAGCAAUAGUAAAAAGUGUAAAAGUGAGAACAAUGAUGAUCUCGUGUGGUGGAAGAAGAAAUCCAUAUUUUAUAAUUUAGAGUAUUGAAAGCACUUACUUGUGCGGCAUCAAUUAGAUGUUAUGCACAUUGAAAAGAAUGUGUAUGAGAACAUCUACGGUACACUGCUACAUAUUCCUGGAAAGUCCAAAGAUGGACUGAAGUCGAGGAUGAAUCUCUUGGAAAUGAAAAUUAAGCCCAAAUUAGCACCACAAGUUAAGGGAAACAACAAUCGUACAUGGCUUCCUCCUACUUGCCACACCUUAACUAAGGAGGGAAAAACCUUACUGAAGAAGAAGUGGACAUGAGUGUUCUUUGGAAGAGAGCUCGGCAAAUGAAAAAUAGAGGAUACCACCCUGAUGUUGAACCAGUUAUUAAAAAAAUUAUAAGAAAUUUUUUGCUUACUACUGUAAUUUUAGAUGUGAUUACUUAUACUUUGAUGACAUUAGCUUACUUAAUUCAUUGGUGUGGUAGGAUAACUGGAGAUGGAAGCUAAAAAAGGAAAGAUGCGGCCAUCCGAAAAAAAUGAUAUUCUCACACAAUCUUUGGGAAAAGCUCCAAAAUGUGGUCAUAUACAAGGAAUGGGCAAGUUUGUAACCAUGUCUCUAUAUUUUCAAACUUGCCAGAGGCCUGCUGAUAGAGACAGGCAAAGAGAGAACCAUCUAUGGAGGGAAUCAAUUAACCGGCAGUUGGAAGAAAUGAGAAAAACACAUCGUCAUUCAGAUAUAGCAAGUUCCAACUACCCUCGCGUGCCUGUUGAAAACAAUAAUGCUGUCGGAGAUGAUGGCCUAGAGUUCGUUCAAGCUGAAACAGUUGCUGAAACACCAAGGGUCAGUUUGUUUACUAUUUUACUUAUUAUUUCUGGAUUUAUUUUGUUGCAAUUUUACUUCUUCUACUUAACUGUAUAUACUUGUUGAUGGAUAAGGGUUGCUGUAGUUACUGUUCUUACCUGUUGUUUGUGGAUUUAGUUUGCUGUAUGUUUACUAUUUAUACAUAUGUUAUUUCUGGAUUUUCUUUGAUACUGUUAACUACUUUGUAAGAUAAAUUUAGAGUAUUUAGAAACUACUUAUGCCAAUCACACUGAACAAUUAUGUUUGUAGUAGCCUGAUCAUUUGAAAAAAAGAAGAAGCAAGGGACACCUAAAAACACAGCAGAUAUGAACUUGCCAAUAGUAAACUGUAAGAAAGAGACAGACAUAACAAACAAAAACAAGGAUACACCUGCCAAAAAACUCUCUGUCAUUGCAAGAAAGAGUCCAAGAUUGAACCCAACUGAAAUCUUAGUGGAGAUGCCUGAUGAUUUGUUACAAGGAAAAAAAAAUGGCAACCCUAAAUAUCAAGGCACAAAAAAACAUUUAAACUUUGAAUCAACAGAACAACAUAAUGAUAUAAUAGAGAUAAGACAUACAGAUGCUGUAAAACAGACCAAGGACGAGGGCAAAAAAGUUGCAGUGAAGCCUUUGCCAGCAAGGAGGAACACAAGGCAUGCAGGAGGGGUACAACAAAACAAGAUUCUGUUGCUGCAGUUUUUUGGCACAAUGUGUAAAGCUAAGAUGUCAGACCAAGAAUAGAUUCCAUAUCUACUGGAUGAUGGUGUUUUCCAAUUGGAAUGGAUUAGAGCUCAUAUUGGGCGGCGUGACUGCAGUGCAGUUCUGGCAAUGGAUACUAUAGGAGUAAACGUAAUUGAAGUCUAUAUUGCGUAAGUGAUUUAUAAUCAUUCUAGUUUUAUGUGUACUUUUUAUAAGAGUCCCAAUUAAUGGACUUUAACAUUGUUUGUCUUUUGUUUAUCAGGAUGUUGUAUACUUCCAUUCUCCAUGGGAAAAGAGGAGUCAAACCAUUUGGAUUCAUUCAUCCAGGUCUGGUUUCACUAGGCAAAGAACGUAAUCCUACUACAUCAUUUGACUUUAAGGCACGUGGAGUUUGUGAUUGGUUGAAAAAAAUGAAGAAGUGACAAUUCAUCUUUAUGCCUUAUAAUCCCUAGUAUGCUUCUUUAAUACUUUUCAACUCAUAUUAAUUUCCUUUCUUACCUUAAUUUACUGAAAUUGCUACCUUAAUGUUCUUUCUUUUAUUAUAGUUAUCAUUGGGUGCUGGUCAUCUUUGAUGUGUUGAAAAAAGAAGUUUAUUAUCUCGAUUCUUAUGGGGGAGAUCCUUAUGAUGAUUUAAAAGAGCUCAUUAAAGUAUAUGUUCAAUUUUUUUUUAUUACCAUUGUCAAUAUGAAAUUACUUUUACAUAAUUUACAGAUACUUUGUUACAAUUUUUUUUUUUUGUAUACAACUCUAUGACAAUGUUUAUAGCACAAGAAGAUUAAGAGAAAUGAAAUUAUAAUAAGGUGGUCAGAUCUGUAAAGGUAAAAAGUAUUACCUUAACUAUAAUUAUAUAUUACCAUGCUUAAUUGUUAUUAUAAUGAACUGUGCAAUUGCUGAUUGUGAAUAGGUCCCACAGCAACCAGCAAGUUCAGUCGUGUGUGGAUUUUACGUCAUGAGAUUCAUGAAAGACUUAAUUAAUGACUUCUCUUUGCUAAUGAACAAUGUGAGUUCCUUGAUCAUAAUUUGCUUCAUAAAAAAGAACAUGUCAUGUGUCAAAGUUUCACUACAUAAUAUUUAUUUUUCAUAAACAGUUCAACGGAAAGACAACAUAUUCCGAUGCUGAAUUAGAUGAAGUCCGUAUUGAGUGGGCAAACCAUUUUCCUAGAGUACUUGUUGUUAUGUGAGGUAACCCUUACCUAUUAUGUUGUUAUUGUGAGUUCAUUGAUGAAAUAAAUUAAUUUACUAGCUAUAUUUUACUUGGGCAGUUAUCUAGCUUAUUAUACUUCUAUGUUGCAUUAUGAUAAAGAUGGUGGGUACUGCUGGAGUUGACUAGUUUUUUUCUUUGUUUGGAAAAUAGCUCCUGGAUAUUGAUGCAAUUUUACACAUUUCGAUUGUUCUUAGGUUGGAUUUUCACGUUUGGGAACAACUAACCUUGUCUGAUCAAUAUUUUUGCCUUCCUCUUGUGUUUCUGGAAAUGUUGCUAGAAAUGAACUAUGUUGUUGCCUUUCUUCAUGUUGGUAGAAAUGACUCUGUUGUUGGCUUCCUUAUGCUACUAGAAUUGAAUUGAUCAUGGUUCAUUGGUGUUAUACAUGUUGCUUGAAUUUAGUUUUUAUGUUGGUAUAAUACUCCUCUUCUAUUUAUGUUGGACUUGUCACUCUCAAAUUUGAUUAAAUUAUGUUUGCUGACAAUUAUGAAUAAUUAGUCAAUGUUAUCCAUUUCAUUUUCUUUGUCAGUGAAUUUUUUAUGGCAAUAUUAAUUUUAAUAAUCUAAUUAAUUAGCUAAUUUAUGAUAUAUUAAUUUCUAAUAAAUCAAUUAUAGGAUUGUUAUUAAAAUGAUAAUAUUUUCAUGGUGCAAACAAAAUACCCAAUUUUUAUUAAUUAUAAUUUCAAUUUUUGAUUUAAUUGAAAAAAAUCAUUUAAUUAUAAUUUGCAUUUCGUGCCAAAUUUAAUUUUCCCGCCAAAAAUUCAAAAUAUGGUGCGCAAAUUUUUUUAAAAAAGAGCCAAAUUCAAAUUUAUUAUAUUCCCCUCUAAAUAAAGUUAUGACAGUUAUGUGACUAGUAAUAUCUAUCACAUAUUAUGACUGGUAUUGUUCUGUCAUCAAUUCUUGACGCUGGCUACAAUGACGGUAUGAACAACCGUCAUCCACCCCUACUAUGACAGUUUUUGCCUGUCAUAGUAGGCACUUUUUCUUGUAGUGUGGGGAUUAGGGUGAGAGUGGGAUGAGAAGUACAAAACUAAGGCCACCUCAUUAAGGAUUUGAGGAUUAUGUUUCUUGGCCUAUUCCCCAUAAACUUAUCAAAAUUUAUCUCAUUUAGAAUGCGCCCCUUGGAGUCCCAAACCUAUAGAGAAUUUUGCCUCCCAUAGCGAGCUUAGUAUGCUGCUUACAAUACUCAAGAUUAACCGUUGAUUAUUCAUCACUAUGUCUAUUAUUACAUACGACCUCAUAUAUAUUAUGAGUGUAUACUAGAAACAUAAAAUGACAUAUUGACUCUUAUACGUACCUCACUGUAGUUGCUUAACGUCUAGUAACAGUAGCGAAAUGUACAUCAAUACAUCAGCUUCCACUGUUAUGAGUGUACAUUUUUUUUGCGAAACAAAAAAUAUUGGCUGCUCGGUGUGUAGAAUUCUUGCCAUUGGUGUAUGGAUUUCUUGUAAAAUAUUUGUUUGUGCUCAAUGUAUAUUUAUUUCUCAUUAGGCAGUUGGUGGAAAAAUUAUCAAAUCUCUUACUGAAAAAAUAAUUUUUUUUACGUUUUUUAUUAUUUUACCCCUAAAAAUUUUAUUGAUCAAAAGUUGGUGGGUUUUUAAUGAUAUCAGGAAUAAUAUAAUAAAAGACACAAAAUUUGAAAUUUAACAAUGUCUUUUUAACAUCUUAUGAUCUACAUUGUUUUAAAAAAGAAGGGGAAAUAAUUAUUUUUCUCAAACAAUAGGGAGAUUUUGAUCAUUUCUCUCAUUGCUAGUUGAGAUGUAAAUGUAGAGGACUAAAGAGUGUGUGUAUUUAUGCUGCGAGCGCCUUUAUUUUUUUUUUAACACAAACAAAUUGUUAAGCUGUGGAGUUUAAUAACAUUAAAAACUAACUCUAUUAAACCUCAUAUCUUAAAAGCCUAUCCGCAUAAAAAAAUAAUAAUAGGGUGUCCGCACUAGAGAAUGACUAUAUAUAUAUAUAUAUAUAUAUAUAUAUAUUCAAAUAUAGUUGUUAAAUUUUAAUUUUGUCAAGCAAACACUUUUUUUUAAUAUUCUUUUCUUUUCUUUCUCAAUAUAUAACAAGUUAUAUCACUACAAUAAAUAUUAUCUUUUACAACCAAUCAAAAAUGAUGCGAAAACACAAUUACAACAUUUAUAAAAAAUGUCCUAACGAAGGAUGCAGUAAAUAACAUCAAACUUUUGUAGCCUUUUUCAGCUGUAGUAAGAAACGCUGCAUAAAAUGCAGUUUUCUAGGCCAUUUGCUAUAAGAGUAAAUGGCUGCAAAAAUUAGUAAAUAAAUAUGGAAAUCUGCUGCCAGUAAAAUUGAUAAUAGUUCAAUCAAUUAAGAAUAAUCUCCAUAAAAUCAUUUAAACUUGGCAUCCAUACAACAAAAUUUUAGUUGAAGAUUGUUAAAUCUCUACACUAAAUAUAAUACUCAAAGUGUAAACUGAAACUCUUGCCCAGGUUAAUGUUUUUUUUCCCUUGACUUGUAAGAUUCAAGUAUAUGUAUGAACAAAAUUAGAAACUAUAAGCCUGCUCCAACAAGAUGUAGUUUUUUGGGCAAGCAAUUGUGCUUCCAAUUGCAUCACUAAGAACAUGAAACUCAGAUGUAGCACGAUAUAAGGGAGUAUCUUCAACCAGUGCAAUUAUCACCCAAACUUUCCAGCAAUCUGGUCCAAGACAUAUAUGAUGUACUUUGGCAAGUGGAUCUCUUGAUGCAAUUGUUCCUUCCCCUACAACUUUUCCUGUUCCCAUCCAAUCUAGUAAUCUACAACGAGCAUUUUCAAUAUUUGUGAAAGUGCUUCCACAUGUUUUAGCUUUCUAUAAUAAUAAAUAAAAAAUCUGAUUAGAGGCAAACAAUUAUAAUACGAAUAAAUUCAAACAGUUUUUCCAAGCUCAAAAUUCUAAUAUUUUUUUUUCAUAAAGAGAAUGGUUCUUUAUUAGCAACAACUCAAAAAUCUAUUCAUUUUAGUGUUAAACAGAGUUUUGAGGAUCAACAAUAAAUGAUGCAUAGCAUUUAUAAAAAUCAUCACUUACUUUCGCAUGUGAAGUGUCUUUCGAACAUUUCCUCUUGUGGCUUGUCUCAUUGUGAUCCUGAAAUAUCAUAAAGAAAGAACAAUUCACGUAAGCAAAAUACUUGGUUUACGUAUUAAAUAAUUCAAAGCUAAUAGUAAAAUAUUAACUUACUAGUCGAAUGUCUCGAGAAUUUUUCAUCAUGCUAUCUAUGUCAAUUCGAUCCUAAAAAUAUAUGAAAAAACUAUUAUUAAUCAAGUAUUUCUUCUAACUAUAUUGAACAUAAAUUUUCUUAAUCAUAUUUAUUACCUCUUGUUUGCUAGUGUUCUUAAUGAAUGCAGUCUUGAGUUCCUCAAAUAGUUUUUUGAGAUCUUUUAGUUCCAUUUUAAUUUGUGCAGUAUAAGACUUGCUAAGUGCUUCUAAAUUCAUCAACGUUGGUGUAACUCCAAAUCCAGCUCCUCGUAUACGCCCAUUACGUUCUUUUCCUAUCACAUGGUUCAGAGCAUCAUCGUGAAUUAUUGAGGCAUCUUCACUCACAUGUGUCCUCUGAUAUUCAUUAAUUGUUUUUUAAUCCAUGGAGAAUUUUGAUUGUUAAUAGCAAAAAAAUAAGAAUAAAGAACUAAAAAAUCAUAAAGAAUUUAUCACCAGUUUUUUAGCAACAUCCUCAUUAAUUGUAGUCCUGUCCUUCUUAGUAUGUGCAAGAAUCCACACAUCAACUCUAGUUAUCGGUGAGUUUGGUCUCCCUUGCAUCUAAAAUAUGUAGUGGAGAACAUUUUAUUACUCAUCUAAUUUUUUGUUUAAUAAUAAAUAAACUUAAUGAUAUGAUUUUUCUAACCAUUUCAUGUCUUAAACGAGCCAUCCCUUUUCGACUUGUCCUGUGGAUGUUAGUUUGUUUUGAUCUCAUUUUUUUAAACCUCUUACUCUUCAACUAUAGUAAGAAGAUAUGUUAGAUUAAUGACACUAUUCUUGUACAUUAAUAAGAAACUAUACUUGUACAUUAAUUGGGAAAGAAACUUACUUUAAACCUUUGCCAUUGUUGCUUAGAUUUUAUGUUCCUUGGUUUCAAGUCUUUCAAUGCCUCAAGCUUUCUUGUUACAUCAUUGCUUUUAACCAAUGCUCUGAUUUUAUGUGUUAAAACUGAUUUGUAAUUCCUCCAGCUCCUACCCAUUGCACUCAUUAUAUAUCUUCUAUGACUUCCAUCAACAUUAAAUUGUUGCUGCAUUUAAAGGGAAAAAUAACAUUAAUAAUUAAAUUUGAUAAGUUAAAUAAUAUUUACCACAAAAGUAGGAUGCUACCUUAACACAAGUCCAAAGUCUUUCUCUUAAGUCUGAUUCCACUCUAUGCCAACUAUCCAAGGUCAACGGUACCAUUUGUCGUACUAAACAACCAAUAAAAAAAGAUAACCUAUUUGAAUUUCUACCAACGGGGUUAUUAUUGGUUGCUUCGAAUUGAGAUAAGUGGAUUCAUGCAUAACGUUUAUUAUAUAUAUGUACGAAUUUAUGUAUGAAAAAAAUAAUGUUGUUCAUAAGGAUUGGCAUAUUUAUAGUUUUGAAGUAUUUUGUUGUUAUAGUUUAUAAUAAUUAUUUACAUUUUGGUUUAAAGUUUAUUUAAAAUGUUUUCUUAAAUUUUUUUUAAAAAAUGGCUUUAAAAUACUUGUGUUCCAUAAAUUGUUUUUCCUUAAAAAUUAUAUAAUUUGUAAAGCUUUGCCAAUUAAAUGUCUUAUAAGAGACUUAAUUGAAUGAUUGAUAUUGAAAGAUUGAAAAUUAUUUUAAGGUUUUGGCUCAUUGUCCUUAGUUACCAGUACUGAUAGGAUUUAACAGUUAACUGUAUUGUGCGCUCCUAUUGACGAUUAUUGCGGGGUAAAGUACCCUGAUUGAACUAUCAACCGGCUCACCAAGAGUACAUGUGACACUAUGAGGCAUGAGCAAAAUUAAACAAAUGAAAGGUUUUAUUGACAAAUGAUUAUUUAUUGAAAAUGGUCAUUAUGUUAUGACAUUAUUGGUUAUAAAUUUUACUGUAUAAAUGUAUUAGAUUAUAAAAUGAUUACUGAUUCAUGGCACUUAAUAAUUAUUAUUAUGUACUUCAUCCUUAUUAGCAACCUUAUGUAUGAGUUUACUUACCAAGCUGACGGCUUAUCCCUCGUCUCCAACAUUUUGCAGAGUGAUGUUAGAGAUGGUUUUUAGAGAAGAAGAUUUGUUAGCCGAAAGCUUUGGGCAUUUUCGUGAUGGAUAAAUUGUUGCUAUUUUGGUUAUUAUUUUAGAGUUGAAUUUGGUAUUGGAGGAUUAUUGUUAUAUUUAUUAUUUUAGAGACUAUGUUUCGACCUUGGACAUUAUUGAUUUUCUUUUGGGAAUAGUAAUAAGAAUUAAUUGUUUAGAGAUUGCAUUCUAAAUUUCUUUUAGAAUUCUUGGGAAAAUUUGGGGUGUUACAAAACUAUUGCUCAAGAUUGUUCCAAAGCUCACGACAAAUUUUAAAGUUUAGCAUAAGACUGAGAAUUUCCAAACUGAUAGAGGACAUCAGCCAGCUCAGUAGCACUUGAUUCUUUCUCUUCUAGGUAGUGAAUGCUAGAUUUUCUUAUGUAACUUCCGCAGUGGAGUUGUUAGUUUCAUCAGGAAGAAACUGAUCUAGAUAGUGUUUGGAACUAUCAAGAAGAUCUUCAAGUCCAUUAGCACGAACUGAAGUGAGAGUUUGAGAUUUCCAUAUCAUGUAGUUUCAUAUAUCAAGCUUAACAAGUGAGGUAAAGGUGAAUGAGGAAACAGAGGACACUGUGUUUGGAUUUGAGCUUGAAGUAGCCAUAAGAGCUUAUACAUCUAGCUUUGAUACCAAGUUAAAGUUUGAGUUCUUGUCUGGUUAGUGAAAUGAGGGAAAAUUUAGAGAGUUGUGAAUUGAUUCAAUUAUAUUAACACUGCUUCAUUAAAAUCCACUUUUCCAACCAUAGACGCAACCAAUGAGAUACAUAACCAGUGAGCUAGAUGCAUAGAGUUGUAUGUUUUGGUGCAACUCUUUGUUAUGAUGUAUAAAAAAUCGCCAUCACAUUUCAAUUGUUUUCUAUGAAGCUAAUGAAAUUUUUGUCUGUCAAAGUAACCAUGUCGUUUUCAUUAAUAAGUGGUGGCGGUGUGGUGGCAGUGCCUUGUGGUUGGCCAAGCGGUGAGUAUCUCCAAGGUUUAGAACGACCUUGACGUAAACUUGAUUGGGGGAUGACAAAUUAUAAUAUUGUUGAGUAAGAGGUGUGAAGGUGCUAAGGAUUUUGAUGAGAAGAAGAAAUGAAAGUAAGAGAAAUAGAAAUGAUUCUGCUCACUACAAGAAAAAUGGUAUUUUAUUACAAAAAAUUUCGUCAUUAAAGAUAACAAAUUAGUCAUCUUAUAUUUUUUAUGAUAAAAAAUAUAUCGUUACACGUUAGUCGUGGAAAGACUGUCUUAAAAACUUCUAGCGACCAGAAUUAUUUUCGUCAUAUUAAAGAUAUGUUUUUGUGGCAAAAAUUAUUAUUGUCUUAAAAUUAAGUUAAAAUUGUCACAAACAGUAUUAAAAAAGAUCGAAUUAGAUAUUCAAAAAAGCAAUUAAUGACACUUCAUAUUUGUCACAAUUGUUGAUUUAUAGUGACUAUAGUAUUUGUCUCAAGAGUAUGUAAAUAGAGUCUCAAUUUGUCUCAAGAGUAUGUAAAUAGAGUCUCAAUAAUUAUUAAAAAUUGUCAUUUUAGAGGUUUGGAUAUACAAUUAGCAAUGCUAUUUUUCUGUUAUUGAAGUUCACGCGGCAAUAUACAAUUGGUAAUUAAUUUAGUCUCAAAUUUGUUAUGAAGGCGGUUUAUAUAGUCUCACAUAAAUUUUAAUAACAAUAUGUAGUUAUAGAAAUCAAAAUUUAAUGACAAAAGAACUUUAAAGUGAAAAAUAUUAUUAACAUAAAUACAAUUCAUGACAAAGAAAUCUAAAAUCUAAAAUGUAAAAAAAAAAAAAAUUCAUGUCCAAAAAUAUGAUUACAUUGUAGAAGAAAAAUAAAAGUAACAUUACACAAACGGAGAGAUAUGUAAACCAUAGUUGUUUCAUGAAUUCUUCAACUUCCUUAGAUUUGCUAUUUUCUUCCUUGAUUUUAAUUUUUGAUUCUCGUUUUGUUGAGUCAAUGUUGUGGUAGAUGAUGACUUUAAAGGUACAUGUCAUUUUAAAUCUUUACAAAAUUAAAGAUUUUCCCCAAAACUAUUUAGCAAAUUUAAUCAUAUAUUACUUCAAAAUAAUAAUAUAAUCAAAAGAUUACAAGCACAUAAUCAUCCUCGAUUCACUUGCACAAAUUUUACAUCCAAAACUCUUUAAAUUAAUCUAUCAAAUAGUUGGAGUCAAACUUGAACCAAAUUAAACUAUUAAGCAGUCAAUGAAUCAAUAUUUAUAAUAAAUAUAAAAUUGAAAGAAAUAAGAGAUUGAGUAAAUAAUAAUAAUAAUAAUAAUAAUAAUAAUAAUAAUAAUAAUAAUCAUCAUCAUCAUCAUCCUCCUCAUAAGAUAGCUUACACAUUUAGAUUUUGUAUGGAAACUACUUGAACCUUUUACGCUCACUUUAAUACAUCUUCUGAAACAAAGUAAUCUGGGAGAGACUCCACACUUUUUUAUUACCCCAGUAUAAAAGAAGAUAAAUACAUUAAUUUUAAUUAAACAUACAACAACCACAUUAGGGGAAAAAAACCAAGGCUUGUUGACCUUUAUUAGUUUAUUUAAUCACUUCAUAUAUGUUUCCUGGGAAAUUCAACAACAUUUUGAGCAAAUUGUACCAACCCAAGCUUCAACACCAUCCUGCGAACCAACAUAUCAAAGCUUCAUAAUAUUUGAUAGUUAAGAUUUUGUUCUAUAACUCUAACUUAUAAUUAUUGGUUGGACUUGAAUAACUUAUUAACUCUUUUCAUUAUAUUAAUACUAGCUAAAAUUUUCUUUAAAAAUUAAAGAAAGAUGAUUAAUUACAUACCAAGAUGAAGUGAACGAUAAUAGAAAUAUCCCAAUUUUCUAAAGUUCUUACGAAGAAAUUUUUUGGUUGUUUUGGUGUUUUGGCGGGGGGGAGAAUCUAAUGUCAUCACACCUAAUUCCUAAAUCCACUGCCCAAAUUGAAAAGCAAAGUCAUCUUAAUAUCCUAAUUUUACAAAAGUUUCUCAAAAACAACUAAACUUCGCUUCCAAUUUCCUUCAUUUAUUUUGUGUAUUUUAUGUUUUUCUUUUACUAGAUUAUAUUAGGAAUUUUAUCAAAAACUUGAUAAGCAUAAAAAUAUUCAAAUAAUAGAUCCAAGAAUUUUAAUCUCUAAUUUCACCAAACACAUGAUGCAAUCACAACUAAACUAAUCAAAAUUAAAUUUGAUGAGUUCAUAAAUGAUACUUAAAAGUACUAGGAGAGAUGAGAGUGAAUUUUGUCGAGUGGCUUAUUUUGGCAUGCAUGAGUGGACUGGUGAGGGGUGGCGUCCUUCUGGGCGGCAGCAAAGGGCGUGGUUCUAAUGGCCCGCACGGUGGCUAAGGUAGAAUUAAGAUGUUGCCUCCCCGAAUUGAACGUAUCAAACAACAAACAAACAACAUAUUUUUGAAUUAACGAAAAACAUAAAAGGGGAAACAAGACAAACCAAUGACAAAAAUCAAAUCUUUUACUCAAUAAACAACACCCAUAUAAGAAAAUUGAACCAAAAAUGAAAGGAAAAGUGAAAAAUUACCAUGAGUGGAAGACAAGACAAGAUAGGUAAAGACGACUAUUUGUUAAGGUAAUAGAGCGCCACGUGUCAGCCAAUGGAAUGAUAUCAGCACAAUCGGAGGUACCCUGCAUAAUCCGAGGUGCCCGGCAUGACUUGAGGUACCCCGUAUAAAUAGAGGUACCCUGCACAAUUAGAGGUAUCCCACACAAAUAGAGGUACCCCAUAUGAUAUGAGGUACUCCAUACAAAUAGAGGUACCCCAUACAGAUAGGGGUACCCCGCGUAAUAGGGGGUACCCCAUGUAAUUCAAGGUACCCGGCAAAGCGGAUGCAAGAGAAUCCACCGAAAAUACCCGCCAUGAGAAACGUCUCCGCCUCCUAAAAGAUAUCAUUUGAUUUAGUCAGAAUUAGGAAUCAAAAGCGACGUGCUAAAANNNNNNNNNNNNNNNNNNNNNNNNNNNNNNNNNNNNNNNNNNNNNNNNNNNNNNNNNNNNNNNNNNNNNNNNNNNNNNNNNNNNNNNNNNNNNNNNNNNNNNNNNNNNNNNNNNNNNNNNNNNNNNNNNNNNNNNNNNNNNNNNNNNNNNNNNNNNNNAAUAACGGCCCAAAAACAAUUAUAAAAGAGGUAAAAGGACGUUAGCCAAAAAGGGUAUGCCACGUGGCAGCUGAGGUACUCCAUAUAUAAAGGUGCCUAGGUUUCAUUCUCCAUCAUGUUCUCACUCACCAUUAACACUCACACUCCGAAAAUAGAGGUUUUCUUCAACCUUAAACCCUAAAUUUACAGAGGGCUGGCCAGCUCUCUUUACCAUAAAAGCUUGAGUUUGCUAACUUGAGCGUCGGAGUGUGAAGCCGGGGUACCCCGGCUUCACCUCUAACCUCAAUUUCACUUUUUGCAGGCGUGAAGCUCAUUUGGAAGGACACCUCUCUUGUUUCUGACAUUCCACCAUUGUUACUACUCUCUCUCUCCCCUUCUCACCUCCCCCGGAUUUUAGAUACACCACACCGCACACAACAAACCAGUGAGGUACCCCAUCUCCCCCAAAAAUAUAAAUUUAUUGUUCUAGACUGGUUUGGCUUUUCUUACCCCAAAAUCAGUUGAAAACAAUAGGUAAAGACGACUAUUUGUUAAACUAAUCUUGAAAUAAUCAUUCACACACACCAGCAAUUGGAAGAGGGGUUGGGGUGUUGGGAAGAUAACGUUGGGUAGUUUUGAACGUGAAGUGGCCACUUAAUGUGUCUCUGAAAAUUUAGGUUUUAUUUAAGUUUUAUUUUUUCUAAUAUAUAUAUCCAACUUAAAUAACUAUUAUAAGGUCCUUCUAAAAAUAAAAAAGAAGCAAUUAUAAGGUUAUUAUCAAUGGUUUGAAGAAAAAAAAGUCAAUCAUCAUUUUUUAUUAAUCCAAGUUAAUUAUUUUUAGGCUAUUAUUUUAAUUUUUAUUAAUCUAGCAUUGUUAACCAAAAUUUGUAUGAAGCUAAACAAUAAUGUCUCUCUGAAAAAGAAAAAAUAUCAAUUAUUAUUCUCUUUUUUUUUUAGUGACGUAAUUUUCGUCAUAAAAAAAUUAAUCAGAUACUAAAUAAUUUGUCUCUGAAAAAAUGGUCAUGAAAUACAAUAUUACUCAAGACAAAAUUUUAGACUAUUAUUUUUUAGUUUUGUUACAGUAAGUAAUUAUCUAUGACAAAAAAAAAGGGUCUUAAAAUUAAUCAAAUCCAUAUUAGUUUUGGAGACUAAUAUUUUUCUGUCACAAAUUAUUUGAUCAAUUUCACAUCUCUUCUUCAGUUACGAAAUAAUAAUGUCACCUAUAAUUAAAUUUUGCUACCGUAUUUUUUUAUCAUAAAAGAUGAUAUUUUGUCAGAAAAUGGUCAAAUUUUGGAGGGAAGUUUUUAAGCAAAAAAAAAUGCAUGUCCUUUUGCGACUAAUUUUAUGUUUGUCAUAAAAUAUUUGAUUAGGUGACAAAUUACUGGGUCGUAAAAUAAAUAUUAUUGAUUACAAAAUAUAACAUAAGCCAAGAUGAGAUUAUUGGCUACGAUUUUAAAAAACAAUCGUCAUAAUAAAUAUUAUUUUAUGACAAAAGCUGCAAAAGUCAUAGAAGAAGGCAUCUUAAAAAAUCAAAUUUCUUGUAGUGGCUGUUGUCAUUUAGUUAUUGCUUUUUAUGAUAUUCAAAAAAGUGUUGAGAAAGAUGAUCAUGUUCUCUGAAGAUAAAAUCUAAGUAUUCGCCCUACUUCUUGCCUUUGAUAACAUGAAAUCUUGUAUGAAGUGAAUUGUUGCUUGAUAAAGUUAAGGAUACCAUCCGACAAUGAUAUGCUUACAAAAAGUAGUAUAAAAAAUAGCUCACCAUCACUGAAAGAUAGAUAAAAUAACCAGAGAACAAUUUUUUUUUUUGUCUUUUGUACUUUUUGUACUAAAUUGUAUGAUAUUUUCAAUACAUGUAUCAUUAUUUUAUUAUGUCUUGUUUACCAGUUUAGAGACCUAUGUGGCUUUUGUGUUUGAAUAUUAUGGUAUUUCUCAAAAGUCAAACGAGUCAAAUUGUACAAUUCUGAGAAAAAAAAAAAAGUCUUCUAGGACCCCUUUUUUGUUUUGUUUUUCUUAACAAGACAUAAAGUGAUCUUUAUUUUUUAUUUUUUUUGAAAUCAUGUGAUUUUUAGUUUGAUAUUAUGAUUUACUUUGUCUAAUUAACUGAGUUUAUUUAGAGAAGACUUUUUUUUUUCUUUUUUUGCUUUUAGAAAAUAGAAAAAUAGAUUUGGUCUAUUAUACAAAUAGGAAGGCCUUACAUUGAUGUUUCUUUUUUAAAUACUAAAUAAUAUGUUGGUACAUGAGAUCUACUAAUAUUUAAAAUCACAAAUUUAUUGGGACUAACUUAGAUUAAUUCUCUAUUACAGUUUAGAUUUUAUUCCAACAUAAGGAUAUAUUUAUAAUAUAUCAUCUCUAUUUCAUUGUCUGGGUACAUAAGUGAGAUUUUUUGUGAAAUUUCUUGCAGCAUCUUGAUGAGUUCUGGUGGUGGCAGCAUCUUGCGAUUGACAGAGCGAGGAGUGCUAAUAUAUCCGAUGGCUGGGUAAUACGUCAUCGUUUUGUUGCUUGGGCUCGAGGAAUGCCAGGUUUAGUACGGCUUUGGUGUAGAAUUGAUUUGGUACUGAUGGCAAAUUAUUGCAAUAUUUUUGAGAGAGAGGUGUGAAGGUUAAGAUUUUGCAGCGGAGAAGAAUUGAAAGUAUAAGAAGUAGAAAUGAUUUUGCCAUUCCCAUUGCUUUCUAAUUUCGGAUUAUCGUGUGAGCAAGAUGAUAUAUAGCCGGCUAAUGGACCUUGGAGAAUUUCUAAAAGAGUGGUGAUAUUGUACCAUUCAGAAAUUUUUUUGAUGAUAAAAUUAGUAAUCGCCCUAGUUCUUGCCUUUACAUAAUAAAACCUUUGCAUGAAACAUUUGAUAGAAUUAAUCGAAUUAAAAAAAAUAGACAAAAUACUGACGAAAACAACAGUACUGAAAUAAUAAUAAUUUAAUUAAUUAACACGUUAAAUGGGCAGUAAUACGUCAGUUCUGUCUCUUUAUCAUUUUCUAUAAAUUGAAGAAUAUUAUAUUCAUUUUAGACUAACCGGAACUUCAUGUGUCUAGUUUAUGAGACCCAUGUGGCUUUUGUCUUUGUGAUAAUAACACUGUAGAAUUCUAAAAAGUUUGCAAUUUUUUAAUUUUUAAUUUCAUGUAUUUAAUACUUGAUUUUUCAGUUUGAUUGUGAUUCACUUUCUUGAAUUGAGUUAAUUUAGAGAAUAGCUUAAUCUAUGAUAUUGCGGAGAUUUAGUAAAAUUUUCCGUUCAGAUUUAGCCAUUGUGUCACCUUCUUUCAAUAGAUACAAAUCACCCAAAAGUUCUUGAUUUUGGUAGUUUGCGCUUUGUAUUGCAACGUACGGUGUGUUCUAUAUGAGAAAAAAAAAAUAUUAAACAUUUCUGUUGUUUUCUUGCAGUGCCACCUGAUGCUUGAUCUUUUUAGUCAUCAAAUUGAUGUUUUAUCUGUUCAUUUGUAUCAACGAGUUAAGAGAAUUAACAGUUUUCUAGAUAUUUUGUACACAUAAAAUAAUGCCAUAAUUGAAUUUGCCCAUGGCCAUGCACAUACAAGUAGUCAAAGCAAAAGAAUCCACAUUCUAAUUUAAAAGAUCAAAUCUAAUGCCACGAAUAUAUAUAUAUAUAGUCAUAACUAAAAUUUCGUACUUCUGAUGUCUAAGUUACAGACAACAACAAUUGUUUUUGUGCCCAGCCACUUUUGUCGUAAUCAUUUUGUGGGAAAUAGAAAUUGGAUCAGAUACCCUAAAAUGCUUCUUUAAUAACCCUUCUUAUUUUCCAGUAGAGUUGUAUCUGACUGCUGGCUCCUUAACUUGUCUUCCAAGAAAUCCAAUGCAAAUGACUGCAAGAACAAGUAAAAAGCUCAUAUCACGACAGAAUCUUGAAUCUUCAUCUAUUAUUAUUCAGCAUUAGGAAAGAUAUACAUAUAAUAAUAAUGAAGGGUGAAAAAUAUGCACACCUUUAUGUUGCUUAGGGUCAAUUCACCAUUCAAUACAUACUUCUCGCCAUUGAAAAAGCCAUUGACAGCAAUUACCUGCAUUGAAAUUUGCAUAGCAACCCAAUUUUUCGUAUUUAAUUACGGAGGAAAUUAAAAAAAAAAAGCAUUCAUAAAGAUUUAACAGAAUCUGAAGAUAAAGCAAGGAACUCACUCUUGGAGCGUGACCUGUGAUGCCAAAAUAAUCAGAAAUUUGUCUCCUAUCAGUUUGCAUGCAACAAGUCCAUUUGAAAAUACACAAAGAGAAGCUGGCAAACAAUUAAUUUCAUCAAUUAUUAUUUAAGAUCAUAAUGAUAAUUAUUUUGAAAGGCUAUUAAUUUCAGUGGGUUUCUGUUAACCAAGUUUCGACAAAAUUUUGCUUGAUCUCCCUACAUCUCUAUAUUUACCUUUCCUUUAAAAGCUUUGGCUGCCUCUUGAAAUAUUGAUUUAGUCUCAGAAUCAUGAACAGUGGCAAAAAGCCAUAACUGAGAACAAAUUUAUGAACUCGUUAAGACCUGAAAAUUUUUUAAUUUUUCCAAGGUAAAGAUGAUGUAAACUAAUAAUUACCUCUUGCAAGCGGGAAUCUAAAAUCAAUGCAGCAGUUUCCCUGGUGUAAGUAAUCAUCGGAGGAAUCUUAUUCAAUGAUAUGAAGUCAUAAAUUCUUGCAUCAGUAAAUGGACCAUCUCAGAAAAUGGAGCAAAAAAUGCACAAGGCUUGUGUAAAUUUUCCAUUUUGAAGCACUCAUAAUCAUUUGCAGAGAGAUAACUUCUAAAACAAAGCAAAGUGGCUAAGCUGUUUAGAUUCCUUUUCCAGCAAGACUAGAGCAGGGCGUUUGAUUUCUGGGUCAAUCAGAAACAUCUUUGCAACAUCAGCUCUAGUAGUUUGAAAGAAUAUAACAUCAGGAUGCAGCUUUGAUGCGGCCGCAAGCUUUUCAUUUUCCGUGCCCUAACAAACAAAAUUGAGUCUUUUGUAACAUUUAUGAUUCAAUAAGAGAUGUUAAAAUAGAAACAGUCUAAGAAAUUGCUCAUAUUAUGUGAGUGGGAGUGGACCUUUAAAGAGUCAAGGAAUCCCAAAGCAAUUGUAGAUUCAGCUGUUAGUAAGUGCUCCGCUUUCUCUAUUUUCAUCAAGGUGUAAAGAUCACCAGACAUCUUAGUCUUUAUAUAAUUCACAAUAGCAUCCCUUCAAAACCAAAAUUUGUGUUAGGUUAGGUUAUUCAUUUUGCACACUUUCUCAACAACCAAACAGAUUUAGAAGGGUUAUAUUGAACAAAAAAAAAUCCAACAAAAGAAAACAAAUGUUCAAAGAACAAAAAGAAAACUCACUUCGUCCUGCUAUAAUAAUAAGUAUUCACACGCACUCCAUUAACAAAGAAAUAAACAGUUGGGUAUGCUUGAAUUCUCCAUUUUUUCGCUAACUCUAUCACGCUCAUAGCAUUAACUUUUGCUAGCACUGAUUUUCCCUUCAGCUCAGUGGCAGCGGCUUCAUAUUCUGGAGCAAGUUUCUUGCUCUGGGGGGACCAUGGUGCAUAAAAAAGCACCAUCACAUGCUGAUUCUUGGCUAUAACAUGAUUAAAAUUCUUGUCACUUAGUUUCACCACCACAUCUUCUUUUUCAUCAAUUGCCGGUGGCAACUUGUGCUUUUGAUCAUUGAAACUGUUGUAAGAAUCUGAAAGUUCAACCGUGUUUCCGUAAGAGAUUGGAGGGAGUUUCUUGAAUACGGAAACACACAAUACAUAGCCUCCAUCAUAAUCUAUUUUGUAAACACAGAAAGGCGAAAGCCGAAAAAGAAUAAACAAAAGAAAUAUUGUGGUGGAGAGCAUAAGGAGAUAAGCUUUUGUUGACAUUGUUGAGCAGCCGGCCUAGAGUAGGUGUUCUGUAAUUUGUACUUGAAAUCUUCAAACAAUUGUUGGCUAAUGACAAGAGAAAAGUAAUUAAAUGCUCCUUGUGUUAUUUAUUUUCAAAGAUGCAAACAAAAGGCUAAAAAUAUUUUUUUUUAAAAAGUUAUCUUGAUUUCUUUUCAGAAAUUACAUUGUUAACACAUUGUUGAUAGAAAGGAACCCUCUAGCCUGACAAAGCACAAUCGAUGAAGGCAAGAUCCACAUGCUUCUGUGAACAUCACUAUGGAACAGUACUGUCACUGAAUCUUGAUCAUCUCUUAUUAUAAUCUUUAAAAAGCAUCCGCUUGGAAUUUGUAUUAGAAACUUUCUGUACGUGAAUGGAAUACCUACAUUGGUUCACAAAUUUAAUUAACUUCUCCAAUUAUUUCUUUCUGGAUCAACUUCAGUAUUUCUGAGACGUAUGCAGAGUUACACAAAUUCACCACCAAUUGGAACAAAAUGUCAAAAACAUAUUGUUGCAAAUAUCACAUACUAACGGAAACUUGCUUCUCUUGCUUUCUCAUUUCAAUUGGGACUAGAGUGACAUUUCUUUUGAGUUCAAAAAUGAGAAACAUCUCUGUGUGCCCAAUCCAUAUCUUGCGGAAUCCUUUGAAGAACGGGCUGAAUCACACCAGGAGGAAGAUACAACUAGGCCCAACACAAAACCUGUUGCAGGCCCAUCGCGAAUGAGAAAAUCACCCAGCUGACUAAAGGAUUAUGUUGUUUGAGGAGCAGGAAGUUGUGGAUUCCUUUCUAAAAUCUUUUAUCAGUUUGAUAUUUUCUUUUAGCUUUACAAUUGCUAUUUUUUGUAACCAUCUUCUGUUAGAGAUUUUGUUAGAGGUUGUUAGAGGUGAAGCAUAUAAGCAUUGUAAGGUUUAAAAAGCAAAGGAAUGAAAAUACUCAGUUCUCUUUCUUCUCUAGAAUUUUCUUUCUUCUUAAUCUAUGUUCUGCUCUUAAUUCUUUUUUAUUUGGAGCUGGCACUCGCUCCAAGAGUGUUUUGUUAAGUUGAUUUGCUUGUGUUGUAGGACAAGCGUAUCAUUGGUGCUUUCAUUGACUUUUCCAUGGCUGAUUCAGAGGUGUUGGCAUCAAUGAAGGCACUCCAAACGCAAUUUGAAGGCCAAACAAUUGCGAUUCAUCAAAACUUGUAGCAGUACAUGUCCACAGUGGAUUUUCAUCUUGAGGAUCUACGUUCUCAUAUCCAAGGGUCUUCAAGUGUUUUGGUUGCAUCAUCAGGUUCUGCACAUCGCUCUUCUCUAGUUGCGGAGGGGUAUUCAGGACACACCGAUCUCUCGCUGGUAUUACAAUAAAUGAAAAUGGAGGUUCCCAAGUUUGAUAGCUCUGACCCGAAUGGGUGGGUGUUUCGUAUUGAAGAGUUUUUCGAUUUCCAUGAAACUCCAAAGCACUUGCGCCUUCGCAUCAUCGCAUUUCACAUGGAGGGGAGAGCGGUAGCCUGGUACCAAUGGAUGAAGGCGAACAAACUAAUAACAACAUGGAAAGAUUUUCUAAUUAGUUUGAAACAUCAGUUUGGUGCUUCAAUGUAUGACAAUCCUCAAGGUACACUUUCCAAACUUACACAAACCACCAUAGUCGCAAAGUUUCAGUCAGCCUUUAAAGAUUUGAUGAAUAAGGUCACUGGAAUCUCUGAACCCUUGUUGAUUAGUUUUUUUAUCAUUGUUUGAGAACAGAUAUUCGCAAGGAGUUGAUGUUUUCCCGCCCCACAUCUCUGAUAGAUGUCUUUACUCUCGCAAAAGCUAAUGAAGCUCGUUUAGAGGAGGCUAAAAUGAGUGGCUGCCCUUGGACUAAAUGGCCCCCACCGUCGGCCCCAACUAUGACCAUUCCAUCCAUCAGCAAAAUUCCUCCACCUUCACAUGUGCCUGUUCCUACCCCCACCACAAACAGUUCCCCUGUAGCUCCUACAACACACCAACCUCCUAAACAAACAAACCUUCUAGCCCUUUUACCUACACCAAAUUUACCAGUUCGCCGCCUCACUCCAGCUGAAUUACGAGACAAACGAAAAAAAUGAUUGUGUUAUAACUGUGAUCAAAAGUAUAGCACAAACCAUCACUAUCGUAGUAAGUUUUUUAUUCUUAUGGGGACUGGCGAUGAUGAAAAUGAGGAUACUAUGAAGUUGGCCAUGGCGGAGCCAUUCAAGGAAAUGGUACCGACAGAUAUUUCAAGCUUGAACGCCCUCGUGGUGCAGGUGAAUCCCCAUUCACUUUGACUGAUUGGCAAGGUUGGUAACCACUGCUUUCAAGUGCUUAUUAAUAGUAGGAGUACCCACAAUUUUAUUAAACCUGUGUUUGCUGAACGAUUGGGACUUCCUAUUCAACCCACGACUCAUUUUCGAGUUUAUAUUGGCAAUGGUGACUUCUUGGUAUGCCAACUAUAUUGUCUGCAAGUGGCUCUGACUAUGCAAGAUUAUGCAUUUACUUUGGACUUAUUUGUUUUACCAAUUGAGGGGUCGGAUGUGGUUUUGGGUAUUCAGUGGCUUCAACGCUUAGAGAGGGUGUCUCAUGACUAUGCCGCCAUGACGAUCAACUUCUAUUGGGAUGGGAAAUUGGUCAGCCUUUGUGGGGACGUCACCAAUUCACCGAGUUUAAUUACUUUUAACCAAUUUCAAGCCCUUAUGCAUAGCACAACUGUUCAGAACCUAUUUGAGCUACAAUAAAUACAUUCGCAGCAAGAUGGAGGCUCCGGAGACUUAGAACUUCCAGUUUCACUGCCCACUCUGAUUUCUCACCUCCUUUACAAAUUUCACAACUUAUUCCGCCCCUCAACAGGCCUUUCCUCACACUAUUUCAUUAACUAUAGAAUUCUCCUACUACCAAACACAAAACCAGUGAAUGUUCGGCCUUAUCGCUAUCUUCACUUCCAAAAAACAGAGAUGGAGAAGUUAAUUCGCGAAAUGUUGGAGCAAGGUGUAAUAAAACCAAGCCACAACCCUUUUUCUUCCCCGGUGUUACUAGUGAAAAAAAAGGAUGGCACCUAUCGCUUUUGUGUGGACUAUCGUGCCUUAAAUGCGGUUACUAUCAAGGAUAAAUUUUCUAUUCCAACAAUUUAUGAACUACUGGAUGAAUUGGGUGGUGCAACCAUUUUCAGCAAAUUAGACUUGAGGGCUGGUUAUCACCAGAUUCGAGUGCACAACAGAGACAUAUACUAGAUAGCUUUUCGAACUCAUGAAGGGCACUACGAGUUUCUUGUGAUGCCUUUCAGCUUGACGAAUGCUCCAUCUACAUUUCAAGCUACCAUGAAUCAAAUUUUUGCUGCAUUCUUACGUAAAUUUGUCGUUGUUUUUUUUUCUUUUUUGAUAUAUUGGUGUAUAGUUCAUCUUUGGCUGAUCAUGUCUCUCACUUGGAGCAAGUUUUAAGUUGCUUACAUAGUCAUUAUUUCUUCAUCAAACUUUCCAAAUGCCUUUUCUGCCAAGAAACAAUUAAGUAUUUGGGUCAUUUGGUUUCUACUGGAGCUGUUCGUGCAGAUCUACAGAAAAUUACAGCCAUGGUCAACUGGCCACCACCGACGUCCUUGAAACAAUUGCGAGGGUUACUUGGCCUCAUGGCCUAUUACAGGUGUUUUAUUAAAUGAUAUGCUUCUAUUGCUACACCCCUCACUGACUUAUUAUGUAGAGAUGUUUUCAAUUGGACUCUAACAGCAACCAUCACAUUUGAGGCCCUCAAACAAGCUAUGGUGGAAGUCCCGGUAUUGCGAUUACCAAACGUCGAGUUGGAUUUCAUCAUUGAGACCGAUGCAUCAAAUGUCGGUAUUGGUGUAGCGUUUAUGCAAGACAACCACCCAAUCUCCUACUUUAGUAAAAAGUUGGGACCAAAACUUCAAGUGGCAUCAACAUAUAUCAAGGAGUUACAUGCCACUGCCGAGGUUAUCCACUAGUGGCGACAAUAUCUUCUUGGUCGUUUUUUCAUUAUUCGCACCGAUCACAAAAGUAUCAAGGAACUUCUGCAACAAGUUAUCCAAACACCUAACCAGCAGGUGUAUAUCCGAAAAUUGAUUGGUUAUCACUUUAAGAUUGAAUACAAGCCCAGUCGAGCAAACCAGGUAGUUGAUGCUUUGUCUCGCGUGCAUGAAGAUGAGCCUGUGGAGGCACCCAAGAGAUACUCUGCCUAUUUGCUAUUGGUUUCCAGUCCAACUUUUGACUUGUUAGAAACUCUACGCUUGGAGAAUACCACUUGUCCAAACUUGGUACUCUUUCAUAAGCACUUUGCCACAAGUGAGCUCUCCCUUGAUUUUUCUAUUUAUGAUGGAUUACUUUUCUUCCGCCACCACUAUUAUGUUAGCUCUCAAUCCUCCUUGAAUUCAAUCUUGCUCCACGAAUUUCAUGCUACCCCAUGGGCUGGACAUGCUAGUAUAAAAUGAACCUUGGUUCGCUUAGCUUCGGCAUUUUAUUGGCAUAAGAUGAGAACUAAUGUUGAAAAAUUUAUAGCUGCUUGCCUAACCUGCCAACAAAUCAAGCAAUCAACUCAAGCCCCAGCAGGGUUGUUACAACCACUACCUAUUCAAUUGUUAGUAUGGGAUAAGGUCACUAUAGAUUUCAUUACGGGCUUGCCACUAUCACGAGGGCUCACUACUAUCCUUGUCGUUGUGGACUGUCUAACUAAAUCAACACAUUUUAGAGCUCUACCUUCUCAAUUUUCAGUUAUGACGGCAACAGACUUAUUUGCUAACAUGGUUGUUAAACUCCAUAGUUUUCCUAGUUCCAUUGUGUCGGAUCGUGAUCCAAUUUUUAUGAGCAAUUUUUUGAAGAAGCUUUUUGAACUAAGUGGCAUUUCCCUAAGGCAUAGCAUAGCCUAUCAUCCGCAGACUGAUUGGCAAUCCGAAGUUGUGAACCGCAGGCUUGAACAAUAUUUACUAGCUUUCACUCAAGAAAAACCACAAUCGUUGGUCUCUCUACUCUACUAGGCAGAGUUCAGUUACAACUCCAGCUAUCACAGUGGUCUCAAGAUGACACCAUUCCAGGCAUUGUAUGGGCGUAAUCCACUUACUAUCCUAGCUUACUCUAAGGGCUCUACUUUAAUCCAAGCUCUCAAUGAUGCGCUGACAGAGCGAGAUGCUCUCUUGCGCUUCUUAAAGGAGAAUUUACGCCAAGCUCAGCAUUGAAUGACACAAAAGGCUAAUGCCCAUCAGCGUGAACUCCAACUCAAUAAAGGAGAUCGUGUGCUUGUCCGCCUUCAACCAUAUCGACAGACAUCUUUAGCUCAACGAGCAUCCCUGAAGUUAGCGAAGAGGUAUUACGGACCAUUUACAGUAUUGGAACAUGUCGAGCCAGUGGCAUACAAGCUGAACCUUCCGUUAGAUUGCAAAAUUCAUUAUGUCUUCCAUAUUUCAAUGCUCAAACCCUUCAGCGUUCCAGCCCUAUCAAUGGGUUACCCUUACCUCGUGAUAGCAUCAACAAUCGACCACUCUUAUACCCAGCUACUAUUUGUGCCACAUAGAUAGUCUUGCGUCAUGGGAAAGAAGUUCAACAUGUUCUGGUGCAGUAGUCAGAUAGCGCUCUAGAAAAUGCCACCUAGGAAGAUUUCUUUGAGUUUUCGCACCUCUAUCCUGAUUUCACCUUGAGGACAAUGUGAUUUUUCAAGCCUCAGGGAAUGAUACAGCAUUGCCAAUCUCGAACAGUGUUUUGUUGAGUUGAUUUGCUUGUGUUGCAGGACAAGCGUAUCAGUACCAUUUGUGCCACGUUCUCUUAAUAGAAAAAUAUAACCCAAAAGUUCUUGAUUUUGGUAGUUUGUUCUUUGUAUUAGAACGUACAACGUGUUUCAUGAGAAAAAAUAAUAAAAAUUUGCUCUUACUUUUCUUGCAAUCUAACAAGGUGCUUGAUCAUUUUGGUUAUCAAUUGAUGUUUAUCUAUUGAAUGCGGUUAUCAAUGAGUUAAAUGAAUAUAAUUAAAGGUCUGAUAGAUAUUUUUAUAUAUAGAACAUAUGCCAUUAUUUAAUGUGACCUCUGCCGUUAAACAUAUGAAGGCACGAAUAGUGAUUAACUGGAAUAUCUAAGUUAAACAACACUUCUUAUUGCAUCCAAUCAUUUUGUGGGAAAGGGAAAUUGAAUCAUAUACACUAAAUUGCUUCUUUAGUCAUCAUAUCUGGUACUGGAAGUCUAGUUAAUGACUUUUGCUGAAGUUGUAUUUGAGAAAGAGCUGUUUUUGACUGUUGGUUCCUGAACUUGUCUCCCAAGAAAUCCAAUGCAAAUGACUGUAGGAUCUCAAAUCAUGACAAAAUUGUGAAUCUUAAGCCAUUUUUCUGCAUUAGGAAAAAAAUAUAUAAUAACAAUUAUGGUGAAAAGAAUGCAAACCUUUACAUUGCUCAGGGUCAGUUCACCAUUCAAUACAUACUUCUUGCGUUUACGAAUGCUAGCGACAGCAAUUACCUGCAAGUAAAUUUGUACAGUAACCCAUUUUUUCAUAUUGAUGUAUAAGACAAAAGCUACACCGCAAUCAUAAAGAUUUCACAGAAUCAAGGUAAAGCAGGAAACUCACUCUUGAAGUAUGACCUGUGACACCGAAAUAGUCAGAAAUUUGUCCCUUAAGUUUCGGGUACAUUUGCGAAUACACAAAGAGAAGCUGGCAAACAGUGAUCAAGAUAAUAUAAAAUCAUAAUAAUAAAAUUAUGUUGACAGACAAUUAAUUUAAAUGGCUUUCAGUUAUCAAGUUUCAACAAGUUUUGCUUGAGCUCGCUACAGAGAUUAAUCUACUAAAUACAAGUCUCUGCAUUUACCUUGCCUUUGAAAGCUCUAACUGUCUCUUGAAAUAUUGAUUUAGCCUCAGAAUCAUGCACAGCCGCAAAAAGCCAUAACUGAGAACAAAUUCAGGAACAUGUUCAAACCAUAAAUCUUUCACAUUUUCCCGAGGAAAAGAUGUAAAAUGAUAAUUACCAAUUUCAAGGGGGAAUUUAAAAUCAAUGGAGUAGUUUCCCUGGAGUAAGUAAUCAUCGGAGGAAUCUUAUUCGAUGAUAUGAAAUCAUCAAUUACUGAUAUAGUAAAAGAACCAUCUGAGAAAAUGAAGCAAAAAACGGACAGGGCAUGUAUAAACAGAGGCGGAUGCAGCACAUGACUAGUGGGGGCUCAAGCCCCCAUUGGCCAAAAAAAAAAUUUAAAAAUAAAAGAAUUUUUUUUAAUUUUUUAAUUAACCCCAUUAAAUUUAUUAAAAUAGUCACUAUAAAAUGUAAAACCCAUAAAAUUUAAACUUUGACUUUAAAAAAAUAUAAAAAUAUAUAUUUUAAUUAAAAAUAAUGAUAGCCCACUACUCAAAAUAUUUUAUAUUCUAAAAAAUAUGGUUAAUUCUUCCAAUUUAUAUAAUAAUAGUAGAACGAACAUUUUCAGUAAUAAAACUCAUGAAUGAUCAUCUUUGGAAUCAGAUGAGAUAAGUGAUAGUUUGGUUGUCUAUAUAAGAAACAAUAAAUUUAAUAAUAUUGAUAAUAAGUCUAUUGCAUAACAUUUUUAAAAUAUAAAAAUGCGUAGAGACUAAUUAUAAAUAUUUUAUAUAUUCAAAAUUUUAAUUUUUUAUAUUUUACUAUUAUCUAAUUUAGCCCCCGCUAAAUUAUUUUUUUAGAUCCGCCAUUGUGUAUAAAUCUUCCAUUUGAAGCACUCAAAAUCAUUGGAGAGAUUAUUUGUUUUACGAACCAAAGUGGCUAAGCUGUUUAGACUCCUUUUCCAGCAAGACUAGAGCAGGGCGUUUGAUUUCUGGGUCAAUCAGAAACAUCUUUGCAACAUCAGCUCUAGUAGUUUGGAAGAAUAAAACAUCAGGAUGCAGUUUUGAUGCAGCCGCAAGCACUUCACCUUCCAGGCCCUAAAAUUUUUUGUCAUAACAGUAACAGAUGUUAAGGGAAACACUAAGGCAAUUGCUCAAAUCAUAUGAGUGAGUAUGGACCUUUAUAGAGUUAAGGAAUCCCAAAGCAAUUGUAGAUUGAGCUGUCAAUAAGUGCUCUGCAUUCUCUGUUGUCAUCACAAUGUAAAGAUCACCGGCCAUCUUCGUCUUUAUAUAAUUCACAAUAUCAUCCCUUCAAAAUAAAAACGAUCUCGUUAUUAACAAAUGCACGAGCAUAUAAUAGACUUGCCCCUUUUCACUUUUCCCACUUCUCAACAACUAUAACAGAUUUAAAAGGGCCAUAUUGAACAAAAAGAUCCAACAAAAGAAAACCCCUGUUCCAAAAAAACUCGCUUCUUCCUGUCAUGGUAGUAAGUAUCCACAUGUACUCCAUUAACAAAGAAAUAAAUGGUUGGAUAUCCUUGAAUUCCCCAUCUUUUUGCCAACUCGAUCUCGUUGAUAGCAUCAACUUUUGCUAGCACUGCUUUGCCCUUCAGCUCAGUGGCAGCGGCUUUAUAUUCUGGAGCCAGUUUCUUGCUCCAGAAGCACCAUGGUGCAUAAAAAGCCACCAUCACAUGCUGAUUCUUGGCUAGAACAUCACUAAAAUUCUUGUCACUUAAAUUCACUGCAUUUUCUUUUUCAUCAAUAGCCGGAGUUAAAUUGUACUUUCGAUCUUUGAAACUUUCAUAAGAAUCUAAUGGUGCAACGGUGUCUCUGGAAGAGAUUGGAGGAAAUUUCUUGAAUACAGAAACACAUAAUACAUAGCCUCCAUCAUAAUCUAUUUUGUAAACACAGAAAGGCGAAAGCCGAAACACAAUGAACAAAAGAAAAAUCGUAGUGGAGAGCGCAAGGAGAUGAGCUUUAGUUGACAUUGUUGAGCAGCCGGCGUUGAGUAGGUGCUCUGCAAUUUGUACUUGACGCUUCAAAUAGUUGUUUUAUAGCAAUGAUCCUGUCAGCAAUGCAAAUUUAACCACGAAUUGCUGGCCAGUGACAAGAUAAUUAUAAUUAAAUGCCUCCUUUUUGGUAUGUAGUUUCACAGAGUAGACAACAAGCUAAUAAAUAAUAAAAUUUAUUUUGAUUUCUAUUCAGAAAUUACACUAUUAACAUCCCGUUGACAGAAAGAAACCCUCUAUCCACCACUAGCUUUAUAAAGCACAAUCGACAAAGACAAGAUCCAAAUCUCUAGCAGAUGAAACCAAUGUUCCUACGAACAUCACUAUGCAACAGGAUUACACUGAAUCUUGAAAGCAACGAAUUGAAUGGAAUAUUCUUUUGCAGCCAUAUAAACACGCUUCCUAUAUGGCGUUAAUUUGUAUUCUCAACGCCUUACCAUAAUGUGACAUGCUUGGUCAUCUCUCUUUAUAAUCUUUAAAAAGUGUCUGCUUGAACUUUGUAUUAUAAACCUUUUGUAUGUGAAUGGAUUACCUACAUUUGUUGAUAAACUUAAUGAAUUUCUCCAAUUAGUUCUUUAUGGAUCAGCUUCAGUAUCUCUGAGACCUUCAGAGUUGCACAAAUUUACCGCCAAUUAGAACAACAAUGUUGAAGACAUAUGUGUUACAAAUAUCACAUAUACAAGCAUAUAAUGUGACAUGAUAGAGUUGUAGUUGCAUCACAAACCAAGAUAUAAUAUGAAAGAAUUUUGAGAAAAUAUAUCAUUGCUCACCUCGAAAUGCUGUUGCAAUAUAGGUGAAUGUUGAUGCAGUGUUGUAUAUAUCUUCUCAAGUAAGCCUAUGAGUGCAUCCACUUGAUCGCCCAGCAGAUCCACCUGGAAUCCAAGCCGCGUAAUGAAUCUUAAGAAAAUUUGCUUGAAACACACUUCAAAUGUACAUUCAUCAAAUCCAAGUUAAAUUCAGUUUGUUUAUCCUAAAAAAAAAAAGAAAGAAAGAAAGAAGCUAAGGUGAAUAAAACUGAAAUUGCAGCUCAAAACCUCAGUUUCAGCCUUUUGGAGAUUCUUGCUUCUUCUAAUAAAUGUUGUUCUGUAGAGUAAUUCCCGCUUUUGUACUGAGGAAACAAGCUCAACAAGCAAAUCUAAUUGAUGCGUCAUCUCUUCCAACCUGUACAAAAGUAGCGCAGUAAAGGUCAAUCACUUGUUCAAACAACUAAUUUUGAUGGAACAUAAAUAUCGUAACACAAAUAGCCAUAGUCAAUGUUCACAGUAAGAUUAAAUUAAAGCAUUUGAGGGGAACUAUAUAUAAAUGUAAACUGAAGUACCUCAAAACUUUGUCUGCUAAUUUUUCUUGUGCUUGGAGCUCAAAAUUUCCAAAUACUUGUGAAAACUCCAGUAUAGGUGUAAACAUGGAAUCCAAUUGGUUUCUAGAAAUCUCUUCAUUUUUUUGUUGGAAAGUUAUAGAAUUUUUGUCAUGCACAUUAUCUGCAGGAAUCAUUUGAUUAUCAACUCUUUCUUCAUCAUAGUCGGCUGUGCCUAAACUAGAUUCCAACUCACUCAUUAUUGUCUUACUUGUAGCUAACCGAUCUAGGCUUUCUCAAGUUUGCUUCUCACCGAAGUAAAAGUGGACUCAUCCUCAUCCAUCAGUUCUUGAAAGAUCUCAUGCUCGUUCAGCUGUUCAGUUUCCAUUUCCACCCAGUCAAGUUGUUUCUUGUGUUCAUUUACUUCAGAACUUGCACUUACCAUUAGAUCUCCAUCUUCUUCCAAACACUUCAAUAACAUAUCUAGUUUUUUGAUAAAACUAUCCUCUCCAUUUCCCUCAAAACUUCCGUCUAUAUUGUUGGGGGAACUUUUGUCUUGCUUCCGGGCUUCUCCUUCCGUGAAACAUAGGCAAGCAUCUUUCAUCGUCUCACGAAAAACAAAUUCCUGUAUCUCAUGUCUAAAGAGAUACUCAAUGUUGCAAGCAUCUAUCUCUUUCUUCCACUCAUCAAUAGUUUCCCCGAAUAAAACCAUCUACACAUUCUCCUUCACAAAAUAUUCCGCUAUUUUAAGUGACUUGUCAGGAACCUCAACCUCUUAGAGUUUUGUAAAUGUGUAGUUCGCAGUAUUCACAACAUCUCUGAAGGUCUCAUCAAAGACAGACGAGAAACCUCUUCUGUUAUAAGCCUGCCAAUUCUAUAGUUUCCAAUUUUCUAAUUCCAAUCCUUGCAAAUUUCCCGGUACAAGACUGAGCAUAUAUCCUCACUUAAAGAGCAUUCAUCUCGGAAAUGUUCUAAUUUCCUAUCCAGUGCAGAGCAAAACCCCUUAACUGCCUCACUGCAUACAGUAUAAUAUAUUUCCUCUCUCAUCUGAGCCUCAAACUUGUUACUUUCAACUUCCUCUUUCAACAUCCUUAUUUCAAUUUGUAGUUCUUCAUUGGCUGCAUCAGCGACUGACGCGUUAUUCAUUUUCUUCCAGACACCAUCCAAAUUGUCAAUGUCCGAGUUCAUUUCUUUUCUCACAUCAGAUUUCAAUAGGUUUUUUGCUGCUGAGGAUUCGUCCCAUUGAUCACCUCCAUAUUCUCCAAAAGUCUCAACCAACCUGGCAUUGCAGUUCAUUAAAUUAUCCAAUCUUACAAUAACUUCUUGGAUUCUUCUUUUUAGGCUAACCGGAUCCUUCUCUCUUCUUAAGUUUGAACACCUUUUUUCUGGAAGCAUUUCUCGCUUCAACCAUUUAACCUCUUCACUUUUUCUCCGAAUAAUAAACUCGUGACUCUUUAUGAUCUUAGCAACAGAUUGACCAACACCCUCUUCUGAUUCUACUUCUUCAACCUUUGAGGAAAAAUUGGCACAACUGUCUCCUUCUGAUAAAGAUCUUCGCAGCCUCGGAGGAAUAUUCCUCUCAAUAUUAGUUUUGGUUGAAGAUUUUAAAUUCUCAUUCCCUUUUGCAGCUUUCAGUUGAGCCUCGUUCUGAUUGAUAAAGCUCUCAAGCUCAUUACGCAAGCACGUAACCUCCGUCAUCAAAUCUGACAAAUGCUCACUCAAGCUCAUGAAAACUUGCUUCUCUUGCUUCCUCAUUUCCAUCUCAAAGUUCUCCUUAAAAUCGUUAACAAAACCAUUAAUCAAUGUACAAAUUGCAUCCUUCUCAAUAGUCCACCUCCAUUGCUGCUCCUGGGGCCCCAGCUCAGACAAAAAAAUCGCAUUCUGCAUUUUCCCAAAAGCCUGAUGCAAAGUCUCUUUCAAAAUAUUAAUAUCAGAACCCAUCUGCUCAAUCUUUUUGUGAUCAAUACCGCCAUUCUUUUCCGCAUCAAUAACUUCAUGCUCGAUUUGCAAGACUUGUUGAUCAACUGAAUGCAUCAACUCAGAAAUUUCACUAUCUCUAUCCUCAUCCCGACUUCCAGGACUGCUCAUACUGAGCUCAGCGACACCAUCGCUCUUUGUUCUUUCAAGCUCCACGUUAGCAUUUUGCAAAGCAACCAAUUCUUUUUCCUUCGCAUCCAAUGCUUGCCUAAGCUUCAACUCAUUUUCGAACCUCUCCGUCAAUUCCUUAUCCUUUUCGCGGAGAGCCAUUUCUGAAUACUGAAGGCGACACUGGAGACGGUCUUUAAUUUCUUCCAAGUCUGCCAGGACUUUUUCAUGGCAGCUUUGAAACAUGUUGUUGUCUGCAUCCUCCUGGACAAAUUUCAUGCACCCUUCUAGCUGAAUUACUGCAAGUUCAUAGAAUUUCGAUAUCUCAUUCAAGCGCUGAAUGACGCCAUCUUUGGACUUUACUUUGCCGUGUGCUCUGUCCACGUCGCCAUCAUUGUUGCAUCUGUUAAAGAAAUUCUUAGUGUGCCUUCAAGCAAUCCAAAAAGACCAGCCAUUUUUUUUUUCUUUUUGUUUGGUUCAUCUAUUGAAAAUGAAGCAAUAGAAAUGUGAAUGAGAUCUUCUGUUUUUAUGUUUCCUUGAAAAUUGGAGAUCUAAUUGACUUGUUCUAACUUGUUACUUGUUACACAUACGUUGAAGAUGUGACCAGAGUUAUUCCUAUAUUUCAUUUAAAUACUAAUGCAUAUUAGCGUAUAUGCAAAGAUAACAAGGAAUUGACAAUUUUAGGGAACUCACGUUAAUUUUUUACCUUUUUUUAAUAGAAUUUUUUAACAUUCAAUCAAUAGGAUUUGUUGUAAAUUUGAAGGUUAUGAGACCUUUAUUACUUGAAAUGACUGGUUUGUCCUUCGUUUCCUUCGAGAGCCCGAAAAGUUCUAAACGUUCAACACUCAAGUCAAUAUUUUUUUUUUUGGUCUUAACCACGAGGUAUCCCGGGGAGGGCCCCAACUAUGGGAGGCACCUUUAAAUCCGUACCAUAACCCAGACUAGAAGUCCCCACUUGAACCGAGAGACACAAGUUCUCCCAACAAAGGCGACUUUCCUGCGACUUGAACUGGGGAGCAAACUCAAUUAAACCACCUAAGGGUGACUCUAUUGCCAGUGGAGCCAACACUUUGUUGGUAACGCUCAAGCCAAUAUAGACGGUUAAGAUGUCCUCCUCAAUUAAUUUGAAAGGAAAAUUACAGAUAAUAUGUAUGGUUUGAUGAAGGAGCAAAGGAACAUUAAAAAGGUGUAAUUAACAUUGCCAACGAACGUGCCCAGCAUUAAUUUAUGAGCGCUGCUAUUCACCCCGAUUUUAACCUCGAAACACGCCCCGAAUUUUAAAACGCACCGUUUUGAUAAAAUUGAAAACGGUGCGUUUAACCCAUGUUUCUUCCUUUCCUUUCUUUUGCCAAACCACAGAAACGGACCUUUGCUUCCUUUUCGUUUAAUCCUAUCAUCUUGUGGUCACUGCCGCUGCUGCUUCCUUCAAGACCGAGCUCUCUGCCGCUACUGCUUUCUUCAAGACCGAGCUCUCUAAGCCCCUCACUGCCGAUUUUAACCUUUGCUUCCUUUUGGCUUCACGAUCUAGAAGCCAUCGCCGCUUCCUUCAAGGUCGCUGCCGCUGCUGCUUCCUUCAAGACCGAGCUCUCUACCGCUGCUGCUUCCUUCAAGACCGAGCUCUCUGCCGCUCCUGCUUUCUUCAAGACCGAGCUCUCUAAGCCCCUCACUACCGAUUUUGACCUUUGCUUCCUUUUGGUUUCACCAUCCUGAAGCCAUCGUGGCUUCCUUCAAGGCAGUUUGCUCUCUCUAAAUAAUUUCAAUAAGUUUAAAUUUAUUUUUAAACAUUUAAAUAAUUUCAUAUAAAUUUAUUUUUAAUUAAUACAAAUUAAUUUCAUGUAUCGUUAAAUGUUCCUUCAAGACUCCAUUGUGUUUGCUGCUGAUUGUGUUUGUGUGUUACUGGUGCUGGAAUUAUCUUGCGGCUGAUUGUGUUUUUGUGUUACUGGUGCUUGAAUUGUUGCUGGUGGAAGUGUAACUGGUGCUGGAAUUGUCUCAGCUGCAUGAUUUUGCUGGGGCCAAAUCCGGUUGAUGACAUUCUCUUUUGUUGCGGCUGCAUGUUGUAGAUAUAUUUCCCGCUAAAGGGGCAUGUGCCACCAGAAAGAUUGUUGAAGCAUUUGAAUGUUUUCUUGUAUUUUAGUUUAGUGUAUGAUGACUCUGUAUCGUGCAAUGAUCAUGAUUCUUUCUAUCACUAAAGAAGAUAAAGAAUCAUGAUCAUAAAAUCUAAGUAUUACGAAUGCAAUCUUCAUCGCAAUUGAACAUUGUAGGACUAUUUUCUAAAGUUGAAUGAAAUCAACAUAUUCACGCAUACAGCCCAGCAAAAGAAAAUUUCGCUCAAUGAAAACCGACGCCAAUGCUUUGGCUGAAGAAACAACGUCCAAGUUCAUUCAAAUAAUCCUAAAUCCGCAAUUAUUUAAUCUACCCCCAGCGCAAGUUAAAGCAACAAAACUUCACAUCCACUCUCAUUUAACACUCAAUACCCUGUCUCAGCAUUUUGUCAAUCACCUUCCAUCCACCAUGGUUCAGCAAGCUUGCAAACAGAAUGCCAUCAAAUGCGGCUGUGUUCUGCCGAUGAAGGAUGCUGACAGAAUAAUGUGGGGGAGUGCUGCACUCAUUGAGGAAAGAAGCUAUAAGAGAAUUGGCAGCAUCUCAUAUAUCAUUUAAUUCUUUGCAUGUCUAAGAAUGCCACUUGAUAGCAAAGUGAUAAAUAUUUACUUGAGCAAGCAAGUAAAAGCAGCACUGAGCUCAUAAUAAAUAAAUAAAUUAAUUAAUUAGAGGUUCGAUCAGAGCAUCAAGCAAAAAGUUGGAAAUUCUGAGCAGAAAGCUGUGGUUCACGCGCAAAUAGAAAGACAAACAGAAUGCUCACGUGCUGCACAGCUGGAAUAGUAUUGAAGCAAAGCAAAACGCACCGUUUUUGUCAAAAUUCGGGGCCCGAAUUCGGGGCUAAUGUCGGGUUAAGUAGCUUUUCCCUUUCCUAAUUUAUUAGUUGUUUCAAAUAAAGCAUGCACUUGGCAUACUAUAAUUGGUUGUUUCCUACAGCGGCCACUACAGAUCUCAUUAGGCGCCAGAAUCUAACUCAGCGGCAGGGCGCGAACCAUCACUGCCCUUGGCAGCGCGUGAGGCUCUUUCUCUCAGCCACUCCACCACCUCUCCAGAAACCAACUCAACGUUCUGCUCAGGCUCGGCAAUCAGCUGAUGCCACGUGCCUGGAUAAAUCCUCAGCGCCUUAUCCUUACUGGCUGCAUGUUUAUACAACUCUUCAACGCAGGCGGGAUCGCAAACGACGUCGUCUUCCUCUUGGGGCUCAUUGAGUACUUUUUAUACUCAAAUCCCUUGCAAAUCCCUCGACACGCGUAAAAACUCCAGCACGGUUGCCGCACGCGGCCUUGGCACCGACCUCCUGGGGCUCGACAACACCAGUUUCCUCCUCCACUCCUCCUUGAAGGAGACCAUCGGGAGAGAACCGUGGGUGGGACCUACGCGCCAGGAAGGCACCAGCCAUACGACUGUGAAGAGAAGGUGCUCGAAGGGCCACGGAGGCUUGAAUUUCUGGCUAAUCCCGCACAUGGCCCCAUUCAAAAUCAAACCAUCCCACGCGCCCGUCGGACGGAGCGUGAAGUAAAGAGCUAUGGCCCCACCUAAGGACUCGGAAUACAAAAACGCGGGCAAAUCCGGUGCGUGUCUCAGAAUGACAUAUCACAUGUUAUAUUAAUUAUUUGGGAUGAAAUUUAAAAUAAAUAAAUUUAGUAUGCUUGCUUUUGCAUAAAACCAUCCCACGCGCCCGUCGGACGGAGCGUGAAGUAAAGAGCUAUGGCCCCACCUAAGGACCCGGAAUACAAAAACGCGGGCGAAUCCGGUGCGUGUCUCAGAAUGACAUAUCACAUGUUAUAUUAAUUAUUUGGGAUGAAAUUUAAAAUAAAUAAAUUUAGUAUGCUUGCUUUUGCAUAAAACCUUCUUUUUUUUGUAGGGUUAUUUUGGAUCUAAUAAUUUAAUUUAUAAAUAUAUUUUUGUUUUAUCAAUAAUAACAUUUAAUUUGCAACUGCAGGGGAUCUCUACUCCCUAGUGUUGGCUCGAGGAGACCUUGGCAACAACCAUUGCAACGAAUAUAUGAUAAGUUUUAUCACGACAAUUACUUGUUAAUUAAUUUCUUUGCACUUGAUGUACAACACAUAUCAUAUUAUAUCAAUUUUAAAGCUAUAUACUGAGAAUUCUAACAUAAUCAAAUGCAUAUAGGAGCAAUUAAUUGACAAUCAACACACCAAUUAGGAAAGCUAAACAUGUAUAAGGAAUUUACUGAGUAUCAGUAACAUAGUAGAAAUAUGAUAAAGUUAUGGUGAGACAUCUGUGACAAAAAAAUAAGUCAAUAUUUAAUUAUUAAAUAUAAAUUAUCACUAUAUUUGGUAUUGAGAUGUUGUGAUUAAAAAAAAUGAGAAAGUAUGGUAAUAUGUAAUAAUUUUAAAAGUUAUUAUGACUUUUUAUUAUAUAAAUAAAAUAAACUUAAUUUUUAGAUUAUAGCAGUAAGUAUUUAUUAAGCACAUUCGUGUUGGAAUUUAAAAGCUAUACUUUCCAAAAAUAAUUAAGCAGGGCUAAUACCUAAAACAAGUCUAACAGAAUUUUUUUUUUAUUUCUAGAAAAUAAAAAAUGCAUGUGAUAUGUAAUUUGUGAGGAUUUGAAUUUUACAGAAGCAGAGGAAAGAAAAGAAUUUAAAAAAAGCGAAUUGCUUUAUGAAAUAAUUUUUCUGCAUCCUUUAUUCAGACAGCUUUAGGCUUUUUAUAAGAGCCAAUUGGAAACACGCAAUCUACGCUAGUAACUGCCCUUGGAACAACAAAAGACACCCUAGACAGUAACACAUGAAAUACUAGAAAUAAUAGGAAAUAUGGGUAACAAUAUUGCACAAAUAGUUGAUAGACCACGUGUCAAGCACCCAUUUAUUUCAAAGCACUUAUUAUUAAGUCCUAGACUCCUCCUCUCAAGCAUGGCUAUCAGGUACCUGGGAAGUUUGUCAAAUGCAUGGGUUCUUGCUCGUCUUUGGGAGACAUAUCAGCAUGCUUGGAAAGAGAUACACGCAAGACAAUCAACACAAGAUUUGCUUUAUUUCUAGGAUGCAUGGGCAUGCACUCUACUUAUAGAACUCCAUAACCCAGAGAUUACCAAUAGCAAGUUCACAACUGAUCCCACCAAAACCAGCGCCAGUAGCCAGGGUCAUGAAUUCAUGCCUUGUUCUCUCCUUUCCACCGGGACUUUGAAUCAUCAUAAGCACGUCCAAAUGGGAAUUUGAUUUUGAUUCAAUGCUUGUAUUAGGAACUUCUGGAAGCAUUGACUCCACAACGAUUACCUUUCCAUCUUCUGGGAUGCUUUUGUAGCAAUUCUUCAACAACUUCAAGCAAUGUUCAUCAUUCCAAUCGUGCAGUACCGACUAUUUAAAAAUUCUCAUAUUAAUCAAACUAUUGUUUGUAAAAAUUUAAUUUAAGGAACUCCUCAUAAUAUGUCCGCAAAUUAAAUUAAAAACUUACCUUCAUAAAAAUGGCAUCACCUUUUGGAACACUUUGGAACAUAUCACCCCGUACAUGCUCAAUACCUGUAAAAUAUUAUACAAUUAAGAAAUCAGACAAUUAGAAUUAUGCCACUCUAUUUUCAUUAGCAAGAUGUAUUACGUCAAGAACUGUUUGCUCAAACUUAAUUAUGCCAAUGUUAUGGAAGUUCCUGAUAUACAGGCACACACAACAGAUGUUCUCAUUUUUUUAAAUAUAAAUUUGGGGUUUUACAAGAAUUUCACAAUAGUAAACCACUGAAGAAUUAUACACACGCAUAUAUGAGAGCAGGUUCAAGGGAUUUUUUUUAAUACAAUUUUACAUAUAAAUUUCUAACAAUUAGGUUAAAGUUUAUCAUAUGGUUAAUAUUAAAACUGCAUGCAGUUUUAUAAUUCGAAAAAUUAAUUAACUAAACGCAAGUCCCUACGUCAAACAAUAAACGUGAAACACGACGCUUUUUCCUCUCUCUUAUCAUCUUAAUUUAUUUAAACUAAGUAAUUUCAUUCAAAGAUUGAAAUUACACUUCAUUUCGGAGGAAGAUCUUCCAAUCAAAUUACAGGCAACUUAAAAUUAAAAGCUGCCUUAGCUAACACGAGUAUGCGUGUUGCAGGCUCUUCGGAUGAACUGAAUUCUAAAUCAGCAUUGUCCUUAAUUUCCUCUUGAAUGUCCAACAACACUUAAAAGAUUUCCUUUGCUUGACAUCAUGUUUAGGACAUUCAUACAUUUCUCUUUUUAACUUAUGUGCUCAUCUCCUUCAAUCCGCCCUCUACUCAUUAUAAAACAUUUUUUUUUAUUCUGAUGGCUGUUGGAUGGAUGUUACUACUACAAAUUAAAAUAUAGUACUUCCCUAGUUCUUUGUAUGUUUACUUUAGUUAUCCAGUAAAUCGAAACGUGAUUAGAUGACUAUGCUUUGUUAAUCUUUAAAAAAAUAUAUGUAGAAACGAUUGCCAACAUUUGUUUUCCAAUAUUUACAUUUGGUUUAAUAAACAAAUUUAUGUAGAUAACAUCUUUUUGUAUGGCUACAUGGAUGUGUACCUUAGUUCACUGGUAAUUUAGAGGGAGAAAUAAAGGGUAAUACAAAGGUGAGAGAAAAAUAUUUUACUUAUACGAUUAAAUUUAAUAAUAUGGCACCUACGCGAAUUAAUUAGUUUUUUAAAAUAACAAAAUUACACGUGAGCUUUAGUAUUAAUCCUUGGACGAACUCUAUUAGAAAGAAAUUUUUUUCUAAAAGUAUCUUUUUUAAACUUGCCCCCAAAAUAAGGAAUCUUCUAAAAAAAAGGAAAAAAGAAAACAAACAUUCCAAGUAUUAUCCUUAGUUUAUCCUUUAUUUUAAUAAAGUAAGGAAGCCUUAUAUAUAUAUAUAUAGAUAGAUAGUAAUGAUCUAAUCCAAAAUUUUGGGUUUUGUUAAAAACCAAAAAAAAAUCAUAAUUUCAAAUGGUUCAAUAGUCCAUUAUACUAUUAAAUCAUAUGACUUACUAGAUUUUUCGGACUUUAACAAAAUUUGUGUAGUGAGAGAGAGAGAGAGAGAGAGAGAGAGAGAGUCCUUCUUUAGUAAUGAAAUCUUCACUUUUUUAAAAUGAGAAUGUUACUAAAAUAUAAAAAAAAACACAUAUUUCAAUACAUUAGAAAUUGUGUUUUUUUUAUUUAUUAGUAGCAUUCUCAAUUUAACAAAGUGAAACAUAUAUAUAUAUAUAUAUAUAUAGUCCUUCUCUAAGGUGGGUGCCUUUAUUUUUUUUUAAAUGAGGACACGCUAUUAAACCGUACGAUUUAACGGUGUUCUUCAUUAAUUCUAUUAAAUCGCACGGUACAACAAAGUGUUUGCAUUAAAAAAAAAAUUAGGGUGCCCACCCUAGCGAAUGACUAUAUAUAUAUUUAUGAGAGUUGUUGCACUUUAAUAAAGUGCAAGAAAAUUGUUACCGCAUAUGGUAUAAUAGUGUAAUGUCCCGACAAGUACUCGUAUAUAUAACAUGAGAUUAAUAAUCAUACGUGGAUGUGAUGGGGCAUGGUCAAUAACAUGAGGCUGGUCGAAAUUGAUGCCCUUAAUAUAGGGGUACUUGGUAGUGAUGGCUUGAAGAGUAACACCGAGACUGCCACCAACAUCGACCAGUUGCUUGAUGUUGUCGAAGCCCUUGUAAGAUUCAAGAAUGUUGCUCAUAACCAGGGAGGUAUAGUUAUACAUUGCUGUGUUAAAAUGUUUAUUGAACCUAGGGUCCAAUCCUGCGUACUCAAAUACAUGCACUCCAUGGGCUCGAUUAAAUGGAAUUCCUCCUUCAAGAAUAGCAUCUUUGAGUUGGGACCUACAUAAAUUCCGAAAAACCAAUUUAUCAUGCAUCGUCUAUAUAUAUGCUCCAUGCAUGCAUGCAUGCUCUAGCUAAUCAUUUACUAAGAAAAAGAGAGAAAUAGAAAUUAAUUAAUUACCAGCUUUCCAGAAGGACCUUGUCCUGAUUCAUUUGUAAUAGGGGGCCUAGUAAGACGCCAUCUUUGUUAGGCACAUAGUAUUUGGAGACAGAAUUCAAACUAUAUAGUCUCCGAGCACCAGAAGCAUCAAGUGAGCAUUCAACAACACUGUAGCUAGCCAGAAGCCUGAGAAUCCGAUCCAGCAUCAUGGGUGCGUCUUUGUUCUUGGUAAGCAAUUGGGCUGCAAUAUCUGAAGCACAGAGCUUUGCACCAGGACCAACUUUGUCUAGGAUCUCGAAAAUGCCCAGCUCAUACACCGCUUGAAUGGCCAUGGGUAGCACUGUACCCAUCACCAAUUGACUAGCAUAUGCAAAGCUUUGGUCUCUUUCUCCAUCAACUAUAGAAUCCAUUUUAAAUUUCUUGAAUUUCUUGUACGCUUUGCGGGGUUUCUUGUUUGGCCAGGGGGUUAUAUAUAGACUUGUCAUUCAAAACUAUCAAGAGUUUGCCAAUAUAGACUUGGUCAUUCAAAACUAUCAAAAGAGAGAUGGGAUUGACUAAUGAAUUAAAAUUAGAACUUUGCCAAUAUUUAAAAUUUUCUUUGAGCUAUAUAAUUUAUGCAAUCUUUGAGGCUAUUUUUAUGUUUUAUUUAAAGUUUGUUGUUCUUUUUAUUUAUUUAUUUUUUUAAAAAAAUGAUGUUUGUGGGUAUCGUCACUAAAGCCAUCACGAGACUAUAACUCGUCCACUAGGGCCGUCUAGGGGUUUAAAGGCUUGUUGCAUACGUUAAAUGCAAUCGCGAUUACUUGGAAAAGUAGUUUAGUUAGGAUUUACUUUUUGUUUCAUUGUUUUUAUUUUUGUUUUAAGUUUUAGUUUUGCUCGAGGACUAGCAAAAUCUAAGUUUGGGGGUAUUUAAUGAGCAUAAUUUAUAUACAUAUUUUACCCUUUCUUAUAUAUUUGCUAGUUAUUUUUUUUCUUAUUUUUAAUUAAUUGAAUUGUUUUAUUGAAUAGGGAAUUAAUUUGAGAUUAUGGAUAAAAAGGAUAUAAAAGAGCUCAAUUUUGGAAGCAUUAAAGAUUAAUUGAUUUUUGGAAGUAAUUAGACAUACAUGCAUGUGGAAAUCAAGCCAAGGAACCGAAUUCAACAAGUUAAUUCAUCAUGCACAUGCGGACAAAAGAGAGAAUUUGAUUUUAGCUUUAAAAAAGACCCGCAAUUGGCUUUCAUAAAUGAAAAAAGAAUCCUAUUGCAAUUCUAAGUGCCCAGCACGUGAGUGAAGCAAAACAAAUAUGCUUUAGAAUUGAUAAGGUGGGGCCCAUUUUAAAGACUAUAUAAACAAGCCUUUGGCUUUUGAAUGAAAAGUAGCCGCCAGAGGAAGGAAAAAAAGAACAGACGCGAUUCGGGAGAAAAUCAGCUGCAGCAGUUCGGCUUCAAUGGAUGAUUUUAUAUUUUUUUGUUGCUCUCAAUUUAAGUAUAUCUAACUAAUUUUUUUAUACUGAGGUUAAGGAUGAAAUCUUAUUCAAUAAAAUAAUUAUCUUUUUAUUUAAUUAAUUCCCUACAUGUAUGCUUUAAUGAUUAUGGUUUUUAUUUCACAUGAUUAAUUUGAUGUUAUUAAAAUCUUUUCAUCAAUUCUGUCAUGCAUUAUUAAUUGUUAAGAUUAAUAUUUGAUUAAAUCUAUGCUUGGAUCUAUAAAGUUUAUACAUGAUUUUUUUUAGGGGAAAUCUUCAGUCAUAUACCCUUAAAUGACAUCAGUAUCAAACGUGUUAUAACAUUUUUAAAUGUAUCACUCGUAUACCCUAAGUUGACAAAACACUUCUGCCGUCCACCGAUCCGUUAACUGCCGUUUGCGAGCGCUGACAUCAUAAGGGUGAUCUAGUCUUUUUUAAAAACGACAUGUCAUCCCAUUUACCUAGUAAAAAAUGACAUGUCAUAUGAUAUAUUUUGAUAAAAAUGACAUGUCAUCCCAUUUAUCGGAUAAUUGUUAAUAAUUGUAAAAAAAAAAAAAGCUACUUUACAACUGAAUUUACUCUUCCAAAAUUUAACCAAAAUUAUUGAAGAUCUACUCCUCCAAGCUCCAACUUGAGUUUUUUAUGGUAUAAUAUGUAUAAUUAUAAAUAAUAUGUUGUUAAUAAUUUUUUAUGGUAUAAGAUGAAUAUUUUUUAUGGAUAAUUGUUAAUAAUAUGUACCAUUAAUAAUUUAUAUUUUUUUAAUAAAAAAUGUAUUGUUAAUGACAAAAUAAAAAAAAUUGUGUAUUGAAAAUUUACAUUAAUUUUCAAGGUAAAUUUAUUUUUUUACCUCAUUUUGAGUUUAAAGGGUAAAAUAGUCAUUUUGCUCAAAUUCUAUUAAGUUCUUAACGGUAGUAAACGGAAAGGUGGACGCCAGAACUCUUUUGUCAACUUAGGGUAUACGAGUGAUAUAAGUGAAAAGUAUUGUAGUACGUUUGAUACCGGUGACAUUUAAGGGUAUACCGGUGAUAAUUUCCCUAUUUUUUAUUCUAUAUCUUUCUUUAAAUUGUUUACAUAGAGUGUUUAGGAAAACUUUGACUCUUUGUUAUUCAAUAUGUUUACAUGGGAUGCUUAGAUGUCAUACUAUUAAGCAGAAAAAGCACCUACAUUAGAUUUAAUUACUUGGGUUUAAUUGUUAUAUCCAUGAGAUGACAUAGAUUGAUUUCGAGUUAUCACUCUAAAAUUGGAGAUUAAUUAAUAAUUAGAUAAUUAUUAGUUGAAUAGUGGUGGAUUAUGAAAUCUUAGUAACUUUUGUCUUAUUGAUUUCUCAUUUACUUUAAUUGUUUUUUUAGUUUAAUUAGUUUAAUUUCUCUUAAAAAUUCAAUUUGCUCAAUUAGGUUAGAAUUAAUAUUAAUUUUAAAUUUAAAUUAGACUUUUUAAUUUAUAACAAUCCAUGUAUGAUCAACCUCAUUACCACUAUUCUAUCUCUAAAUUUAUGCGCUUGCGAGUAUAUUAAAAUUUUUGACAACAUGUUUACUGGUUGUUAAUUUCAAAAAGUUAAGCCUGCAACGCGAAAAGGACAGAAGAUGCCAUAAAAGGGGCUUUAGCCCUCUGAACCAUUUUUUUUUAAGUGUGCCCCGAGCACCUUCUGAAUGAGUUAAAUGAAAAGCAUUUAGAAAUAUUUUUUAAAUAAUAAAACACUUGUAGCCCAAUGGUACACAUGUUACUUAGUGGUUUUAGAGACUUGAUUCGAAUCCCAAUAAUUUUUUUGAAUGUGUGCAUGGUCCUCAAUAUUUUUCACGUUCAAUAUAAAAUUAAUUGAAGAAAAAAUGUUGGCCUAGUUAGAGGUAGGUUAUAGGUAGGUAGGGUUUUAAGAAAAAAAGUAAAACUUUAUUUGCGGGACGCAAUUAAAAAACAUGGGUCCGAAAUAUUAUUGAAAACUAAUUUAAGAGAAAAUGUUGGCUUAGUUAGAAGUAGGUAACAAAUAGGUACGAUUUCAAGAAACAAGUAAUACUUUAUUUGCAAGAUCCGAUUAGAAAACAUGGAUUUGAAAUACUAAAAAGAGUAUUUUUUGUAUAAAAAUUUGAGGAGUGUUAGCGACAAUCGCCUAUCGUGACUAGUGUCUUGGUCCUUAAUUUUUUUUUUCACGUUCAAUAUAAAAACUAAUCGAAAAGAAAAUGUUGACCUAGUUAGACAUAGGUAACAAGUAAGGUUCUAAAAAAGAGUAAUACUUUAUUUGCAGGGCCCGAUUAGAAACACAUGCCGAAACAUUAAUUAAAAAAGUAUUUUUAUAUAAAAUUUUGAAGAGUGCUAGCAACAGUUGUCCUUACAGAUGACUGAGACAGUCAUUACCAAUCCCUCUCAAAUUUAAGUGUUUGGUCCAGCCACCGAAGAGAACCCAUGUGUGAUUAUGUACUAUAGGUGCAUUUGGUACAUUGUUAUUAUAUUAUAUGUUUUGCAUUAUUUUAAUACAAGCAUAUUGCAUUAUAUUGUAUUGCAUUAACACUUUAUUUUAUUAAUAUUGUGCAGCAUUUAGUGUUAUAUUGUACUAUAUUAAUUUUUAAUUAUACUAUGUUUGGUAUUGCAUUGCAUUGUACUAUAUUUUUUUGGUUAUCAUAAAAAUUAUAUUUUUAGAAAAUAAAUAUUUACUUUUUGAUAACUUUGUCAAAAAUUCUUUUUGUCAAAAAUAUUUUAAUAAACUUUUCAAUGAUAUAUCUUUCAAAAUAAAAAUCCAAGUGAAUAAAAUAGAUAACUUAAAAAAUAUCCUAACAUAAAUAAAUAAUUAAAACAUAUAGGCUUUGUUUAAAAAAAAGACAUAAUAGAGAUAAUUAAUACAAAAGUUUGCACAUACUAUAACAUAGUCACAAAUAAAAGGAGUUGCAUUUUUAAAACGGGUUGCUUUGUCUCAUACAUCAAAUCAAGAUAAAUAAUUGUGGAUGGAUAGAGACAAACACAACUUUCACUCAAUCCUUCGAUAAGAUGUAUUAUUUCCCAACUAUCCAAAUGUUAGUUAAUUUGUGACCACUACUCAUCCUCGCAAUCAAGAAUUUAUUCUAUUACAUGUCUAAGAAAAAAUGUUAUUAAAUGGACAGCAAAAGAACCACAACUACAUCAUUUCGAAGCAAUGUACAUAACAAAUGGACUUAUGUACCAAGCUUGGCCUACCAUGCAUGUAUGUUAUGCAAAAUAUUGCACAAUAUGCAAAAAUGUGGUUGCAUGUGUGGAAAUUUAACCACAUAGGUAGAAUAAGUGCAAUUUUACUAAGUUGGACGAACAUGCCCCAUAAGCUAUCUAGAUGUAAUGGGAUGCUGAGAUGAGCGAUAGGAGAAUGCAAAAUGGAAGCUGAUGCCAAGUAGUUGUCGAUGUAGAGUUUAUGUCAACUUAGGAGUGCUUACAAGUUCCAAAGAUGAACCAACAUAAUUUUAGUUCUAAACAUGCACUGAUGUUGAAAGAAACAUGUGAGAUGAAAAGUUGAUGCCAAGUAGUUGUCGAUGUAGAGUUUAUGUCAACUUAGGAGUGCUUACAAGUUCCAAAGAUGAACCAACAUAACUUUAGUUCUAAACAUGCACUGAUGUUGAAAGAAACAUGUGAGAUGAAGUGCCUCGAGAUGCUGUAAAUGCAGUUGGAUCUCAAUCAAAUGCAUGAUUUUUUGGGAAAAAAGCUUCUUACAAUAAGAUCACUGAAAAACAUCGAUCAUAAUAUUAUCACCAUCAUUAUUUUCCCCAUUUUUGGAAUGUGAGAGUUGAUUAUGAGAAUUUUUUUUAUCUUUGUAUCAUGUGACUAAGAUGCUGGAACAACUUUAACCAUCUUUCAAAUACAACUCAAAGAUUAGAAAAUACAAACUGUUGAUGAAGAAAUCUGGUCGGCUAUUGCGUGAAUAGGUGCCCACACCAACACUUAAAUUGCUAUUGAGGAGAUGAUUUAACACUACAACUUUACUGAAUUAGUAGUUGUAGGCAAAUUAACAUGCAUGAAAACCAUGUGCGAACAAGGUGGAUAAAAAAGCCCAUCUAGCCCAAGUCCGUAAGCUUUCGGCCCAUCUUUCUACGCGAGGAAUUAGAUAAGAGCUUAAGAGAAAAUGCUCGGACUAGGCCCAGCACUCUAUUUUUUUUUUUACAAAAUAAAUUUAUAAAUUAGAACAAUAUAUUAAAAUUUAAAAAAAAAAAACUUAAAUUCUUAAUUCAUAAAUCAAUAAUGAUUCACAAAACCUAAAAUUAUAAUAUUAAUCUCUCUCUUAAGCAGUAAUUAAUUAAAAUGAUGUUUAAAUUAGAAAAUGCAGUAUUAAAAAAAUUAAAUCUUUAGCAUUUAUUUGCUUAAUUUUCUUCAUUUAUUAUUUUAUUUUAAAAUAUUUAAUUUCUUUAACUCAUUGUUAAUUAUAACAACUUGUUAAUUAUUAAUUCAUUUCAAAUUUACAACAAUUAAAAAAAAAAAGUGAAAGUCCAAGCCUUGUCCUCAUGCUUCUACUAAAAUGGGCUUGGGCUCAGAAAAGCUUGACCUAAGCCCACAUUUUGUCAUCCCUAUGUUCAUAUUAGGUAGGAUUGUCAACUUCAAAUUAUUAAUAUUAGGGGCUGCAAAAUGAAUAAACGAAUUGAAUUUGAAUCAACUUAAUAAACGAAUUGGGUCAAAUUUUGAUGGAUUCGAAUUUGAUUUAUUUAAUAAGUAAAUCGUAAUUUUAUAAUUUUAAUUCAAUUUAUUUAUUAAAUGAAUCAAAUAUUCAUUCACAAUUCAUUUAUGUAGAAUAAUUAUUUUUUUCUUGUUAUUACAUCUUAUAAUUACGAAUAAAAAUUUAAUGGUAAAUAAAUAAUUGAAUCAAACGGAUAAUAAAUGAAUAGUGUCAUAUUCGAUUGAUUUAUAAGCAGUUUAUUAAAAGAAAGAAUAAACCAGUGAUCACAAAUUUGAAUUCGAUUCGUUUAUUUAGUAAAUUGAAUCAAAUUCAUUUAUUUAUUAAAUGAAUUAAUAUUUUCAAACUCAAAUCUAAUUUAAUUUGACUCCAGUUGAAUCGAAUCGAAUAAAUAAAUUUUCGUCCAAAUUGCCAGCCCGUAUUAAUAUGCCUACAAUACCAAGUGGACGGAAGAUGUCAUAAAAAUCUUUAUGGACUCUUAAAGCAUUUGCUAUCGGCUGACGCUGUUAAACACAUAAGAAAUUCAGGAAAAUUAAUUAAACAUGGCUUCAUAUCAUUCUACUAAUCAGCCAGACCCAGUUGGAUCCAAUGUACUGAUCACCCAUCAGCCAAUUGGUGAUGAGUACUAGCAAGCUUUAAUUGCAAGCAGUGAUUGAGCGACUUCUGGCGUUUCAAUUGUGAUGCCAAUCUGGAACUUGGUUGGAUCUCGCUCGUGUCUUUGACCAAAAGCAAAGGGCUCGUGGACAUUAAACAAAAAGAAUUGUUUUUUCAGACCUUAUCAGGCCAUUUACUUCGUUGUGUUGAAGGCUUUGUUUCAAAGCCAGAGACAAAAUCAAUAUAUAUAUAUAUAUCACGUACAGAUAUUCGUAUUUUUUAAAAUAUGAAUUUAUUAUACAAUAUAGUAAAUUCUUAUUUAAAAUAUGAGAACAUUCGCGAGAGAGAGAGAGUCUCCUUCUUUUCUAGCGAAAAUAUUUUCACUUUAUUAAAAUUAAAAUGUCACUAAAAUAUAAAAAUAUAGAUUUUAAUACAUUAAAAACUUUAUUUUUUUCUUUUAGUAUAUUAAAAUUUAUGUUUUUUUUUAAAUUUUUUAUUGACAUCCACACCUUAAUAAAGUGAGGAUGUCGGCCUUACUAUAUAUAUAUAAUCUUUUAAUAUUUUAACUUAAUUCCCGCAUUAAAAGCUAACUCUUGCAUAAUUACCCUAAAGAAUCAGCUUAACAGAAGUACCAAUUUGUGAUAGUGUACUAUGUGUCGUACGUUUAUGGCACUGGAGCCACAUUCAAUUUGUGCUUGGUCCUCAAUUUUUUUCAUGUUCAGUGUAAAAACUAAUUGUAGAGAAAAUCUAGGCCUAGUUAGAUGUAGGUUAGAGGUAGGUAGGUUUUAGGAAAAUGGGUCCUCUUAAUAAUAUAUAGCGUUGUAUGAGAUACAACGGAAGUUCAGUUUUUGUUUUUAAUAAAUUAUAAUUUUGAGUAUGUUUUAAAAUAUAUUUUUAUGUUGAGAGGGAUUUUGAUAGUCUCCUAAAUUAAAUGAAGUUUUUAAUAUUUAGUUAAAAGAUGAGGUAGCCACGUGUAAUUACCUUGAUAUCUGCCAGCUACAAGGCUAUACCAUUUAUUUCGGUGACCAUUUAAUGCCUAAAAUCAUCACCCAGCCGUUAUAUUAUUUUUUUUAUUUUGACAUUAUAAAUCUAUAAAUAUUUUGUAAUAUAAAAAUUAGUGAAACCUCUUUGAUUUUUAUCGUUUUGGGAGUUUAUGUCUCUUUGAUCAAUUCUAUGAUGGUGCAGUGCAGUCUACACAUAUAGACCAAUAACAUAUCAAUUUUUUUUUCUAAGCAUUUAGAAGAAAUCAAAUCCAAAAUGCACCAUAGAGGAAUUCAAAUUGUAUCCAUCAAUAUCGAUAUGAGAAUUAAAAUAGUUUAUCAUUCUAAACCUCAGAUAGUUUUCAAACAACUAUAUUAUUUGAUAGUGCCAAGUAUCAUAUUGUCCAUAAAAUAUUGCUGUUUUUAAUAUUAUUUGUACUAAUGACUCAUAUAAUUAAUAAUACGAUUUAAUUCUUGAUAUGGACAACUAUAAGAUAACAAUAUCUAAUUAAAAAUAUUUCAUACAAAUUUCUAUCAAAUUAAUUAAAUUACUUUUUAUCGUUUCAUUUACUCACUAAUUUGAAAUCACAAAAAUUUCUUUGAGUUGUUAUCGAAGCUUAUACAUGAUUACAUGUAACUUUAAUACUUGAUGAUAUUGUUUUACUACUAGCAUUAUGAUUGAUGAUACUAUAACUCUUAACAUCUAUUACUAACAUUGUUAAUAAGUAUAUUUGUUAGCCAAUACUAUUAUUAUUAUUUGUAAAUAGAACACAUAAAUGAUAAUUUUAUCAGGCCUCCAAACUCGAACUCAAAAUAUUUUUUUAACUCAAAUUUUAUUUUAAUUUAACCAAAUAAUAAAUAAUAAAAAAUAAGACCCUAGGUCUAAACUCACGGCCUCUCUCAAAGCACUAGACUCUACCCAUCGUCACCUCCAAGUUCCCAACGGAGCUUCCUUUCCUGGCCACGUCCAAAAGACCAAGCUUUGCCGUCAACACCAAAACACCAAGUUUUCAAACUUUUUCGUCAGUCUGUGUGCGCUCCACUGAAAUUGUAUGGCACAGUGGCCACUGGGCAGAAGAAAACAUGUUAAGGAAAAAAAAAAUUCUCACAAGAACCAACUAGCUAUAAAAUGCAAGAAAGCAUCAAAUGCGGCAUAUUAUUUAUUAGCAUACCUUUCAAUAUUCCUUUUAUUCACCUCUUGGUUAUCGGCACCGACAACACCUGGAUAUUCAAUAACACGAAGCACUGAAAACGCAUCUCCAACUCUUUCACCUUCAAAUUCAAAUGGUGAUUUGUUGGGACAAGAAAUCCUUUGGUGAAAACCAUCACCUAUAUCCAAGAAUAUUCAUGUUAUAUCACAAAAAAUCAAUAACAAAAUUAUGCGGAAGUGUACCUGAAUCUAUAACAUUGAAUUGCUCUCUAGGAUUGUGUGGUUGGCCUUCCAAAUCUACACGUUCUCCUAGAGAAUCCUUUAAGUUUUCUCAAGGCUAUCUUUCUGACGAUCGGAUUUCAGAAAGAAUAUAAAAAUAUGUGUGACAUGAGAACCAUAACCACUUAUCUAGACAACUUUUUUCUAUUGUCUUUACAUAUUAAAUGCCCAUAUCCUAUUAGAUAUAUUAAAGUCUGUAACACAUAAUUAUUCACAUAUAGGCCCAAUAUUGGAUUAAGGAUCCAACAAUAUUGGAUUAAAAAUUCAAUAAUCUCCCACUUGUGCUAUAUGUGUAACCUUAUAAUUAUGCUUUGUAAAAGUAACUCAAGAUCGAAAUACACCACUAAUGCCAUUUUAAUCCUGAAAGAGUCUUUCAAAGAAACCAGAGAGAAAGUUACUUUAUAGUCAAUGCCUUCUUUCUGCGUAAAAUCGUUUGCGACAAGACGCACCUUGCAUCUCUCUACAUUACCUUUCGAAUCCCUCUUGGUCUUAAAUAUCUAUUUGCAACCAAUAGGUUUCGCACCUUCUGCCAAUGGGACAAGAUCCGAUACGUCAUUGUCUUUCAUGGAUUUUAUCUCCUCAUUCAUGGCAUCAAUCCACUUCUGAGAGUUAAAACUUUUCAUGGCCUGACAGAAAUUGAUUGGAUCAUCUUCCAUCACUCCAAUGUCUGCCUCAUGUUCUUAGAGAAAUAUAAUAUUCCCCUAAAACUAAGCAAACAAACCCCCAACUCCCAAGCAACAGUCGAACAUCUCCACACACCACCAAAACAGUCAUCAUUUCACCUCUCCCACAUUAUCAACUAUCACUCAACCUCCCUUUUAUCUAUCUCACAUUCAUCAAACUAUUAUAUUUAUCUAAGUAUUGAAGACAAAAUCAAGCAACAAACUAAAGAAUAAUAAGAAGUUAGGGUUAGUAUUUCUUCAAUAUUUAUCUUUUAUUUUUUUGUUGGGUUUCAUACAAAAGAUCGGUUGCUCAUUUUACUACAAUGUGGGUACAUUAAAUAGUUAAUGUGAGGUCAUAAAUUUAUAAAUUAGUAAAAUUCCAGUAAAAUUCGAAAAAAAUGGGUUUUAAACAAUGUUGAAGACGAAACCCAAAAUCCAAGUGACAAGUACCUGUCGCCCAAACUUAGAAUGACUUGUCGUACCGGUCGCUUGGAUUCCGGUAUUCAUCACCCAGAUGACAUAAUACUGCAUAUUGGGCAAUUAGUACUCAUAUCACCGAAUAUACAAUCGCUUGUAAUUUGGGUGACAUUAUCUAUCGCCUGGGCAAUAGUGCUGUCAUUCGGAUCACCUGAAUUUGUUGAUAAUUAGUUAUUUAAUUAAUAUAGUAAUAUUAUUGUUUGCAGUGCUUUUAAUAAAGUAUUAUUAUUAUUUUGCAUCAGGUUAAUAUAGUUGUUAGUUCUUAUGAUGUAUUUUGAUAGAGCGUGGGAGACUUUGAAGGAUGGUCGUAUAGAGUAUGAGAAUGGAAAAGUUACUGCAUUUUGUUUUCAAAAAGAUGUAACAUUUGAACAAUUUAUUGCAAAGUUGUAUGAAAUUUUGAAGAAAAGUUCAGAUGAAUAUUCCCUCUUGGUAAAGACAAAUGUGAAAUCAACUCAUCUGACGCAACCCAUUGAUUCACUGCCUAUAGACAUAGUGAACGAUGAAAUGGUGAGAGUGAUUAUGCGUAUGAACUCUGAUCCAAUUAACUAUGAGUGCACUUCUAUUUAUGUAACAACAAGUCCUAAAGUUCCGAUAGAACUUUCUUUGAUGCCAUCAAUUCAAACUUCCACCUUUAAACACUACUCCCCAUUCCGCUCCCAUAAUUAUCCUAUUGAUGACAAUGUUGUCAAUACAAAUGUGAAUGCAUGCAAAAACAUAUAACAUUGAGUCCCAAAUGUAUUCUAAACAUUGCAAUAGUCCAAUCAACAUUUUGAAGGAUGUAGAUCGGUUUCAGGAAGUUAAUGAUUCAUCUUAAAAUCAUCUUAUCAGUCUAUCAGUCUAAUGGCUCGUAGUCGAAGUCGAUCUAGAGUUCCAAGUCCAAUAGACCCAUUGUAGUUGAAGGCUCCAAUUGUGCCAUCAGAUUGGGUAGCUUCAGACAUGGUUGAUGGUUCUAUUUACAAGGGUAUUUGUGUGGGCCAGACCAAUUAUUUAGCAUGAAAAAACUUAAAGUAUUGUGCUCCAUUGAAAUACUGAUCACGUAUUUGCCAAGUGUUUUUCGUGCAAAUUUUCCACAUUAUCACAUUUCAAUCAUGUCACCAAGCACCAUUCUCGAAGAGAGAAACAUAACAUCUCAUUGCCAAUCCUAAACCACAUUUGGUACUCAUCAUCAACUUGUUUCAUGACUAGUCUGAGAAACAAAUAAUGUACAAAAUUGUCGCUAAAUCCUGGGGCCCCCAUCGCUAGAAAAUGACCAAAAAUUGACUUUUUGAAUAGCCUAAAUUGAGUAUCAGUUAACUUGGUCUGUAUACGCAUAAUGAAAAAAAUUAAAUCUCAUUAAAUUUGAAACGCAAUCGGUGAAAUAAUCCUCAAUUGGUAUCUUCAAUGACCAGUGAUGCAUCUACUUGUUAGACAUAUCUACGCAAUAAAUUAUGAUAGUAUUAGCAUAAAUGUUUUAAAAAAACAAAACUGAAAUAGUCAGAAAUCUUUAGGAUAACAUUGGCAUAAAUGUUUCGAAAGAAAAAAAACUGAAACAAAACAAAAAUGAUACAAUUGGAAAACUUAGGCGACGACAUGAUUCAGUUGUUGUUGCCCUUCGUUGCCCGAUACAUGGGCAACAUGAUAUAUCGCCCAACCAAAUCUUGGCAACACAAUUCUGUUGCCCAGAUUUAGUUCAUGUCGCCUAGAACGCAGGCGACAACAUGUAUUGCCCAACCAAAUCAUGUCGUCACCCAUUUGCAUGGCUGGGCGAUGCAAGCUUGUCGCCCGCGUUGCUCAGCCUCCCAUGCCACGCAUGGCCAUUUGGUUGGGUGAUGGGGGGAAGCCACCCACCUUGCCCAAGCUUAACAUGGCCAAAUUUUAGGCAACACGAGCAACCACUCAUGUUCUUGAUUGGUGGGCACACCAACCUUCUCUUUAACUUCAAAAUAAUUCUAAGUUUAGAUCAAUAAUUUCUUAAAGGCAUUUAAACAAAUACUUGGUGUGCCAUUUAUUAGAUAUCUUAAUAUUAAGAAAACUCUAAUAUUUUCAUACCCAAUACACAUCCUAAUGAUUAACUAUGAUCAAUGAUGAAUCAACUAGGCAAUUUAAACAAAAAAUUAUUCUAAAUUAAUGAAACAAAUUGUGAAAGUACAUAAGCCGCCAAAAUCGUAAGUGAAUAAAUUUGCUGGAACCAAACUAUAACUCACAUAAUUGCCACUAGAAGUGAAAGAAAUCGCUACUGGAAGUGAAGGUUACUCUAUCAAAGCGAUGUAGCUAAAUUGCGCCGGGUAUUGAGAGGUGUUUCCCCUACUCUACUCGUGCAAUGAUGAUCCCGACGAGUAUUGAGAGUUAUUUCCCCUGGGUACUAUUUGGUGCAGUUUGUGAUGUAUGUAUGUAUGAAUUCCAUGUUUGCUGAUGUAAGUUAUUCAAUGUAGAGUUAUGUCACAUAAUUAUGCAUAAGCACUAGUACACUAUAUUAUUAUUAUUAUUAUUUUAAUAUAUAUAAUUACAUCCACUCACUGAGCCGCAAGCUCACUAUUUUCCUAUUUACCCCUUUCCUCCUAUGAUUCCGCAGGAUUUCGUGCAGAUCAAUUCUAAUUAAUUGAGGUUGGGCCACGAGACGUAUUGCUGCAUGUCUUGCAUUUUGAGCACGUUUAUGUUGCUUAUGUUUUAUAUGUAAAUAUACAUGAAAUGUCAGUAUGUACAAUGAGACAUAAGCUAUGUAAGUUUUGAAUUCAUAUAUGGUUUCAGAAAAGGCACAGAGGUGGUUAUGUGUUUAUAGGAAAGGCCAUAUUUUAUACAUAUUUUUCAUGAAUUAAAUUUGUGCUACAAGUUUAAAUUAUUAGUCCGCACAAUUCACCUCAAUUCUAACAUGCAGUUUGGGGCGGGUCGUGUUAGAUUUGCCCUUGAGCUCAGUGGGAGCGGCUUCAUAUUCUGGAGCAAGUUUCUUGCUCUGGGGGGCCCAUGGUGCAUAAAAAGCACCAUCACAUGUUGAUUCUUGGCUAUAACAUGACUAAAAUUCUUGUCACUCGGUUUCACCGCAUCUUUUUUUUCAUCAAUUGCCGGCGGCAACUUGUGCUUUUGAUCAUUGAAACUGUUGUAAGAAUCUGAAAGUUCAACAGUGUUUCCGUAAGAGAUUGGAGGAAUUUUCUUGAAUACGGAAACACACAAUAUAUAGCCUCCGUCAUAAUCUAUUUUGUAAACACAGAAAGGUGAAAGACGAAAAAGAACGAACAAAAGAAAAAUUGUAGUGGAGAGCAUAAGGAGAUAAGCUUUUGUUGACAUUGUUUGAGCAGCCGGCCUUGUAUUUGAGAUCUUCAAAUAAUUGUUGGCUAAUGACAAGAGAGAAGUAAUUAAAUGCUCCUUGUAUUAUUUAUUUUCAAAGAUGCAGACAAAAGGCUAAAAAAAAUUUUUUUUAAAAGUAUUUUGACUUCUAUUCAGAAAUUACAUUAUUAACACAUUGUUGAUAGAAAAAAACCCUCUAGCUUGACAAAGCACAAUCGAUAAAGACAAGAGCCACGUCUCUAUCUCAUAAAACCAGUGUUUUUGUAAACAUCACUAUGGAACAGUACUGUCACCGAAUCUUGAUCAUCUCUUAUUACAAUCUUUAAAAUGCAUCUGCUUGGACUUCGUAUUAAAAACUUUCUGUAUGUGAAUGGAAUGACUACAUUUGUUCGCAAAUUUAAUUAACUUCUCCAAUUAGUUCUUUUUUUAUCAACUUCAGUAUUUCAGAGGCUUAUGCAGAAUUACACAAAUUUACCACUAAUCGGAGCAACAAUGUCGAAGACAUCUUGUUACAAAUAUCACAUACUGAUGGGUGUCGAAGCCAACAAAAAUAAAUUCCUACUUUAAAUAAAUUGUGUAAGUGAUUGAGCAGGGUCGUGUCCACAGAGAUCGGUAAUUAAUUAAAUCCUUUUGAAACGUAAAACGUAAAAUAGGGGAAUUGUUGACAAUAAUAAAAAUCAAAUUAAAAUAAAAAGAAUGCAAAUUAAAGUUGUAAUUCAAAUUAGAGAAAGCUCUGGUUGAAGGAAUUAACUCAGCUUGAUUCGACUACUGAUCAUUGAUUCAAAUAUAGAUUAUUAUUACUCAUGAAUAGACCGGUUAUAGCUACUGAGACCCUCUAAUAGCCAAUCUCUCCUUAACUAGUCGAUAACCAAGGUACGACCGUUGGUUAUUUCCCUAAUCAAUAGACAACCCUAGAUUCGAUCAUAGAAUUUAAUCAAUUGAUAGCCUGAAAAACCAGAGAGACCCAAAUCCUAAUCAACACAUAUGAUGAUUCAUUUAAAUUAGAUUGUUUAUUCUCACAACACAACUCUCUGCUAUGUUAUUUGUCACAAGCAUUAAAUUCUUCAUACGAUGAAUCCUUUAAUUGACAAUAGAUUAAGUUGAUAAUUAAAUAGUGGCCAAUUACCUAAUUAACAAACAUAAUCAUGAAACUAAUUCAGAGAAUAAACAAAUACCCAAAAAGCAAUAAAACAAUUAAAGCACAAGAAAGAUCUCACAGUAGUGAUGAAUCAAAGCUUCGUUAUCCUUCAACCAGAAAAAUAGGUUUAGUUCUUCAUAGAGAAGAGAGAAAAAUUAAAUCUAGGGUUUCUUUCUUUUUCUCCAAUCCAAAAAUCCCCCCUUUCUUUCACAAUAGAUUCCUCCUUAAAUACUCUCUCUCUCUUCUCUUUUAGAGUUCUAUUUAAAAUAAAAUACUAAUAUCUUAAAUAUUAAAUUCGUAAUUACAAAAAUAGCCAAAAAUACAAAACACGUUAAACUAAAAACUGCAGGUCCGCAGUUGACAGCACGCGCCCACGCCUUAUCAAUAAAGUUCUUCUGCCGCUCAUAAUUUCUCCAAGAGAACAAUCAUCCUUAAAAAUCAUCUUGUAGCUCAAUUUUAUCACCAAUCAAUAGAAUUGCACCUACAAAAGUAAAACACAAGUAAAUCAUUAUUAUUAAGUGCAAAACAUCGAUAUUAAGGGAAGUAAACAAUGCAAAACUAGUGCAUAAAUUGCACUCUAACACAUACUAAUGAAAACUUGCUUCUCUUGCUUCCUUAUUUCAAUUGGGACUAGAGUGACAUUUCUUCUGAGUUCAAAAAGGGGAAACAUCUCUGUGUACCGUUUGUGUCACGUUCUCUUAAUAGAAAAAUAUAACCCCAAAAGUUCUUGAUUUUGGUAGUUUGGUCUUUGUAUUAGAACUUGCAACCUGUUUCAUGAGAAAAAAUAAUAAAAAAUUGCUCUUAUUUUUCUUGCUAUCUAACAAGGUGCUUGACCAUUUUGGUUACCAAUUGAUGUUUAUCUAUUGAAUGCGGUUAUCAAUGAGUUAAAUGAAUAUAAUUAAAGGUCUGAUACAUAUUUUUAUAUAUAGAAUAUAUGCCAUAAUUUAAUGUGACCUCUGCCGUACUCGGAGCAAAAGAAACCCUUGUUAAUGGCUGCAUGUUUAUACAACUCCUCAAUGCAAGCGAGAUCGCAAACGACGUCGUCCCAGUUGUGGCAUAACAGCAUCGUCACCUCGACUUCCUCGAACCUCCCUUGCAAAUCCCUCGACACGCGCAACAACUCCAGUACGGUCACCACACGUGGCCUUGGCACCAUAUUUAUUUAUUUAUUAAUUCUAUUAAAUCCCAUUUGAUUUAAAUUAAAAAAUAAUUAAAAUAAAAGUCACGUUACUUGUUCUUGUGUUAUAGGGGCCCACCUUGUAAAAUAACACAAGGUCCCUUACAGUUAUAGUUAUCUUACUUAUUAAUCUACUAGUGGUGCAGUCAAUUAAAUAAGCUAACCCGGAGAUCAUUUGGGAACAUACAAUAGUAGCUAUAAUAAUUAGGCAUGUAAUUAAACUAGCCCAAUUAUUUAAUUCCAAAUCUACUCCACUAAAAGAUUGGAACUGACCUCUAUAAUUGUAUACUCGAAUAAUAAUUCGUCCCAAGACACAUCGAUUUCUUUACUGCAUAAUCCUUUGUACCACAUCAUUAAUUAAAUCGAUAUCUUAAUUGUCCAAUUGAUUUAAUUACAUCUUAUUCCUUGAUACUUAUUGGUUUUCUCUAAUGAUCAUUUUCAACAUACUAAAUAUGUUGACACACUCUGGCUAAAGAAUUCUAUGAUCAAGUGCCGAAAAUCCAUCAAGAGAUGUGUUGUACAAAUUCUAUAUUGUUAAUCUAUAACUCCAAUACUCAUAAUUGCUCCCACCAAGAUACCGGGUAAUCUUGACCACAAUUGUGUGUCAUGCCCAUUUGUAACUCAAAUAGAAUAACAAUUACAAUCAUGAAAUCAUAACUAACUUAAUAUUAAGAUUACAGUAAAAUCAAUGCCUAUGAGAUUUAAUAAGUCUGACAGUUAUUUGAAGGUUAAUUAAAUCUCAUAUGUGAUCUAGUUCAAUGUAGUCAAACUACAUCAGUAAAUUCAUAUAUGAUUAAGAUAAAUUAUUCAAUGAAUUUACUACAGUCUAAACAUAAAUAGAGCGCCCAACUCUAUUUAUUAGCUACGAAUUUAAUUUAUUUAAUCAUAAGAUGACUUGUAUUUAUGUCUUCUGUGAAUCCAUAUGAUGAUUACAUAAAUACAUAUAAUAUGAUUAAACGAGCCUUAUUCAAAAUAUUAUACAAUUGAAAAUAUCUCAAAUAUUUUAUUAAUCAGAAAAUAAAUUAAUAUGCUUUAAAAGAGCAUAUAAUCCCAACACUAUAGCCCCACCCAAGGACUCAGAAUAUAAAAAAGCGGGCAAAUCCGGUGCAUGUCUCGAAAUGACAUACCAUAUGUAAUGCUAAUUAUUUGGGAUGAAAUUUAAAAUAAAAUAAAUUUAGUAUGCUUACUCUUGCAUAAAACCUUUCUUUUUUUUUUUGGUAGAGUUAUUUUGGAACUAAUAAUUUAAUUUAUAAAUAUAUUUUUGUUUUAUCAAUAAUAACAUUUAAUUUGCAACUGCUGGGGAUUCCUAUUCCCUAGUGUUGGCUCGAGGAGAGCUUGGCAACAACCAUUGCAACGAAUCUAUGACAAGUUUUAUCGUGACAAUUACUUGUUAAUUGAUUUCUUUGCACUUGAUAUACAAUACAUAUCAUAUUAUAUCAAUUUUAAAGCUAUAUACUAAGAAUUCUAACAUAAUCAAAUGCAGAUAGGAGCAAUUAAUUGACAAUCAACACGCCAAUUGGAAAAGUUAAACAUGUGUAAGGAAUUUGUUGAGUAUCCGCAACAUAGUAGAAAUAUGGUAAAGUUAUGAUAAGACAACUGUGACAAAAUAAUAUGUCAAUAUUCAAUUAUUGAAUAUAAAUAAUGACUAUAUUUGGUAUUGAGAUGUUAUGAUAUAAAAAAAUGAUAAAGUAUGAAUACGUAAUAAUUUUGAAAGUUAUUAUGACUUUUUAUUAUAUAGAUAAAACAAAUUUGGUUUUUAGAUUAUAGCAGUAAGUAUUUAUUAAGCUAAUUAGAGUUAGAAUUUAAAAGCUAUUGUUUCCAACAAUAAUUAAGCAUGGCGAAUAUCUAAAAACAAGUCUAUUAGAAAAUUUUUUAUUUCUACAAAAUAAAAAAUGCAUGUGCUAUGCAAUUUUUAAGGAUUUGAAGUUACCGCUGCAGAGGAAAUAAUUUGUUUGCAUCCUUUAUUCAAACAGCUUUAGGCUUUUUAUAAGAGCCAAUUGGAAACACGCAAUCUACACUAGUAACUGCACUUGGAACAACAAAAGACACCCUAGACAAUAACACAUGAAAUACGAGAAAUAAUAGGAAACAUGGGUAAUAAUUUUGCACACAUAGUUAAUAGACCACUUGUUGAGCGCCCAUUUAUUUCAAAGCUCUUAUUACUAAGUCCUAGACUCCUCUUCUCAAGCACAUGGCUAUCAGGUACGUGGGAAGCUUGUUAAAUGCAUGGGUUCUUGCUCGUCUUUGGGAGACAUAUCAGCAUGCUUGGAAAGAGAUACACGCAAGACAAUCAACACAAGAUUUGCUUUAUUUCUAGGACGCAUGGCCAAGCACUCUACUUAUAGAACUCCAUAACCCAGAAAUUACCAAUAGCACGUUCACAACUCAUCCCACUAAAACCAGCGCCAGUAGCCAGGGUCAUGAAUUCAUGCCUUGUUCUCUCCUUUCCACCGGGACAAUGAAUCAUCAUAAGCACGUCAAAAUGGGAAUUUGAUUUUGAUUCAAUGCUUGUAUUAGGAACUUCUGGAAGCAUUGACUCCACAACGAUUACCUUUCCAUCUUCCGGAAUGCUUUUGCAGCAAUUCUUCAACAACUUCAAGCAAUGUUCAUCAUUCCAAUCGUGCA